rnacentral:lncRNA from 1 species
GCGUAAGAGCUCAUUGGACUGCUUCAAAGCGGUCUGGCCAACGAAAGCAGAUUGUUGGAUAGCAGAGGUUGCCAUGGUGCCUAAGGCUUUAGGUUGACUUGGUUUGUUUGCCGAUGGUUAUUGUAGUCUAUUUUGGUUUGGAGGAGAGAAGGGGUUAUAAUGGAAAUGAGAAGAUGUUGUGGAUCAGGAAAUGUACAUGUCAGCAGCAGUCUAUUGGUUGCUGCAUUGGUGUGGAUUUGCAAUUGGAUUUUUUGGAGAGUUGUAUAGGUUGAUUUUAUGCCGCGUGGAUUUGGAAAAAUCUUCUUGAUGUUUUUGGUGGUGAAGCUAAAGCCAUAUAUAUAGCCACUUAACUCUGCUAAUAUUUCUCAUGUUCUAGUAUCUCUUGUAUCAUCCGUAUAGAUAUAAGCAGCUAUUAGUGAAUAAUAAAAAUAUCUUUUAAAAGGUUAAAAUAAAUAAAAUUAUUCAAUUUAAAUAUAUAUAAACAUAUAUAUUUAUUUAGAUUUAAAUUAAUAAAUAUGUAAGAAUAGAGUUUGGCAUAAUAAUUUUAUUAAUUUAUUUAAAUAUAAAUGGACUAAAUAUACAAAAAAAAAAUAAAGUUGGUUAAUAUUAAAUUUUGAACCUUUUAAUUGAUUUUUUUAAUAAAAUUUACUAAUUUAUAGAUAAAACUAUAAUAAAUUAAUAUAUAAUAGAAAAUUUAUAUAUAACUUUUAAAAGUUGUACACUUAAAAACAUAAUCAUCUUUCUUUAGGAUACCACUAUUAAUACAUAUUUGAGUUUGAAAUUAUGAUAACUUAAUAGGGUGACUCACAAUCAUGUCUACAUUAUAUUUUUUAAAAUAAAAAGAUGUUUAUCAAAAUAGAAUUAUAACUAACAUUUGUAUAAAAUUAAAUUAAAUUAUUGACAACGUAAUAAUAAAUUUCAUAGUUAGAAUUAUAUAAAUUAUAUAAUCUAUUAGUAAAAAAAUAAGUAACUUCUAUAUUUGCAAAUAUCAUUUUUUUUGUAAUAUGAUAUUUUAAUUAUACUUUUAAGUUUUGAAAUUAUUUUAAUUUACAUGUUAAAGCACAAUUCACUUAACGUCCUAAAUAAUUAAUAUUACAAAUAAUAUAUAAAAUAGUCAAUAACAAUUCAUGAUAAAUUAGCAAAUUAUGAUAGACAAGACAAUGAUCACAAGUUUCUUCUUCAAAAUUUCACUAUUUUCAUACAUAUAAGCAGCUAUUAGUGAACGAUAAAAAAAUAUCUUUUAAAAUUUUAAAAUAAAUUAAAUUAUUCUAUUUAAAUAUAUAUUUUUUAAAUUUAAAGAAAUAUUUAAUAAUAGACUUGACAUAAUAAUUCACUUUAAAGAUAAAAUAAUAUAAAUAUGAAAUCUUAUUAAUUUAUUUAAAUAUAAAGGAAUUAAAUAUAUGAAAAAUAAAAUUCCUUAAUUUAAUUAAUAUCUAGUAGGUUAACUUACAAUUAACUAAUUAAAUUUUAAAAUUUUUAGAUUAAAUUCUUAAUAAAAUUCAUUACAAGAAAGUUUUAACAUUUAAUAAUUUAUAGAUAUUGGUGGAGCAUAUGGAGCCUGUGACGGUUGCUAGAUAUGGGAACGGGGUGGAGGAUAGGUACUGGCGAAGCAGUCUCAAUUUGGCAAGAUAAGUGAUAAUGUGCUUGAUCAAUAUAUUUUUAUUAUUUAUUGUAACAUCUCAUGCUCGGUUCGGUAACCGGAGUCGAACAAAAUAAUGUUAUUACCAAAUAUUUAAAUGAUUUUGAAACAUUCAGCUAAUUGGAAUAUGCAACAACAUGAGUUGAUAGCUUAUUUUGUUUUUGGCACUUACUUAAAAGUUUACAAAAUAUAUAUUUAAUCCAACCGUACAUACUGCCUUGUGUUUAAAAGAGUUUCGACUAAAUAUAGUAAAAUCAGAUUCUUAGUUUACUAGCGUGUGGACUACCACGAUAUGUACAUGUUACAAAAAUACAAUUAAAAGGCUCACAACUAAAACUUCAGCUUUUGGCUUAGUCCUUUUCCUAUCGUUCAAAACGGCUAUUGAUACCUGAAGAGAUAAAUCAAGAAGCAUGGUAAGUUCAAAAUGAUCUUAGUGAGUUCCCAUGAUGUUUACUUGCCCCCACAUACAACUUGCGUGGAAUAUAAGAAACGCAUAAGGACAACUAAUACGUUAAACAUUUCACGAAAGAAUAUAAGCAACAAGCAUACAAUACACUUCGCUCAAAUAAACAGUUCACUUUCACUCUCUGCAAACAUAUGUGUUACGGUAAGUAUAGUUGAAUUUACCCAAUGCAACCUAUACAGGUGAAAGAUCUUAGUGGAGUCAUACUCUGCUAAUACACACCAGACACAUGCCUGUGGAUUCAUGUCCACGGAUACAUACCUGCAGACUCAGGUUUGUGGAUUCAUACCUGCCCUCGUAUAUACAAAUCUAUUCUUAAAGAUAAUUCUUGCGGGCUUACGUCCGAUGAAUAUUUCUCAUGCAAUUGUGCUUGGAGAACUUAGACUCCCAGACUCACACUAUGCGAAUUGUUCGUGCAGACUUAUUUUCAUUAAUUUUCAUAUAACGGAGUCCCAGAAGACCGACUUAGCCUAGGAGCUUGAGGACAAGUCCUACAGACUAUCUUAGAUUGUAUUAUAGUCCUUAUGGACUCAUACUUGCAGUUGAUCCGGUGAACUCAUACUUGGAUGGUAAUCCAGGCGGACUCUUGUUUGAAUGAUGGUCUUGGUGGACUCACAACCAAGGAUUCUCUUUUAGAGAAACCAUUUGCGAAUACAUACUUAGUGAAUUUGUACACGUAGAUUCAUUCUGGUGCAGACACAUGCUUGUACACUUAAAGACAAGUCCUGGGGACUAUCAUAAACCUGUAUAUGUAAGGACAACUCCCAACGGAUUGUCAUAACUUGUGACUUGGAGACAAAUCCCACCACAACGCCACUCAUCUUUCAAUUAACAUCCUUCCACAACACCGAAACUUCUCUUUCAAUUAAAAUCUUGCCACAACGCUGAUACUUCUUUCAAUUAACGUCCCGCCACAACACCGAUACUUCAUGUAACACCCCUCACCCAAUCUGAUCGCUGGAUCCAAGUUUCAGGAUGCUACUACAAUUAUCUGAACAUUCACACGCAAAUCAUAACAUUGAAUUCAAUUUAAGUCAACAAGUUGUCACUACAACAAAACAGGUUUUUAGCGGCAUUUUUUUGGCCCUUUAAGCGUUGCUAUAAUUUUGUGGCGUUUAUGUGGACAAAAGCCGCUAUAGAAUAUGAUAUUUAGCGGCUCUUUUUUUACAAACGCCGCUAAAAAGCAUGACCUUUAGCGACGAUUUUCCCAAAAACGCAGCUAAAAAAUAUGACCUUCAGUGGCACUUCUCUCGAAAACGCAGCUAAAGAACAUAUGCUAAAAAAUAUAACCUUCAGCGGCGUUUUUGGGUGAAAAAUAAAAAAAAUCAAAAUAUCAUAAAAACGCCACAAAUCCAUUCCUAUCCCUUUACCUGCUUUAAGCAAAUCCUUUAGAAAUGUUGUUAUUAUUACAUACAUCACUCCAUUCUUUGGUUAGAGAAUGUAGCAGAAGUGGAAUUCCACCAAUUUAGAAAUGCAUAAUUUAAUUUGAAGACGUAUUAAAAUGGAAAUUCAUGAACAAGAAGAUCAAUGUUUUUCACUAUAUCUCAUGUAACGAGUCAAACUGCCUUUGAUUACAUAAGAUUCCUUUAAAAUUAAAAAAAAUUCAAACUAGUUCAUAUCAACUUGCUCAAGUUGUAUGUAUGACUUGCAGAUCAACACCUUAUUUGAACUUACAAUUCUAGGAAAGCAUAAAAUGUAGUUCCAUGAGCAUGCAUUUAAAGUGGCAAAAAAAAAUUUACUGAUUACAGUGACAGUCUAAGCUCCAAAUCUAGCUCUUGUGUGUCACUUGAUUCUGAAUUCUGACUGCCCGAUCCCAAUGAGUUGCUGCAAUGUUUCUUGCUCCUUGAAUGUGAAUCCUAUAAGAAUGUAAGGAACUAAAACAAGUCAAAUUUUAAAACACAAUCAUCACAUGGCACAUAAACUAAAAAAAGGAAGGAUAAUAAUUUAGAAGAUAAAUUAAAUAAUUUAGGAGAUAUUAAAAAUUUAGACUUAAACCAUGAGUCUAAAGAAAUAUUAACUAGUGUUAAUAAUAAAUUAGAUCAGGUUAUUAAUAAUAAUAAUAUGGAGUCUGAUAUAGAUUUAGGUCAUUUAUAUUAUGGUAAUGGUAAGGAUAAUAUUUUAAUUUUAUCUGAAGAAGAAAACACUUCUUUUGAUGAGUCGUCAUCUCUGUUAAAAAAUUAUAAAAAAACAUAAAAUAAAAAAAAGAUGAUAAACAAAAAGAAUAUGAUUUCCAGCCCUAUAAAACCCUUAUAGAACAUUGGAAAGAAAAAUUUACUACUACUAAUGAUCAACUAGAAAGAGUUGAAUAUUUAAAAUUAAUUAAAGAACUUUAUGAAAAACAUAAAGAUUUUUUUAGUAUGUUUAAUUAUCAUUAUAUGUUAAAAUAUGAUGAUAGUAGCAGUUCAAGUAAUUCUGAAAAAACAGAAUUAUUUAAGAAACAAUCUGAUGAAGAAAAAACUUCAACCGAUCAGGACGAAGACAUAAAAGUCUCAACUUAUAAUUCUGAUGAAGAAACCACUUCAUUUGAAGAUGUAGACGAAGUAAUAAAUAUUCCUGAACCAAUGGAUACUGAACCAACAGAUCCUUAUGGAAAAAGAAAAAUUGAGUCAGAUAUUCAAACAAAUGAUUAUCUGAUUAAAGAUUUAAGUAAAGUUCAAUAUACAACCAGUAUGUUGACUAGUAAUAUAAAAAAAAUUAAUUGAUGAGAAAGAUCCUAAAAAUAUAAGAGAAUUUAUUAAUAGAACUUUACUAGGACGGUUAGGUGUAAAACGUAAUACUCAUCAUAGGCAUAAAAAGAAAAAAUAUAAUAAACAAGUCAAAGGGAAACUAGAAAAUAAAAAAUUUUCUGGUCAUAUUAAGAGUCAGUUUUCUAGAAGAAAAACUUCUAAAGAACUUAAAGAUAUUUUAGAUAUUAAGAUAGGUCAUAUAGUCAAAAACUUUUCUAACAAAAGAAAAGAAGUUAGAAAAAGAAUUAAUAGUCUUGAAAAACAAGAUUUAGAAGUAUGUUUUCAAAAGAAAAUAAAUCCUGAAGAAAUGUUAUAUGAGUUAAUAUCAGAAACAGAUUCUGAUAAUAAUGAUGAAUAUAUAUUAAUGUUUAAUAUAGGAAGAAGUUCUAAUAAUUAAUUAGAAGAAAUUCCGAAUUCUGAAAAACAGGAUAUUAAAUUAGGUAAUUUAAUCGCAGAAGAAAAAGACUUUUCUGAUGAAAUUAUAGAAAAAAUUAAUAAAAAUCAUAUUUCUAAAGAGGAAAUAUAUAAGAUCUCUAAGUUUAAAUAUGGACUCAGAGACAUAUAGAAAAAAUUAGCGGUAACACUGACGCUAAGGAUACAAGAGAAGGAUUAACAGAAAUCCCUCUCUUUACUAAAGAGAAAAUUAAGAGGAUUAGAAAGAAAUAUCCUCAGGUUAGAUAUAUACAUUUAGGUAUAAUCAUGAUUACUAUUAGAGCCUUAUUUAGAAGAGGUCAUGAUAUUCCUAUAAUAGCUGUCCUUUUAGGUAAAAGAUUUGAAAAUCCAAUAAAAGCACUUAUUGGAGGUAUUCAGUCUAAUUUACAUACAGGUGUAAUAGGAUUUAAAGUUAAACCAAAUUAUUUUAUUUCCAUUUCAGACCCUCUAAUAGAAGAGUGUCUUUGCCUUAGGAUUCAGACAAAAAAUUCUGAUAUCAAUGAUUUAGUAGAAGAUCUAGCAAUUAGUUGGAUUUCUAUUAAUGAAUAUACAAAUACAGCAGAAGUAGAAAUAAAAGAGAUUAAUAACAAAAUUAUUGAAAUCUUUGAACCAAACAAGUUCACUACUGAAAUUCAGCCGAAAUUAUUAGAUCUAAGAGAUCUGUCAAUUCCAAGAGAUCGGAUGAUGGAAAGAAUCAAUAGUUCUAGUACUUCUAAACCAGUUAGUACUAUAGAAUAUAUGUCAUCAGGCAAUAAAUUGUAUUUUAAAAAUAAUUGUAUAACAAAUACAAAUGAAAAUUUAGUUUUACCCUCUAGUUCUCAACCAGAAGAAGAAGAAGAUAAUAUUAGUUCAAAUAGUACACCAAUAGGAAUUAAAACUGUUCAAAUUCCUAAAUUUCCUACUGAACCUAGUAAUAAUUCUAGAAAAACUAGACUGGAAGAAAUUCAAACUUCAACAAUUGAUAAAAAGUCAAAAGUUGGAAUAAAUAUCAAAGUUACAUUUCAGUUUAGAAAAUAUAAAAAAACAUUCUCUAAAUGUUUUGAUUGAUACUGGAGCUACAAUCUGUAGUUGUAGAGAAAAUGCGAUUCUUGUAGAAAAAUGAGAAAUAAUGAAAAAACCCAUAAAAAUAAUGGGACUAGAUGGUAGUAAAACUAUUAUAAAACAUAAAGCUAAAAAUAUACCAAUCUACAUAAACAAUGUUAGAUUUGUGAUUCCUAAAAUAGUAUGUUUUCCUAACAUGAAGGGAGAUAUAUUAUUAGGUAAUAAUUUUAUAUGUAAGUAUUUACCUUUUACUAUUGAAAAACAUUCUAUUUGGUUAUCAGUAAAAAAAGAUUUUUUAGAAAUACCUCUUGAUAAUAAUAAUAAGAUUGUGUGUAAUAAAAAUUUUACACCAAUUAAACUACUAGAUAAUUAAUAAUUAUUACUAAUGAUUGUUGAUUAUCUUAAUAAGUUCUAUGGAUAGAGGUAAACAGCCUCUAAAAGAAAUACUCGAUGAAUGGACUACUGCUCACAAAAAACCCAACAAAGGGAAAGCAGUAUCGAACUCCAAAAAAGAAUUUGUACCUGCACAACUACCAUUUUAUCCUAAUCAAGGAUAUUAUGUGUCAUAUCCAAUGGUAAACCAACCACUUGGACCAAAUGUUUUAAAAUAUUCAAUGGUAAACCAACCAGUUGGAACCUCUUUUUCAAACAUGGUGUAUCAAUCACCAAUGUUUCAUGAUAUGAAUUUAGCAUCACCAACCAAUUAUACUGAAAUCAUCAAAAGUUCGGAAAAUUUGUUGAAAAAACAACAAAUUGAAGAAGAAAAAAAUCUUUCAAAAAUAAAAGAUUUUUAUAAUCCUGGUUUAUCACCAGAAAAUUAUGACUUUAUAAACGAGAUAUGGAAAACUCAUAUUUCUAAUCAAAGAGUCAAUUUCAGAAGAGCUCUUACCAGAUAUUCAUUAUUUUUAGUUGAAAAAACAACUAAAGAAAAUGAAGCUGAAGAUUUAUUAUUAAAAUCUAUUUUAUACAGAGAUUGGGAUGAAUUCCAACUCUUUGUUAUGGAUAUUAAGGAGAUAAACAAUCUUCUUGAUAUUAUUCAAUAUUUUAUUCAUAAAAAGAAAAACAAUUCUAUUAUGAAUAAAGUAUUUAGAAUAUGUAUGUUUAAUAAAGCUAGGAAAUUUUUACCGGUAGAAAUAUUCACAAAAAUAAAUGAAAUAAUUUGCAGACAGCAAAUUCAAUUUCAAAAAGCUUUUUCAGAAUAUUUUCUACAAGCAUAUGUUUUUAAUGAUUAUUUAGAUAAUGAAUUUCCUACUUUAAAAUACAGAUUAGAUCAUGAACCAUUUGAUAUAACCAAUAUUGAAUGGGGUUUUACUAAAGAAAUAGUUGUGCAAAAUCUCUCUUUUCAUCUUUUAAAAGAUUUUCCAGCUAUUGUAAAGUCAGUUUUACAAAACAUCAUAAACAAUGAUGAUUUUUAUUACUAUUUUUAUAUUGAAAUUAGUAGUCUAAUAGGUAUAGCUGAAUAAGAAAAAAAUUAUCAACCGUAUCAAAUUUGGGUUAUUAAAAAGAUGAUUGGAACCCCCCAAUUAUCUGCUGUUAAUGAAGAUAAAGAACAUUUGUCAAAAACUAUUGAUAAAUGUUAUAAUAAAUUUGAUCAUUAUCAAGUCCAAACAGGAAUUGAUUUAUUAUCACAAGCCCAUUAUCUUCUCCAUGAUGAUGUUUAUAAAUUAUGGACGGAUGGAAGGAGGAUAUUGGCAUUUCCCAAUGGAAACAUCCAGGAGGAAAGAGAUGAAGAAUCUGUGAAGCUGUUAAGAAAGAUUGUUGAAAUGGAGAUAGAAGAAUUUCCAUCUCAUAUUACAGAAAAAAUAAAAAAUAUAUGGGAGACUUGGAACUCACCACCAAGACUUUCAUCAGAUUUUUUACAUUUGGACGAGAUUGAAGAAAUGAAUCUCAAUAAUAUGCAAGAAGGUUGAAGUCAAAAAAGAUGGCAACCUGAAAGAAAGGCAAUCCACAUACCAACAAAAAAGUUUGGCAACGUGGAUAUCAUGAUGACAUAAGCCAUGAUGGAAGCAACCAUGAAGGCUAAUCAAUGACACCCAGAUGCAGACAAAAAGUCUUGCAACGUGGAAGAUUUCAUCAAACCAAUGAUGAUGCAAGCAAUGAUAAAAGCUACAUGACACAAGCAAGUGAUGGAAGCGGUCAUUAAUUCAAGCAUGCAACGUGGAAACAACCAUGACCAUGCAAUUAAAAUUACAAGAAGACAAAUGAGACGUGGAAGCAGCCACAUCCAUUUGAAGCCGAAUCCUUAUCAGAAACACUGUUCGGGAUUCAAAAUACAAUUGUAUAGAAUUUUUAAUCUCCUUUAUAAAUAGGGAGGAAAGUUCAAUUGUAUAGGCAUCAUUUGUUUAUAGUUUACUCUUUAGUUUUCUUCUAGUUUUCUUCUUUGUAAACAUUUUCUUUUUUGUUAAUAAAAGAGUCUAUAUUCCCUUCCGCUCAUACUCUUUAAGUCCCUUCUCCCCCUAGAAUUGGUAUCAGAGGUGCCGGUGUAACGACUUUCUGGAGAAAUAAUAUCGUAAUAUUCAUUGUAUGUUUUUGUCUUUGAUUUACAUUUCUGUUUGUUUCACUGUUGUUUGUUUCAAAACUCAUAUAUCUAUUAUUAUGUCUUCUUGUUGCCGUUGAGUCCAGGGAGGACGUUAAGCGUUGUGUGAAGACGAUAUAGAUAAUAGACGGUCUUAGGUACCCGAGACAAACAUUAUGGAGCAAAUUGAGUGUCAAUUUCAAGAUAAAACUUGUAAUCAUAUUACGCAUAUAGACUCUAGAAAUGAAAACAACAUUUCAUCUCUGAGUAAGGGUAUAAAUAGUCUUGUUGAUAUGACUUCUUUUUAUUUUUCUAAGUUAUGUAAAAAGGUCAGUAAAGUAGAAGAAAAGAUAAAUAAUUUAGGAGAUAUAAAAAAUUUAGACUUAAACCAUGAGUCUAAAGAAAUAUUAACUAAUAUUAAUAAUAAAUUAGAACAAGUUUUUAAUAAUAAUACUGAGUUUGAUGUAGAUCUAGGUCCUUUAUAUUAUGGCAAUGGUAAGGAUAACAUUUUAGUUUUAUCUAAAGAAGAAAAUACUUAUUCUGAUGAGUCAUCAUCUCUGUUAAAAAAUUAUAAAAAAACAUAAAAAAACGUAAAAAAAGAUGAUAAACAAAAAUAAUAUGAUUUCCAGUCCUAUAAAACCCUUAUAGAACAUUGGAAAGAAAAAUUUACUACUACUAAUGAUCAACUAGAAAGAGUUGAAUAUUUAAAAUUAAUUGAAGAGCUUUAUGAAAAAUAUAAAGAUUUUUUUAGUAUUUUUAGUUAUCAUUAUAUGUUAAAAUAUGAUGAUAGUAGCAAUUCAAGUAAUUCUGAAAAAACAGAAUUAUUUAAGAAACAAUCUGAUGAAGAAAAACUUCAAUAGAUCAGGAUGAAGACAUAAAAGUCUCAACUUAUAAUUCUGAUGAAGAAACCACUUUAUCUGAAGAUGUAGACGAAGAAAUAAAUAUUCCUGAACCAAUAGAUACUGAACCAACAGAUCCUUAUGGAAAAAGAAAAAUAGAGUCAGAUAGUCAAACAGAUGAUUAUCUUAGGUCUUUAAAUAAACAGAUGAAAUUUUGGUAAUAAAAUCGAUAAUAUAGCAACUAAUGAAGUAAAACCUGAAUAUCCAGGAGAAACUUCUAACCAACCUGUUCAACAAAGAAUAGAUGAUUUAAAUAAAAGAAAUGUGGCCCAAGGAGGAAUUUAUUUAGAUCUAACUAAUACUCCUAUUUCAAAUUAUGAAAAAACUAUUGAUGAUUGGGCACAAUCUAUGACUAUUGUUGUAAACAGCAACACGUGGUCAAAAGAAAAUUUUUUAAAUUACUUUGUUGGAACAUUUCAAGGAGAUGUUCUACAAUUUUUUAGACGUUGAGAAGAGUCUAAGAAAGGUAAAGAACAAAAGGGGCAAUUAAUCAACCAAAUAGGAACCCCUAAGGAUCUUUUAAAAGGAUUAACCUUAAUUCUAAAAAUAGAAUUUUGUGGAUAUUUUGAUAAAAAAGAUCAAGAUAGUACAUCUAGUUAUAUCCUUUCUAAGAUUAAAUUAUGUGAUAUUAGACAUUUAGAAGAUUUUUCUAAAAAAUUUCUUCAUGAAUAUCAAAAGUUAAAAAUGAAAAUAUAGAAUUUUGGAAAAACCAAUAUUUUCAUAAAUUACCCCCACCCUGGGAUGAGAUAUGUAUAAACAAAUAUGUCUUAUUUAGAGAAGCACAGUAAAACAUCUGGACUUCCAGCAGAAAAUUUGGAUACUAUAGGAAAUAGGAUAAACUUUGCACGUGAAAGAAUAACUUUACAUUGUUUGCAAAGUAAAGCUGCUAAACAAGUCAAACAUAAAUUAAGUGAUAAAUAUUGUAAUAAAAUACUAGAAAAUGAAUGUGAAUUUGGAUGUAAACAAAUAUAUCCUAAAAAGCAGAAAAAAUAUAAAUUAAGAAAAUGGAAACCAGGUAAUAAAAAGUUUUUUGGUAAUAAUAAAACAGUGGUUAGGAAAAAGACUUCUGAACAAAGAAACAAAUUUGUAAAUGUUUUAUUUGUGAUGAAGAAGGUCAUAUAGCUAGCAAUUAUCCUAACAAAGGAAAAAAUGCUAGAAAAAUGAUAAAAAGUCUUGAAAAACAAGAUUUAAAAAUAUGUUUUCAAAAGGAAAUAAAUCCUGAAGAAAUAUUAUAUGAGUUAGUUUCAGAAACAGAUUCUGAUAAUAACGAUGAAUAUAUAUUUAUGUUUAAUAUAGAAUAUAUGUCAUCAGGCAAUAAAUUGUAUUUUAAAAAUAAUUGUAUAACAAAUACAAAUAAAAAUUUAGUUUUACUCUCUAGUUCUCAACCAGAAGAAGAAGAUAAUAUUAGUUCAAAUAGUACACCAAUAGGAAUUAAAACAGUUCAAAUUCCUAUAUUUCCUACUGAACCUAGUAAUAAUUCUAGAAAAACUAGAAUGAAAGAAAUUCAAACUUCAACAAUUGAUAAAAAGUCAAAAGUUGGAAUAAAUAUCAAAGUUACAUUUCAAUUUAGAAAAUAUAAAAAAUAUUCUCUAAAUGCCUUGAUUGAUACUGGAGCUACAAUCUGUAGUUGCAGAGAAAAUGCGAUUCCUGUAGAAAAAUGGGAAUUAAUGAAAAAACCCAUAAAAAUAAUGAGACUAGAUGGUAGUAAAACUAUUAUAAAACAUAAAGCUAAAAAUAUACCAAUCUACAUAAGCAAUGUUAGAUUUGUGAUUCUUAAAAUAGUAUGUUUUCCUAACAUGAAGGGAGAUAUAUUAUUAGGUAAUAAUUUUAUAUGUAAGUAUUUACCUUUUACUAUUGAUAAACAUUCUAUUUGGUUAUCAGUAAAAAAAAGAUUUUUUAGAAAUACCUCUUGAUAAUAAUAAUAAGAUUGUGUGUAAUAAAAAUUUUACACCAAUUAAACUACUAGAUAAUUAAUAAUUAUUAUUAAUGAUUGUUGAUUAUCUUAGCAGGUUCUAUGGAUAGAAGUAAACAGCCUCUAAACGAAAUAGUCAGUGAAUGGACUACUGUUCACAAAAAACCCAACAAAGGGAAAGCAGUAUCAAACUCCAAAAAAGGAUUUGUACCUGCACAAAUAUCAUUUUAUCCUAAUUAAGGAUAUUAUGUGUCAUAUCCAAUGGUAAACCAACCACUUGGACCAAAUGUUUUAAAAUAUCCAACGGUAAACCAACCAGUUGGAACCUCUUUUUCAAACAUGGUGUAUCAAUCACAAAUGUUUCAAGAUAUGAAUUUAGCAUCACAAACAAGUUAUGCUGAAAUCAUCAAAAGUUCAGAAAAUUUGUUGAAAAAAUAAAAAAUUGAAGAAGAAAAAGAUCUUUCAAAAAUAAAAGAUUUUUAUAAUCCUGAUUUAUCACCAGAAAAUUAUGAUUUUAUAAACGAGAUAUGGAAAACCCAUAUUUCUAAUCAAAGAGCCAAUUUCAGAAGAGCUCUUACCAGAUAUUCAUUAUUUUUAGUUGAAAAAAUAACUAAAGAAAAUGAAGCUGAAGAUUUAUUAUUAAAAUCUAUUUUAUACAAAGAUUGAGAUGAAUUCCAACUCUUUGUUAUGGAUAUUAAUGAGAUAAACAAUCUUCUUGAUAUUAUUCAAUAUUUUAUUCAUAAAGAGAAAAACAACUCUAUUAUGAAUAAAGUAUUUAGAAUAUGUAUGUUUAAUAAAGCUAGGAAAUUUUUACCGGUAGAAAUAUUCACAAAAAUAAAUGAAAUAAUUUGCAGACAGCAAAUUCAAUUUCAAAAAGCUUUUUCAGAAUAUUUUCUACAAGUAUAUGUUUUAAUGAUUAUUUAGAUAAUGAAUUUCCUACUUUAAAAUACAGAUUAAAUCAUGAACCAUUUGAUAUAACCAAUAUUAAAUGGGGUUUUACUAAAGAAAUAGUUGUGCAAAAUCUCUCUUUUCAUCUUUUAAAAGAUUUUUCAGCUAUUGUAAAGACAGUUUUACAAAACAUCAUAAACAAUGAUGAUUUUUAUUACUAUUUUUAUAUUGAAAUUAGUAGUCUAAUUGGUAUAGCUGAACAAGAAAAAUUUUACCAGCCGUAUCAAAUUUGGAUUAUUAAAAAGAUGAUUGGAACCCCCCCAAUUAUCUGCUUGUUGAUAUGACUUCUUUUUAUUUUUCUAAGUUAUGUAAAAAGGUCAGUAAAGUAGAAGAAAAGAUAAAUAAUUUAGGAUUUAUAAAAAGUUUAGACUUAAACCAUGAGUCUAAAGAAAUAUUAACUAAUAUUAAUAAUAAUAUUGAGUCUGAUGUAGAUCUAGGUCCUUUAUAUUAUGGUAAUGGUAAAAAAAAUAUUUUAGUUUUAUCUGAAGAAGAAAACACUUCUGAUGAGUCAUCUCUGUUAAAAAAUUAUAAAAAACAUAAAAAACGUAAAAAAGAUGAUAAACAAAAAGAAUAUGAUUUCCAGUCCUAUAAAACCCUUAUAGAACAUUGGAAAGAAAAAUUUACUACUACUAAUGAUCAACUAGAAAGAGUUGAAUAGUUAAAAUUAAUUGAAGAACUUUAUGAAAAACAUAAAGAUCUUUUUAGUAUGUUUAAUUAUCAUUAUAUGUUAAAAUAUGAUGAUAGUAGCAGUUCAAGUAAUUCUGAAAAAACAAAAUUAUUUAAGAAACAAUCUGAUGAAGAAAAAACUUCAACCGAUCAGGACGAAGACAUAAAAGUCUCAACUUAUAAUUCUGAUGAAGAAACCACUUCAUCUGAAAAUGUAGACGAAGAAAUAAAUAUUCCUGAACCAAUGGAUACUGAACCAACAGAUCCUUAUGGAAAAAGAAAAAUUGAGUCAGAUAUUCAAACAAAUGAUUAUCUGAUUAAAGAUUUAGGUAAAGUUCAAUAUACAACCAGUAUGUUGACUAGUAAUAUAAAAAAAUUUAACUAUUGAUGAGAAAGAUCCUAAAAAUAUAAGAGAAUUUAUUAAUAGAACUUUACUAGGACAGUUAGGUGUAAAACCUAAUACUCAUAAUAGGCAUAAAAAGAAAAAAUAUAAUAAACAAGUCAAAGGAAAAUUAGAAAAUAAAAAAUUUUCUGGUCAUAUUAAGAGUCAGUUUUCUAGAAGAAAAACUUCUAAAGAACUUAAAGAUAUUUUAGAUAUUAAGAUAGGUCAUAUAGUCAAAAACUUUUCUAACAAAAGAAAAGAAUCUAGAAAAAGAAUUAAUAGUCUUGAAAAACUAGAUUUGGAAAUAAGUUAUAAAAAGGAAAUAAAUCCUUAUAAAAUUGAAUCUGAUAAAAAUGAAAAAAUAUUUUUAUUAGAAAAUUCUAGAAAUACUAGAAUUGAAAAAUUAAAAACAGUUCUUCAGCAAAUAAAAAUUGGGAAAAAUGAUAUAAUCACAUUUUCAAAUUUUCAAGCUAAGAAAUAUUAUACUCAUAUUGAAAUCACAUUUCAGUUUAGAGAAUAUAAAAAAAUAUUCUUUACACGCUUUGCUUGACACUGGAGCUACAACAAGUAGUUGCAAAAAAAAAUGCUAUUCUUAUAGAAAAAUAGGAAUUAAUGAAAAAUCCUAUUAAUGCAAUUGGAAUAGAUGGUAAUGAAACUAUAAUCCAAUAUAAUGCAAGAAAUAUACCAAUCUACAUAAACAAUGUUAGAUUUGUAAUUCCUAAGAUGUUAUGUUUCUCUGAAAUGCAUGGAGAUAUAUUACUAGAAAAUAAUUUUAUAUAUCAUCAUCUACCAUUUUCUAUAGAUAAAUAUUUGGUUACUUUGUCUGUAGAAAAAUUCUCUAUGGAAAUACCACUGGUAGAAAACCAUAAGUUUGUGUGUAAUAAAAACUUUACACCAACUAGAAAAGAACAAAUUAAACAAAUAGAAACUAAUCAUUGGUUGUUUAAAAUAUUAGAAAACAAUUUUAGUGAUGAACCACUAAAGUUAUGAAAAAAUAGUCCAAGAUAUUGUGAAAUAAAAUUAAAUAAUCCUAAUAAAAUAAUUAGGGUUAAGCCUAUGAUCUAUACUAAACAAGAUAUGGAUGAGUUUGAUGUUCAAAUAAAUGAACUAUUAGAAAAAAAGAUUAAUAGAAAAAACUAAUAGUCCUCAUUCAAGUCCUGCUUUUAUGGUAAAAAAUCAUGCUGAAAUUAAAAGAGGAAAAGCUAGGAUGGUUAUUAAUUAUAAGAGAUUAAAUCAAAACACUAUUUUUGAUGGAUAUUUUAUCCCAAAAAAAGAAGUAUUGAUCAAUCAGGCUAAACAAGCCAAAUAUUUUAGUAAAUUAGAUUGUAAAUCGGGAUUCUGACAAAUCAUGCUAAUCGAUGAGUCAAAACCUUUAACUGCUUUUAGUGCCCCUAAUGGUCAUUAUCAAUAGAGGAUAAUGCCAUUUGAAUUAUGCAAUACUCCACAAAUCUUUCAAAGAUGGAUGGAUUCCAUCUUUAAUAAGUAUAAAAAGUUUUGUGUAGUAUAUAUAGAUGAUAUUCUAGUCUUUUCAGAAACACUAGAAAAGCAUAGAAAACAUCUAAAUAUUUUUUCUCAAAAAUUCCUAAAACAUGGAAUUAUAUUAAGCCCUAAAAAGAUAGAGCUAGAAAAAAUGGGAAUAGAAUUUUUAGGUUUAAAGUUAUCUACAGAUGGUCUUAAACUCCAAGAUCAUAUUAUUGUAAAAAUAAAAGAAUUUCCUGAAAAAAUAGAAGAAUUUCCUGAAAAAAUAGAAGAUAAAAAACAUCUUCAACAAUUUUUAGGAAUUGUUAAUUAUGGGAGAAACUUUUUUCCAAAAUAAUCUGAAAAAAUAGGUAUAUUAUAUGGAAAAUUAAAAAAGAAUAUUUCUUUUUGCUGGUCUAAGAAAUUAUAAAAAAUAUAAAAGCAGAAAUAACUUACAAUCUAAAAGUUUAUUUACCUAAAAAAUGUGAUAAACUAAUUUUAGAAACUGAUGCAUCACAAUGUUAUUGGGGAUGUAUUCUAAAAGCUAAAACAACUAAUAAUAAUGAAGAACUAAUAUGUGGAUAUAAUUCAAGAAAAUUUAAGCCUAAUGAGGUUAAUUAUAUUAUUUAUGAAAAAGAACUUUUAGCUAUUAAAAAAGGAAUAAAAACUUUCUUAUUUAUUUAGCACCUGAAAGGUUCAUCAUAAGAACUGAUAAUCAGGCAGUUAAACAGUUUUUAACUAACAACAGUUUGGAAACUGUACCAAGAAGAAUUAGGUGGUAGAAUGAUUUAUGCACUUUUAAUUUUGAAGUUAUUUAUAUAAAAAGUGAUGAAAGUCUUCUUGCUGAUUAUCUUAGCAGGCCUCAUGGAUAGAGGUAAACAACCUCUAAAAGAAAUAGUCGGUGAAUGGACUACUAUUCACAAAAAACCCAACAAAGGGAAAGCAGAAGCAAACUCCAAAAAAAGAUUUGUAUCUGCACAAAUACCAUUUUAUCCUAAUUAAGGAUAUUAUGUAUCAUAUCCAAUGGUAAACCAACCACUUGGACCAAAUGUUUUAAAAUAUCCAAUGGUAAACCAACCAGUUGGAACCUCUUUUUCAAACAUGGUGUAUCAAUCACCAAUGUCUCAAGAUAUAAAUUUGGCAUCACAAACCAGUUAUACUGAAAUCAUUAAAAGUUCAGAAAAUUUGUUGAAAAAACAACAAAUUGAAGAAAAAAAGAUCUUUCAAAAAUAAAAGAUUUUUUAUAAUCCUGAUUUAUCACCAGAAAAUUAUGAUUUUAUAAACGAGAUAUGAAAAACCUAUAUUUCUAAUCAAAGAGCCAAUUUCAGAAGAGCUCUUACCAGAUUUUCAUUAUUUUUAGUUGAAAAAACAACUAAAGAAAAUGAAGCUGAAGAUUUAUUGUUAAAAUCUAUUUUAUAUAGAGAAUGGGAUGAAUUCCAAUUAGAAUUCAUGGAUAUUGAGGAGAUAAACAAUCUUUUUAAUAUUUUUCAAUAUUUUAUUCAUAAAGGAAAAACCAGUCCUAUCAUGAAUAAGGUAUUUAGAAUCUGUUUAUAUAACAAAUCUAGACAGAUUUUACCAAUGAAAAUAUUCAACAAAAUUAAUGGACUUAUUUGUAAUCAACAGAUUAAAUUCCAAAAAGCUUUUUCUGAAUAUUUUCUACAAUCUUAUGUUUUUACUAAUUUUAUUGGUAAAAUUUAUCCAACUAUAAAAUUUAGAUUGGAUCAUGAACCAUUCGAUAUAACAAGUAUUGAAUGGGGUUUUGUUAGAGAAAUAGUAAUACAAAAUUUCUCUUUUCACCUUUUAAUGGAUUUUCCAGCAAUAGUAAAAUCUUUUUUACAAUCCAUCAUAAACAAUGAUGAUUUUUUCUAUUACUUUUAUAUCCAAAUUAGUACUCUUAUUGGUAUUCCUGAAAAAGAAAAAAUUUUUCAGCCAUAUCAAAUUUGGUAUAUUCAUACUAUGAUCGACAGCCCUCGAUUAUCAGCCUUAAAUGAAGAUAAGGAACACUUGGCAACAACAAUUGACAAGUGUCAGAAAGAUUUUAGCUAUUAUCAAAUCCAAACUGGAAUUGAUUUAAUGGCUAAAGCAAGAUAUCUUCUUCAAGAAAAAAAUUAUCGACUUAGAACUGAUGGAAGAAGAAUAAUGGCGUACUAUUCAAGAAUUAGUGAUAAAGAUGAAGAAUCCAUUUGUCUACUAAAAAAGAUAGCAAAAAUAGAUAUAGAAGAUUUCCCAUCUCAUAUUUUGCAACAAAUCAAAAAUAUAUGGGAAAAUUGUCAUCAAGAUAUAUCUACAAUUCAUCACUAGGGAUGAUGCCAACAAAGAUGGCAACCUGAAAGAAAGGCAAUCCACAUACCAACAAAAACGUUUGGCAAUGUGGAUAUCAUGAUGAUAGUAGCAGUUCAAGUAAUUCUGAAAAAACAGAAUUAUUUAAGAAACAAUCUGAUGAAGAAAAAACUUCAACAAAUCAAGAUGAAGACAUAAAAGUCUCAACUUAUAAUUCUAAUGAAGAAACCACUUCAUCUGAAGAUAUAGACGAAGAAAUAAAUAUUCUUGAACCAAUGGAUACUGAACCAACAGAUCUUUAUGGAAAAAGAAAAAUUAAGUCAGAUAUUCAAACAAAUGAUUAUCUGAUUAAAGAUUUAAGUAAAGUUCAAUAUACAACCAAUAUGUUGACCAGUAAUAUAAAAAAUUUAACUAUUGAUGAGAAAGAUCCUAAAAAAUAUAAGAAAAUUUAUUAAUAGAACUUUACUAGGACGGUUAGGUGUAAAACCUAAUACUCAUCAUAGGCAUAAAAAGAAAAAAUAUAAUAAACAAGUCAAAGAGAAAUUAAAAAAUAAAAAAUUUUCUGGUCAUAUUAAGAAUCAGUUUUCUAGAAGAAAAACUUCUAAAGAAUUUAAAAAUAUUUUAGAUAUUAAAAUAGGACAUAUAGUCAAAAACUUUUCUAACAGAAGAAAAGAAGUUGAAAAGAAUUAAUAGUCUUGAAAAACAAGAUUUAGAAAUAAGUUAUAAAAAGGAAAUAAAUCCUUAUAAAAUUGAAUCUGAUAAAAAUGAAAAAAUAUUUUUAUUAGAAAAUUCUAGAAAUAUUAGAAUUGAAAAAUUAAAAACAGUUCUUCAGCAAAUAAAAAUUGGGAAAAAUGAUAUAAUUAUAUUUUCAAAUUUUCAAGUUAAAAAAUAUUAUACUUAUAUUAAAAUCACAUUUCAGUUUAGAGAAUAUAAAAAAUAUUUUUUAUACGCUUUACUUGACACUGGAGCUACAACAAGUAAAAUUUUAUCAGCCGUAUAUAGUAAUUUGUUACUUGAUUAGAUAAGCUAUGUCACUGCAGCUUGAGUUUUGUCCUUUCAAACUCACAUAUCAUAUACAGUCAAAAAGUUGAUGAACAAAAGGCUAUUACUUUUACAACUUAAGAUAUUGACUUUAUCUUUAUUGACAAAGCCCUCUUAGUUUCCAUUAGCAUUUGUUCCUGCAUUUAAAAGCCGGUUAGUAUUUUAGAACAUGUAAAAACUUUAGCAGUAUUUUUUUUUCUUUUUUGUUACCCAAAAUUCAGUUUAUUACCUUAUUCUGAAGUUCAGAAAGCUGGUCAAGCAUAUAUUGGGUCUGCAAAAGAAGAUUGAAAUAAAACAAAGUGCUAGAAUUUGUGAAAGUUGAAAAUAUUAGGAGCUAAAAGAGAAAUCAAGAAAGAGGUGGACUGGCAAGUUAAUUAUACCAUAAAAUUACUACAGGUAUGAUUAAUCUUUUCAUGGAAAAAAAAACCCACUAUAACUGCUCUAUGAUAUCUCUUAAAGCCUAACAAAAUGGAUUAUGAUUUUGCUUCCACUAGUAGAUAUAACUUGCUGUUAAGUUUCAUCUUCUCCUGGAAACCUCUAAUCCAUAAGGAUUUAAAUGGCAAAUUCAACCAAAAACUCAUCUACAACCACAAUCUAAAUCCUUAAUUCAUGUGUACUUAUCAUCUAAAAUGAAUGCUAUGACCAGUAAAAAGAUUGAGGCUGCAAGCUUUAGGGUUUUUCUUAAUAGUUGAAAUGGGAAGAGGAAACCCACCGACAAGAAAAGGUAUUAAACUGACCAAAACAGUAUAGCCUACUUUCACAUUUUUUUUAUCCUGGUUUAAUAUUGAAUUUUAUCCCUCUAUUUUAAUAAAAUUUAAAAGUUAAUCCCUAUAAUUUGUCAAAUUUUGAUCAUCAUACUUUAUAAAAAUUGAAAAAUUAGUCCAAUUGGAUAACAUUGUUAAAUAGCUAAUAUGAAAAUUAGUAAUUUUCAAUUUAUAUCAACUGUCUAAUAAUUUAUAGGCAAUAAAUUAGCAACGGUUAAUAAUUUAAAUUUAUAUGUUUACCAACUAAAUCAAAUUUAAAUAAAUUAGAAAAAAAAAGGACUAAUUUUUCAGUAUUAUUAAAGUAGAAAUGAAAUUAUUCUAAUAAAGAUGUUAUUAUAUAGUACUGUUUCCCUAAUUCCUCUAGCCACUUCUAAUAUUAUUUGUGGUUAAUGAGCUUCAAUAGACAGUUUUUAACCCCCUCCAUUAGAUUUUAAGCAAAGCUAAUAAUAAUAAAUUGUAAUUUAAAUAAAUUACUGAUGAAGAAAAACUCUUCUAAAAAGAACACAACUUUUGUAAAAGAUAGAUUUGCUGACAAGUUGGGUCUGGUUAAAUUGGAUGGGAUUAAAUCAGAAAAAAAAAGUUUAUUUACCAUAACAUUCUAGUUUCAUAUUUAUUCCUAGCUAUCUUAAAAAUUCAGAAUAUAACAGAUGUGCAACAAAUGAUAAAAAAUAAAUAUACUAUGCUGAACAAUUGUAUGAAAUUCUCACUUGUAUAAACUCAAACAUAUCAAAGAUAUAUGUAAGCAGUAAUCAAAACUUACCCUUGGUGGAGCGGACAUGUUUCAGGGAUGACUCUAGUUGAUGCUCAAGCUGCUCAAGCUCCUUUGAGUUCAAUGGACCCAAGUCUUCACCAAGGAGAUUCCUGUUGAAUCAAAGGACCAAACCAGAUAGCACAUAAAAUUGCUCUUAUUCAAAUACUUUUAGUAAUUACAAUCAAAUUAAUAUACACUUCUAAAUGGACUAAUAGCCUAUCAAAUUAAUAUGGAAGUCCAAAGCUAUGGUAUGGUUGUAAGACUAAACACCUCUGAGUUCGAUUUAGUUCCUCAUAUCUAGCUUUCAGUUUUAGGUACUGUAAUAACCCAAAUUCGCCCGGCCCAAAUUAAAUAAUAAAUACAAAAAACAAAUAAAAAUUAAAAGUCCAUUUUUAAGGUCCAUUUACAUCCAGCCUAAUAAUAACUAACACGUUUAGCCCAAGACCCAACUACAAUAUGACCCAAACUGUUUUAACCUAAACUAUCCAAAUUUAACAGACCCUAAACCCAACUUUCUAAACUCGGAUCUCCUAGGCCCAAAACUCGGCCCAAAUCAAUGGAGCACCCUAGAGGCUUCUAGGGUUUUCACCAGCGCGCAGCCACCGAAGCCACCCUCCGCGCGUGCCAAGCCACUCCCCACGCAUGCAGCGCCUCCACGCCACGUUGGCCUCCAUACCACCAGCUAGAAUCCUCCGUACCUGCACACAAGCAGACAAACAAAAAAACAAGCAGAAAACGACAGCAAAGAAAAAAGAAAAAAAGGAUAUUAGUUGUAUUUUGGAUUCAUUUUUUUUAUCUUUAUCUUCGGCUAUAAAGCCAUUUUCCAAAUUUUGUAAACGUUACACACGCAUUUGAUAUUCAUUACGAAUACAAAAAUCAGAGAAAAAGGUGAUUUCCCCAGUUUUCCUCCUGUUUUGAUUUCAGUUUUCCUUUUCUUUUCUGCAUUCAAUCGUUAGAUUUUUAGGCGAGAAAGUAAUAAAGAAAAGAGGAAAGCGUACCUGACGUUAGGAUUUCGGCCUCCUCCGUCGUCAUCGGAGAGCAGGUCAGAAUCGGAGACUAUUCGCCUGCCUUUAGUACGCAGAACGGCGCAGAGUCUCCCUUAGAUUAGGUUUUUUCUUUUUACUAAAAUGAUAGGUGUUAGGGUUAUCUUAGUUUAAAGAGUAAGAAUCAAAACGUCGCCGUUCAGAGCCAAUACAAUGGCAUUGAAACUGUGUUGUUUCGAAGACUCGAUCCGAGCGGUGACCCGAUCCGGGAAGGAUCCGUGCUCCAUGGAUCGUUUGGUUUAUUUAUUCACCAAGCCCCUCUUAGUUUUGAUUAGUCUCAAUUUGGUUACUUUAGUUUUUUUUUUAAAAUUUAUACUGCGUAUUUAACUUUGUUUGCAUGUCGAUCCAAGGUUAAGCGACACCGUUUUACACCUGAUUGCUAAUGAAAUUGCUGAUUGAGUCCCAUAAGAUUAAAAAAGAUUUCAUGUUGGUACAAAUUUAGUUUUUUUUUUAAAUUCAAUAAUAUUUGUAAAUGCAAAUUAACCAUACUUACAUGUAUUAUAAAACUUAAUACUGUAUUUAAUUUUAAUAGUAUCUAAUUUUAUUAUAGUUUAAAAUAUAACAAAUCAUUAUUUUAACUUGUAUUUUAUGUCUUAAAUUCGUUGCACUAAUACUUGGGGUUUAUUGUUUUCUUUUAUUUUAUUUUUAUCAUUCUAAGUUUUACUUAAACUUUGAUUUAAAAUCCAUUAAUUAUUGUUUUCAAUUAUAAAAAAGGUCUUUACAUAAUAAAUUUUGAUUUCAAAAGUUUUUUUAAUAAAUCGAUUUUAUAUUCAUUAUUUUUAAUAUUAUUUUAAUAUUUAGCUUAAUACUAUUUUCGAAUUUGCUUUUAAUAUAUUUUUUAGAAAUGAUACCUAAAUUCCUUCAAAUUAUUAUAUUUUAAAUACGUUUUAAAUUCACUAAAUAUUAUUUCAAUUUUUUUAUAAUUAUACUUUUUUUAAUUUGAUAUAUUAUUAUAAAUUUCAUCAUUUAUUAAUACACAUUGUGGUAGAUUAAACAUAAUUAUAUAUUUAGAUGUUGUAUACUGUGAGUAAAAUUAUUGUUGCUAUUGUAUUUGUAUUUAUUUAUUGCUUAUUUGGCUACAUCUUAGUUUAGGUUUGAAUUAUCAUUUAUCGUUUUACAUUACGUUUUUUAAAACUUUGCACCUUUAUCAUACUAUUUCAUAUUAAAAAAGCCUAGCAUUUAUAAUCUUCGAAAAAAUUGAGCCCUAAUGUAUUGGGUUCCAAUUUUCCUCGUUGAAUCCAAAUAAUCGAAAUUUUUCUUUAAUCAAGAUAUAUAAAACUCACUCUCGGGAAUUCGAUAAGUCGUGUCCUAAUGUAUUGGCUGUGAUGCAUCGAUUUCUCGAAAUAAGGUUUUUUUUAAAAAAAAUAAGAGCAAUAUUCAAUGCUCAGAACUUUGAGAAAUCGUGCCCUAACGUAUUGGGUUUCAAUUUUUUUAUCGGACUUAAAGCAAUUGAAUAUCCUUUUAAAUCUCACCACGCAAAUUUUGAAAAUCAAAAGAUAAACUUAUUCUCGAGGACUAAAAAUGUCGUGCCCUAAUGUAUUGGAUGUGUCAUUUUAUUACUCUAAGAUAAGGAGGUUUUUGGUAUUCGCAUCGAUUUAUCCAUGCAUCUUUUAUGAAAUUAAUAAGAAGAAUCGUAUUUUAAAGCUUUCUAAAGUUUUAACACUAAGACAUAAAAUGAUCAAUUCAGUACCAUUUUUUUGGGUGUUUCGAAAGUGCUAACCCUUCCUCGAGCAUAACCGACUCCCGAACCUGUUUUCUCAAAAUUCACAGACCUAAAAUUAUUUUCUAAGUGAUCCGAUCACACCUUAAUAAAAGAUCGGUGGCGACUCCCGUUUUUUAUUUCCAAAGUCAAUUCUUUUUUUUUUCAAAUUUAAAAAUGGUUUUCUUUUCAAAUUUAAAAAUAGUUUCGACAGGUACUCCCUGUAGCUGCUCCGUGGCAACAAAGAUUCUUGCAUAGAGCAUGUUCACAUAUUCAAUUCUCCACUAUGCCAUCUUCUCUUUUACUUGACAUUCCCCAACAUCAAACACGUUCAGUUUCUUCCCCCCACAUACACAUCUUUAUAAACAUUUUUGUUAUGGGAUUUAAUUUGUUAAUUAAGUGAGUUUGGGGGGGAGAUUCUUGUGUUUUUAUUUUAAUGAAGGUAUAUAUUAAAAGGUGUUUUUAACGUCCCAUCCAUGGCCAUGGGACCUUUUGGGGGGGGGGGGGGGGUUAGAACAAAGUCUGAAACACUGCAAUAAAACUGGCAAAAGAUUGUGUCCUUCUCUGCAAUAGUGCCAUGUUAAUAACCACUCCUAACUUGUUCUCUGCUCCCCCAUCUUCCAUUUUUUGCUUUUCAAUUUCUUUUUUUAUUUUUUCAAGUACCAAAUAUAAAAGAAAAUUAAUAAAGCAUGCGAUUAUGAGAGAUUGAGAUUAUGUACUAAGUAAAUAUAAAGAGAAUGAUAAAAGCUUGAAGAUGAAGAGGGAUUAAAACAGGUAAUUAUAAAAUACUGAAUAAAAUAAUAAUAAUAAUAUGUUGAGUUGGAAGAAGAGUUUGGCAAAAUGUAGGUUUGAAAGAAAUUAAUGCAAGUGGGAGAAAAUAUUGCAGCCUUUGCAUUUGCAUGCCACGUUUUAGUUGGACUUGGAAUGACUCUCCAAUAUGGAUCCUUUGAUGAUGAAUUUAUGAUCAUCAUCACAUGUUACUAUGACUAACUUACAAAACCCUUAAUUACUUCAUCAGCUUGAGUUUUUUUCCCCUUGAUCUCCUUGCAACAGUAAAAAGUGCAGUUUUUUUCGUUUGUCACAGAGAAUUGGAAGUAUAUAUAUGUAAGAGAUGAAGAGAUGGAUUAUAGCAUUAAUUAGUGAAAAAAAAUCAAAAAAAACCUGCAGUUAGCAACAAUGUACUCAUCAGAAACUUUCAGAUCAUAUCAUCAUCAUCAUCCUACACUGAUCGGCAUUGAUAAUAAUACCAUAAACUAAAUCAAAAUCAGAAUAUUGAAAAAAACAAUCCAUUGGAAGUUAAUAUGAGCUCUAUGCAUGAGGUGAGAGAUCAUAAACAGUGUUUGAGAGACGCAAGGCCUAGAAAUACCAAUCAAUCACGAUGUUUAGUUAUCACAUUCUUUUUUACUUCUAAAAUGAACAAUUAUUUUAUAGGUACUCAGAAAUUUGAAGGGAGUGUAAGUGCUGGCAGAGUAUUUAUUUCUUUUGCAGUUAGAAAAGUGAAUCAGAUAUAAGCAGAAAGUAGCCAACUCUUGUGUCAUAAGAAAGAAGAGUGGACUCCUAAUUAGCAUCCAACAACAAAAGCUCGUUAUACUACGUGUUGUGCUUUUUUGAACAUGAUAAGUAUAUAUUGUUACAGUCAGUACAAUCUAAUUCAAUUCCAUAACAUGUGACCAUUGACCAACACGCAUCUAUACCAGUGCAUGAUAAUGAAUAAACACAAGAAAACACAACAUGAAUGAAUAAACAUACAGCAUAGAAGGUAGAAACAUUGAACUCUGAAUCUGGAUGACUCAAAGGGAGAAGGUCAAUUGAGAUUCCAAGGACUCAUCUAUUUGAUGGAAACUUGUCCAAGUUUUACCAAUGUCAACUGGUCGGAAUAAACACACAGAAAUAAGUACAAUCUCCGCAAAUAGACAAGUCCUUUAAUAAACAUAUAGAAAAUAAGUCCAAUCCCUGCAAAUAGAUGUGGUAUAUUUUGCUAGUAAACCCAAUUUACUAGUUGACGUUGGUAUAGAAAAUAUAGCAAACUAGGAGUAGUUAUCCCACAUUGAUGGAAACUAUUGACCAACAAAGGCAGCUACUUGGUGUUCUAUGUGCAUUCCUACCUAUUCUUUUGAUUCCAUGUGUGAUUGUGGCAAAACCAAAUUGAGAUAUACAAAUGAAAAUGCUUUUUAUUUGAAAACUUACAGUGUUAAAGAAGCAAAUUGAUCAUACGAUCUACUAAUGAUUUGAGUCUUGAGUGAUCCAGCAAUACAGCUGACAGCGGCGUGGAAAUGAGUUUCAUCCUUUUGGUCAUUCUGUCAAUAUUUAAAAAUAAAAAAUAAAAACCAACAGCUAGUCAGUACAUUUCAAAUAGAAAAAGAAGAAGAAAAACAUGUUAAUCAAAAAACAUAUCCAUUACGAAAAAGCUUAAUUACGGUAUUAAUCCAUGAAAGAAAAAAGAAAACCAAUUACUGAAAAAACUGUAAAGAAAAGGAAAUGGGUAUCCUUUAUCUGUUUUGAUUAUACAUAAAAACUUACACCAGGACAUGUCGUGUUGAACAUUUUCGGAGAAGCAUCGACCAAGUAAACAACAUACUCUUUGGAACUCUCACUUUGCUGCAAAUAUUGGAUAAAAACAACACAAUUACAUCUCUCGUUUCUUAACCAUGGAGAAGAAUAUAGAAGAAAAGAAAGAGAAAGAGAGGAAACCUAUUUUGAUAAUGAAACUGUAAGUACCAUAAGAUUCAAACAUUUUCAGAACUUUAUAACACCUAAAGAAAAAAUAGGUAAAAGAAGACAAACCUAUUUUGUUCUGCUUGGACUUUGGCAUCUUCGACGAUUAAGGUUUGUCUAAAAGAAGAAGAAAAAACGCCAAAAAAGCGACUGCGUUGCUCUGCUUAUGCAACUCCAAAAAGGGGUUUUCAAUGUUACUCCGGUUCUAGAUUUGUUAGGAUUUUGAACUUUAUAUAGGGGCGGUUUUUAUUUUUAAGGAUAGAAUCGGGUCUGGCUUUUAUUUUUAACCAAAGUUAAUGAAUGCAAUUAAAACCACGCGAUUUUAAUAAAAGUAAAAAAAAAUUUGCCGCCUUUAUAGAAAAAACAACGCUAUUAUUUUACUUUUAGCGGUGUUUAUGAGAAUUAGUUAAGUGAUUUUAUAAAAUAUUUAUUAUUAUUAUUUUUUAUAAAUUGAAUUUUUAUAAUAGAAAAACUCAAUACUCUCAAAAUAAAUAUCGUAUAUUUUAAUAAGAAACCAAAUGAUUAAAUGGCUGUAAUUAAUUAUUAAGUUAGAAUUAUUCAAUGUAAGCAAUCAAUCUCUCACAUAUCAAAUUUCUAUUAAAGAUUGAGAUGUUAAUCAUGAUUUUAUAUUAUUCUUUUCCGAUCUAAUCUCUAUUUUAUUAUAGAUAUUUCUUCCUAACUAAAAUAUAACUAUUUUGCUAGAUGUUCGAUCUGAAAUAAUUUUAGUUUUUGUAUUUAAUUUUUAUUUGUUAUCAUUUGGUCCUAUCCAAAAUAGAUAGUUUACCUAUCCAUAUCUAUAUGUUACUUUUUUUUAUUUAUUUAUCAAUGUUUUUUUAAAUCUAAUAUUUAAAUAUAUCAAAUGGUUUAGAUUAAAUAUUUUUAAAUAUAAAAGUAUUAAUUAUAAAAUUUUAUCAUUUAACAAAUAUCAAGUAAACCUUAACUCCUAAACCAUUUAAUAUAUAUAAAGUUUAUCUAUUAAAUUAAUUAUCUCUUAAAUAAUUUAAACUAUAAUCAUAAUUUUAAUAUAUUAAAAUUAAUAUUAUCUCUUUUACAAUUAUAUAAGAAAUUAUUUAAUAUAUAAAUUAAAAAACACUAAUUAAUCUAAACCUUAAACUCCUAACCUCUAUCCUUUAAACCCUAAAUCAUAAAACAUAAACCCUAAACCCUUAAACCUUAAACCUCAACCCUUAAACCAUAAACAAUAAUCCCUAAACCCAUGAUCCAUAAACCUUAAAAUAGUAACUCUUAAACCUUAAACCUUAAACCAUAUACCCUAAACCAUAAACCCUAAACUAUAAUGCUAAUUAAUUCAAUAUUUUAAAAUUAAUACUAUCUCUUUUACGAUUAUAUAAGAAAUUAUUUAAUAUAUAAAUUAAAAACAAUCAGUCAUGUACUCAAAAAACUUUAAAAUUAUUUUAAAUAAUAGUAUUUUAAUUUUUUUCAUUUUUAACAAAUAUUUUUCUAUGUUUUUACUUUCAAAUUUUUUCUACGUGUCAUUAUUUUUUUUGAAGAAUUUAAAUAUUCAAUUAAAAAUAAAUUGUAUUUUAAUUAAUAUAAAUAAACAAGUUAAAAUAGAUAAAAAAAUUUUGCGGCGUUUCUGAUAAAGCGCCGCUAAUGCUCAAUCUAUAGCGGUAUUUUUCAAAAAGCACCACUAAUGCUACUAAAGCUCAACAUAAAACGACGCGCUUAAUUUUUUUGCGGCGUUUCUCAAAAAGCGUCACUAAAGGUUGACGGUGCUUUUCAAAAAAUCACAGUUAAUGCUCGAUCUAUAGCGGCGUUUUCCAAAAGUCACCGCUAAUGCUCGAUCUGUAGCUGCGUUUUUCAAAAAGCGCCGCUAAUGAUCGAUCUGUAGUGGCAUUUUUCAAAAAAAGUCGUUAAUGUUUGAUCUGUAGCGGCGUUUUCUAUCCAAACGCAACUAAAAGUGCCGCUAAAAACCUGUUUUGUUGUAGUGUGUACAUGUAUAAUAGAAGUUAUGAACCAAACAGAGACUAAAUAGAGCAUACAAACAUAGUUUUACCAAUCAAUACAAUCAACAACAUUUUUAAUCACCUUCCAUUGUUAUACCAAUAUGCCACAUAUGACACCCAAUUCAAUCAACAUUCAAUUGAGCAUGUUAUACUAAUCAGCUAUCACUUUGUAACUAACCAAAAUGAUACCAACCAUCUAAUAACCACCUUUUUAGCAUUAUAACAAAGCAAUACCUUCUAUUCAAAUAUUCAUCAUCAUUCACUAUCACCAUUUUGCUUAACCAUUCUUUGACCACCACAUCAUAGGUACAUGUUCAUUUCAAACUUAUGUACAUAUCAUAUAAGCACUAAGAUCAACCAUUUCAUAUGUUCCUUUAAUGUCAAAGGUUCAAGAUUAUUAAGAUUUAACUCAACGACACUUACUAAACAACCCUAUAUACAUUUAAACUCUAAAAACAUGCCAAAAUAUCAUAUAUCACUCUUUCAAACCAUCUAAUACAACCCUUCCACAAUUCGACAUCAAAACAUAUCAAAAUAACUUAAAUAAACACAACCUCACCAGCCAAUUCUUUUAUCCAUAACAUGAUAUCAUAUUAUCUAAUUGCAUACUCAAAAUGCUAUUUCAUGAGUCAUUUGCACAAUUCAAAUCAUCUACUAAAUGCAUAUGGUUUCAACUAUGUAUAUUCUUUGCCAUAAAUCAUGUUAACAUAGAUUUCAAACCAUAUCACUAUACAAAGAAACCAAAACAACUCUUAAGUACAUGUCACACAUAACUGAGCCUUAAUACGAUUAAAAGACUACCAAAUCAAUAACGAAAUAGUGUGAGUUUUUUGUCGAUUAGCCUGACAUGUUCCGCAAAUUGACAAUCUACAGGAAAAAGGGAGUAAGCAUUACAAAUGCUUAGUAAGUUCAUAGCUAUUAAAACAACAACUUACCUCAUUUUAUGAAUUUAUGCAAUAAGUUAUUCAACUUGACGAUUUUGCCUAAAUCCAACAACCCUAUAUCAACAAGGUGAGUUCAUCUCGCAACCCAUUCAUAUAAUAAUAUGAACAUUUAAUAUUUCAAAUAAUUUUAAUACCAAUCGCAUGGAAAUCAACAACCCAGUACCAUUCAUAACAUUCUAAUUAACAUUUCAAUUCACAAAUACAACUAAAAAUCUCAGUGGUACACAUGUAUCAAUAUAUUUAAGCUUUAAUCGAUCAAUCUAAAGAUUAUAUUGUAUCAUUUCAUUUUGUUGUCAACCAUACAUCCAAUUUCAAUAUAAUGGCAAUCAUUAUUUCAUUUUAUUGUUUGAAUUCUCAAUCCAAUUCAUAUUAAUCCAUAUGAAUUUUAUUCCCGUGUCAUAUAAAUUAAUCUUUAUACCAAAUAGAUAUUUAAUGUCAAUUUAAUGUCAAUCACUACUUUGUUUCAUAGUACGAAUUCUAAAUCACACUCAUUGAUUUGUCACGUAUUCAUAUUAACCUUCUGUGCUUGUAUAAUUGAUUCUUAAUAUAUAUAUGUAUCAUCCGAUCAUCAUAUCAACUUAAUUUGAAUAUUAUUUAUUCCAUUUACAAUAUACAUGCCCCUAUUAACCUGACUCAGACACGGAUGGAUACAUGGAUCCACCCAACACACCAAAUUGACACCCAGUGCCUAUUGGAUAAAUCCAAAAAUAAUAAGUUACACCCUAUGCUGGUCAGUAAAAUAAAAAAAAUAGAUGUGCUCAACAUUGGUCAGUAAAAUCAACAAAUGGGGUUCCCAACACUCCCCGACACGUAGUCAUAUAACCCUGAACUCUUCCUAUCCUAUGACAUGCCAACUAUAUCCAGUUAUGCCCGACUAAUUAAUAGGGUAACAAUUUCUCGAUUUCAUUACAUAAUUUCAUCAACCAAACAAUCAAUUCUCAAAUAUAAUAGCACAUCACAUAAUCAUACUGAUUCAAUUUCAUGUUUACAACAUUAUAUCAUUCUUUCACAUAUAUUCACUUGGUCCUUAUCACUAUCAACCUGUCUAAAUCGAAUCAAUUCAACUCAUUUCAUUGCAUCAUUACAUAACAUAUCUCAUUUUAGUUCAAUUUAUGGUCAAUUCCAUAAUUAUUUCAAUUUGUAAUUCAUUGUAUUCAAUUUAAUCCUAUAUCUCACCUUUUUGUACCAAAUCGUAAAGAAUUAAAAUUUCAAUUAAAUAUAAUUAAAAUUAUAAUUCUAAAUGCAUAAAAAAUUUAACACAAACAUACCGUAUAAACUUACCAAGCCAAGACAAAAAAAAACCUCUCUAAGCACUAAUCAACAACUUUUGCCAUUUCCUUGAUUAUCUUCAAUUUGGUCUAAUUUUCGAUAUAUUCAACAGUUCGAUUCAAUUUAUCAAUUCUAAACAUCUUAUAUAAUUCUAUUAUAAUUACACAUCAAUUUAAGUUUAUUAUUUAAAUGCCCCUAAACUUUUACAUUUUAUUCAAUUUAGUCCAUAAAAUCGAACUUAUCAUAUCUUCCGAAUUUGAACUCCAAAUUUUAAACUCACUUCAAUUAUGUCCAUAUACAACCUCAUAUUAUCACAAUUUAUAAAAAUUUCAUACAUAUUUCAAGAUAUUCACAAUUUAAUCCUUAAACUCAAAACUAACAUAAUUUACUUAACAAAUUAAUCCUAUUUCAUUUCUAAGCUUCAAAAUAUACCUUAAACAUUCAAAAAAUUCAAAUAAUCAAUGGGAACUUUUUAAAUAUUUGGAAGUUUUGAAAACGGAGAUACGAGUUAGAUAAACCUAGUUGUAACUAUCUUAAAAACAUAAAAAAUCAUGAAAAAACUGGCUUAGAAAACAUUACGAUGCAAGAGAAACAUGUUGUUGAACCAUGAAGCUUCUCCCAUAGUGGUUUUUGAGUUUCUUAUUUGGUGAAGAAAACAAAUGAAAGUGAAAACUUUCAUUUUUUUUAUGUUUUAACUAUUAUAAUAUUAAUUUAACCUUAAAAUUAAAUAAAAAUUUAAUUAUAAAAUUCAAAUAAAACAUUUAACAACCGACCACCAAAAAAUAAAAGGGUAAUUUGUAACUUAAAACUCUUAUCAUUAAUUAAUUUUGCCUUUUAGCUAAUAAAAACCAAUACCGAUUAAAUUUUACUAUUUUUAUGAUUUAGUCCUUUUUCCUUAUUUAACCAUCCAAUCACUAAAAUUUUUGGACCAAAUUUCAAUUCACCUAUAUAACAGAUCCGUAAAUAUUUAAUAAAAAUAUUCAUGGGUUAGAGUUUCAAAAAUUUGGUCUCGAAACCUUAUUUUCCAAAACCACUUGACUUUUGGUAUGCACCACUUGUACCUUGACUAACUGAUCAAUUAAUAAAAUCUAUUAAAUCACAAUUUCCUAUUAUACUAUAUUUAACUCAUGAAUAUUAAUUAAAUAUAUCUAUGGACUCUCUUGUCAAAAUUGUGUUCUUGAAACCACUACUUCUGACACCAUUGAAAAACGAGAUAUUACACUUCAUUCAUUUAACGUCCCACCAUAACACUAAUACUUCUUUCAAUUAAUAUCAAGAAGGCAUAUGCAUUUCUACAUUAACAUGCAAUCCACUUCGACUUUUAUGGCUCAUCAACACAAGAGCAAUUCAUAUACCAUUUAACCAUAUUCAUUCAAUAACCAUGGACUCACAAAUAAAUAAUAGUUCACUACUAAUUAAUACUUCAACGGCUUAUGCAGAAAACAAUUAUAUACAUAAUUAGUCUUAAAUUUAGACCACAUAUUCACACUCAAAUAGAACAACAUUGACAACAGUUUCACACAACAAUGACAAAGUUAAACAUCUCCAGAUUAUAGAGUAAAUUUUCGAGCAAAACAUAACCCUGUAGCAUAUAGAUGAAAAUAAAAGUUGGAGUUCAAAAAUCACUCGCAAAACACCCAAAUGCUAGAACCCUACACUUGUUUUUUCCUUUCCUUUGUCACUUUGGCCUCAUCCUUGGUUAGUUAAAUAAAAUAACCAUUCGUCAAUAAAAAUGACAACAUUCAUAAGCAAGACAAUCGAAAUCCAUUAACAUGCAAAAUAUUUUUGUAAGCUAUCUAAGAUCUUAUGUUCACAGCCAUGAAGUUUACCAUAACUUACAAGUUUCUUACCUCUUCCUUUCAGUCAAAAGGUGUAGAAGGGUUAGAAAGGUUACCGGCUCACUAGAUUCUUAAUUUCUCAAGCUAACACGUCUAGUUUUCCUUCAUACAAACUACUUCUUACUUCCUUACAAUUCCAAAAAAAGAAAAGGAAAAAUUAAGAAGACAAAUACCAGGACAUGAGAAUCGAAGAAUAGCAUAUUUAGUUCUUCUACUUAUACUCCUCUUACCUCCGUUCACCAAUUCCAACAUUCAAUAUAAAAUUAUUUAAGCUAUAAUCAUGUUGUUCCCCACUUAAUCAUCUAGAUCUAAUGUAAUGGGACCAAAAUUGAAAUUCAAUUUGUCUACCAAUUGGUUCACAAGAUUUAGUAAUCCAGACAAAAGCCCUCAUGAACUAAGUGUUUCUUAAUUAAAUACCUCUACUUACCGUGGAUUUUUCAAAAAAUCAUUUUAAUAAAUUUCUUAUCUACAAUCAAGACCAAACUUUAAUUUAACAGUUUCGGGUGUGAUAACUCUCCACCCUUAAGAAAAAUUUAGUCCCCGAAAUUUUUUUACUUUUCAAAUAAGUGCAAGUAUUUUUCCAUCAUGGAACUUUUUCUUUUCGCAAAUGCAUCACCCCAAUAUCAGUUUAUACAUAAAUAGCUAGCAUUAAACAAAUAAGAGAUACCUGCAAUAGCGCCUAGACUCUCUGUAUCUCCCUUGGCUCGCAUCACGUAUUUGCUUCUAUCAGCUCGUUAUGGAUAGUCCCUCUUAAAGUGACCCUAUUCUCCACAUUUGAAGCAAACACCUAACACCUUCCAGUAUUACCUUUAUGGUUCUUCCCACACUGUUCGCAAGUGGGGCUGGACAUCCUCCCCGACCCUCCAAUGCUAGCUACUGACGUGGUUUGGCAUCUAUCACGAUCCUGCCUAACAAUGUGGUUUGGAAUCCCCUAUUAUCCCAAGUCCUCUUAAUUCCAGGGCCUAGAAAUGGGCUUGUAGCUCCUUGUUUACCUUUUUCUUGAUCUUCAGCUUUGUUCUUUUCUUGUAUCAUCAUCUUCAUCCACUAGGCUUUAGCUAUCAAAGCAACCAAGUCUAAGAUUUCAAGCGCUGCCAAUAACAUACGAAUCGCUUCAAUUAAACCUCACUCAAAUCGGACCCAAAGGUCCUCCUCCAUUGGUGCCAACUCCCAAGCGUACUUGCUUAGUUUAAUAAAUUCAUGCUCGUAUUCAAACACUAUCAUCUGCCCUUGAUUAAGGUUUAAGAACUCUCUUUUCAUCUGUUUAAUGAAGAAUUAGCUAAUAUAUUUUUCUUGAAACUUCUACAAAAAGAAAUCCUAGUUAAUUUUCGCAUGUGGGUAGAGUAUGCCACCACUUGUAACACCUUGUACCUGACCUGAUUGUCAGGUCCAGGCUAUAGGAUGCUACACUUAAAUUUAAAAUUUAACUUAGACCUUGAGCAUUGUUAUCCACAAAUAAUAAAAGAAUGAAGACAAUAAUAUAUUUAAUAUUGCUACUAAGUAAAUUCAAAACUUCCAAGAAUCUAUGUCAACAAUAAAACUUUAACUUAAUAUACAACAAUUUCACCAAUUAAUCUUUAACAUGUUUAAAGUAUUCAGUUUGUGCUAAAAUUUAUAUUCUAACCAUUUAUUUCUUCUACAGCAAAGACCCUGAUACUCUGCCUCUGGGUUGCCCCAUUGUAUGCAAGUUACAACUAAUAAACAUAUCUGCCGAUGUAUGGCGAACUCUGGCCUGGUCCCUUCUCGAACUUCCAAAAUCCCCUAUUCACCUACAAUGCAUAACAACACAAGUUCUAAAGAACUUAAUGAGUUUCCAUACCUUACUAACACAAUGCUAUUACGAUUGCACUUCGUGACUGGGACUUCACAACGAUUUUUGCCUGUAUUAAGACAAUACGACAUCCUCUUUUUUUUACAAUAGAUGAUUCUUUGGUGGUUUUCACUUACCAAUUCCAUUUUUAUUUAUUGCCUUCAUGACCUAUAUGCAUUUAUCUCCUCGAGAGGGAAAUCCUUGUGUAUUCCUACUUACGAACGGUAAAAGAUAAAGUGUAAACAAUACUCAUGACACUCCUUGCAUCAAUGGCUACAAAUCUUCACAUAAGACCAUUCUUGGCGAAUAGUGUCUAUCGCGAGCUAUUAAUAAUAUUUUGUCUUACCGAACUAAGACUCAUAUUAUGAUCGUUUUGGAUCAUUAAGGGAAACACCCUUACGGCAUAAUAUAGAAAGUCUACUCAUUCCUAUCAAAUGGAUAGAUCGGAGAAUACAUCAUCUUACUCUUGUUCCAUAAUCAAGUAGUCCACUCCUGGUGGUUAUCUCUUUGAAAUAGAUAACAUGUAGGCAGAUUCUUAACAGUGAAUCCUCUAUUUGCGGAAUCAUACAUAUGGGACAUUCAUGUGGACUACCGUAUCUUUCAUAUAUAAGUUCUUCAUUUUGGAAGUAUAGGAGAAUACCUUGUAUCGUCCCCAAAAGAAACUAGUGGACUGUCAUAUAUGUAUGAUAUAACUUCUAUACAAUUUGCAUGUACAGUGAGCUUGAGCUUAGGAUUUGCCACUAGCACAUGGAUUCAUUCUUGGCAGACUUGUAAAGUUAAAUUUGAAUCCUCGAAUUCUCCUGCGACUCUUACCAAAGUGAAUUCUAUAACUACUGUAGGUGCAAAUCUGUAAGAAUAAGUCAGUGGACCAUCAUAACUUAUAUCCGCUUCACCUUAUUUGCUAGCAUAUGCAUCAUAGCCUUCUCAUAAUAAUAGAUAACCCAUUUUUUAGACUCAUACCAGUGGACAUAUUGUGGAAUCAUAUUCACAAGAUAGUUUUGGUGAACUUUCCUCACAACAAUAGUCCUAAAGUGCUUUCCCCAUAUUAGAUAGUCCUCAUGGACCUCCAAAAGAUAGUCCUUAUGGACCUCCCACAUUAGAUAGUCUUUAUAGGCUUUCCACAUAUGAUAAUCCUAAUGGACUUUCCACGUUAGGUAGUCCUGAUGAACUUCCCACAUAAGAUAGUCUUGAUGGACUUUCCACAUUAGAUAAUACUGAGGACUUUCUACAUUAGACAGUUCUAACGAACUUCCCACAUAUACGGUAAUGUAAUGGCCAUGGAGUUCCAUUCGUCCCACUAAGGGCUUUCGUACAUCCCUCAUAAGGGGCUCUCAAUCUUCCUAUAAAAGGAUCUCACAUUGGUGCACACCGUUUUUUGUAUAAUUUCAAAUCUCCUUUCUUGGCUUAAUCCAACCGAACCUCCCUCAAAGCCACAUACGUAAAAUGCAUAUGCAACCAUGCAUGACCAUCCGAACCUCUGCAAAACCAUAGAAAUAAAAGGCAUAUCAUACAUACAUUCCGCCUAUAAGAACUAUGAAUCAUAUGACAUAUAUCUCGCCAAAUAUUUCAUUGAUAUGUCAUAAUAAUUCUUACCACCAACCAAUCAUAUCACUUUAAUAUAAAAUAAUACAAUACGCCAAACACUUUAUUUACUCAACAUAACUAGUUCACAACCAUCUGUAUAUUUACAUACUACACUGCUUGCAACCACCAUACACCAUUACUUUGCCAUAACAUUUUCAUAGUUCAACUAUAGAAGAAUUCAUCAUUCACAUAACACUGAAGUAAGCCUAUUCUACUCGUGAAACUGAACAAAACAUUUAUUUACUAGUUGAGUUCUGAAACUCACCUGGAAGUUGAUGCCAAAUCCACCCAUUAAAAUUUUUCCUUUGCUACAUGAGCCUCUAGUAGCUUGAUCAAUACAACUUGAUAAAUCAUCAAUUAUUUGUCCACAAUUGAUCUGUUGUAAUUCAGUGAAGUAGACUAAACUAGUUUUCAUACUUAAGGAGCUUGAAGGCGAGCAAUUUUAUCAUGUUUUAGUUAGUUUUUCUAUCUUAUCUUUAAAUUCAAUAAAAAGUUUAUAUUGAUUCAUUUUAUGACCUUAGGGGCCAAAAGAGGCCGAAAAGUACGCUAACGUACUUAAAUACUGUGCAUGAUAUCAUUCAAAGGCAUAAUAGUUCAAGACUGGUCGCUGUGUUACAACACGGGAAGUGUAAUGUCGUAACAUAGAGAGUAGAAUACAAGAAUUCCAAUACUACCUUUAGUGUCGUAACACAUGCACUGGGUGUCGUGACACCGACUCUAUAUGGGAGAAAUUACAAGUGAAGGGUGUUUUGGUCCGCACAAUAUAUUUUUAUAUAAAAACAUCAGCCAACCUAGGGUUAAGGAUGACAACCAACUCUAACUCUAUAAAUACACUUAUUAGGCACUUGUUUAGGGACAACUUUCAUAGUUUAGAAUUUCUCUGUAAUUAGUUUUUAGUUUUUCUUUUUUUAGGCUUUAGAUUUAUUUUCAUUUAUUCCCGUUCGUGUUCUUUGGAGAAUCUGAUUUGUAGAUUCGAUUAAAAUUUUGUGGAUUAUGCGCUUCAUCAAUCAAUACAAACUCAGGAUUCUUCUUAAACUAUAUUCUUGAUCUGUUAUUAAUUUUUAAUUAUUUUAUCAAGUAUAUGUUGUUUAUGGAUUCCAUGAGGAACUAAUCCUCUUAUGAGGGGUUAGAGAGUGGAAGUGGGAUUAACUAAUUGAUAUUUAAGGUUUUCUUAGACGAUCAACUAUUUAGAGAGGAAGAACUUAAACCCUAAACCUGAAAACCCUAGGAAGUCAUUUAGGUGGGAAUUCACCCAAAAUUGGUAUGACAUAUCCCUAAACACCUUAGCCUCGAAUCGAUCUGGACUAUAAGGUCAAAAGAUAAGUAGUUCUUACAGACUCGUUAGUUUAGUAGAAGAUCGAGAGAUCCUGCUAGGGUGACCAUUAGUUGAUUGAAUAGAAACCCAAAAUAGGAAUUAAUUAUAACCAUCAAAGCGAUCUAAUCACCCAUGUUUAGGUUUGGUUAAGUUUAGAUUUCAGUAUCCGAAGCUAAUUUUAUUUAUGCAGUUUUUAUUUCUUUAUUAUAAAAACCUGAAAUAUUUUAUUUAUGUUUAAAUGUAAUAUAAUUGAUUUAAAGUACUAAUUAGAUCUAUAUUCAUUUAAGUUAAAGUUAAUUUAGUAUUAGCCUCCCUUGGGUUUGACCCUUGGAGUACUCACCUACUUCAUUGUAAAAACUAUAUUCUAACCUGACUCGUAUACUUGCAGACAACAACUCAAUUCCAUUCAUUUAGUUGCAAUAUUUACACUCUUGAUGUUAGUAUGUCCGGAGGCGGUCAAAUAUUUCGUGCCAUUGCCGAGGAGGCAACGCCACUAAAUUGAUUUUAAUUUUUGAGUUUUAUAGGAUAAUUUGGAAAUUUAUAAAUUGUAUAUACAAUUUUUUUAUUGUUACUAACAUAUUUUAUUUUCUUUUUAGUUUCAAUGUAUGACUCGUAGUAGUAGAACAAUUAUAGAGCGAGUCACUGAUCUAGAGAAUAUAAUCUGUAGGAAUCGUCAAUAGCCAUAGCAGAUGCAAAACCAAUCACCUGUUGCAAGCAAUCUACCAUGCGAUAACUCGUUGUUUGAUGAGGUAAACGAACUUAACAUCCAAGACUUACCACCACUACCGCAAUUACCAGCAAACCCUUCGAUGGCAUGAGAAGAGCGAAACCUAAGGGAUUACGCACUACCAAAUCUGGUGAUGGUUCAAGGUAGCAUUACAAGGCCAACCAUUAUGGAAAAUAAUUUUGAAAUAAAAUCGACCAUGAUAUAGAUGAUCCAAAAUAAUCUGUAAUUCAGAGGCACCAUGACGGAUGACCCAAAUCAACAUCUAAAACGGCUCCUUCAAUUUUGUGAUACAUUUAAAUAUAACGGGGUCAUUGAUGAAGCUAUUGAUCUUCGGUUGUUUCCCUUAUCCUUGAUCGAUAUUCGUUUAAGUUAAAGUUAAAGUUAAUUUAGUAUCAGCCUUCCUUGGGUUUGAUCCUUGGAGUACUCACCUACUUCAUUGUAAAAACUAUAUUACAACCUGACUCGUAUACUUGCAGACACCACCUCAAUUCCAUUGAUUUAGUUGCAAUAUUUACACUCUGGAUGUUAGUAUGUCCGGAGGCGGUCAAGUGUUUGGUGCCAUUGCCGAGGAGGCAACGCUACUAAAUUGAUUUUAAUUUUUGAGUUUUAUAGGAUAAUUUUGAAAUUUAUAAAUUGUAGAUACAAUUUUUUUAUUGUUAAUAACAUCUUUUAUUUUCUUUUUAGUUUCAGUGUAUGGCUCGUAGUAGUGGAACAGUUAUAGAGCGAGUCACUGAUCUAAAGAGAAUAAUCUGUAGGAAUCGUCAAUAGCCAUAGCAGAUGCAAAACCAAUCACCUGUACUAAUUAGAUCUAUAUUCGUUGAAGUUCAAGUUAAUUUAGUAUUAGCCUCCAUUGGGUUUGAUCCUUGGAGUACUCACCUACUUCGUUGUAAAAACUAUAUUACAACCAGACUCGUAUACUUGCAGACACCACCUCAAUUCCAUUCAUUUAGUUGCAAUAUUUACACUCUAAAUGUUAGUAUGUCCGGAGGAGGUCAAGUGUUUGGUGCCAUUGCCGAGGAGGCAAUGCUACUAAAUUGAUUUUAAUUUUUGAGUUUUAUAGGAUAAUUUGGAAAUUUAUAAAUUGUAGAUACAAUUUUUUUUAUUGUUACUAACAUCUUUUAUUUUCUUUUUAGUUUCAGUGUAUGUCUUGCAGUAGUGGAACAGUUAUAGAGCGAGUCACUGAUCUAGGGAGAAUAAUCUGUAGGAAUCGUCAAUAGCCAUAGCAGAUGCAAAACCAAUCACUUGUACUAAUUAGAUCUAUAUUCGUUUAAGUUAAAGUUAAUUUAGAAUUAGCCUCCCUUGGGUUUGAUCCUUCGAGUACUCACCUACUUCGUUGUAAAAACUAUAUUACAACCUGACUCAUCAACUUGCAGACACCACCUCAAUUCCAUUCAUUUAGUUGCAAUAUUUACGCUCUGGAUGUUAGUAUGUUCGGAGGCGGUCAAGUGUUUGGAGCCAUUGCCGAGGAGGCAACGCUACUAAAUUGAUUUUAAUUUUUGAGUUUUAUAGGAUAAUUUGGAAAUUUAUAAAUUGUAGAUACAAUUUUUUUAUUGUUACUAACAUCUUUUAUUUUCUUUUUAGUUUCAGUGUAGGACUCGUAGUAGUGGAACAAUUAUAGAGCGAGUCACUGAUCUAGAGAGAAUAAUCUGUAGGAAUCGUCGAUAGCCAUAGCAGAUGCAAAACCAAUCACCUGUUGCAAGCAAUCUACCAUGCGAUAACGCGUUGUUUGAUGAGGAAAACGAACUUAACAUCCAAGACUUACCACCACCACCGCAAUUACCAGCAAACCCUUCGAUGGCAUGAGAAGAGCGAAACCUAAGGGAUUACGCACUACCAAAUCUGGUGAUGGUUCAAGGUAGCAUUACAAGGCCAACCAUUAUGGAAAAUAAUUUUGAAAUAAAAUUGACCAUGAUCUAGAUGAUCCAAAAUAAUCAUCAAUUCAGAGGAACCAUGACGGAUGACACAAAUCAACAUCUAAAACAGGACCUUCAAUUUUGUGAUACAUUCUAAUAUAACGGGGUUAUUGAUGAAGCUAUUCAUCUUCGGUUGUUUCCCUUAUCCUUAAUCCAUAUUCGUUUAAGUUAAAGUUAAAGUUAACUUAGUAUUAGCCUUCCUUGGGUUUGAUCCUUGGAGUACUCACCUACUUCGUUGUAAAAACUAUAUUACAACCUGACUCGUAUACUUGCAGACACCACCUCAAUUCCAUUGAUUUAGUUGCCAUAUUUACACUCUAGAUGUUAGUAUGUCUGGAGGCGGUCAAGUGUUUGGUGCCAUUGCCGAGGAGGCACCGCUACUAAAUUGAUUUUAAUUUUUGAGUUUUAUAGGAUAAUUUGGAAAUUUAAAAAUUGUAGGUACAAUUUUUUUAUUGUUACUAACAUAUUUUAUUUUCCUUUUAGUUUCAGUGUAUGUCUUGCAGUAGUGGAACAGUUAUAGAGUGAGUCACUGAUCUAGAGAGAAUAAUCUGUAGGAAUCGUCAAUAGCCAUAGCAGAUGCAAAACCAAUCACUUGUACUAAUUAGAUCUAUAUUCGUUUAAGUUAAAGUUAAUUUAGUAUUAGCCUCCCUUGGGUUUGAUCCUUGGAGUACUCACCUACUUUGUUGUAAAAAGUAUAUUACAACCUGACUCGUCUACUUGCAGACACCACCUCAAUUCCAUUCAUUUAGUUUCAAUAUUUACACUCUGGAUGGUAGUAUGUCCGGAGGCGGUCAAGUGAUUGGAGCCAUUGCCGAGGAGGCAACGCUACUAAAUUGAUUUUAACUUUUGAGUUUUAUAGGAUAAUUUGGAAAUUUAUAAAUUGUAGAUACAAUUUUUUUUAUUGUUACUAACAUAUUUUAUUUUCUUUUUAGUUUCAGUGUAUGUCUUGCAGUAGUGGAACAGUUAUAGAGCGUGUCACUGAUCUAGGGAGAAUAAUCUGUAGGAAUCGUCAAUAGCCAUAGCAGAUGCAAAACCAAUCACCUGUUGCAAGCAAUCUACCAUGCGAUAACUCGUUGUUUGAUGAGGAAAACGAACUUAACAUCCAAGACUUACCACCACCACCGCAAUUACCAGCAAACCCUUCGAUGGCAUGAGAAGAGCGAAACCUAAGGGAUUACGCACUACCAAAUCUGGUGAUGGUUCAAGGUAGCAUUACAAGGCCAACCAUUAUGGAAAAUAAUUUUGAAAUAAAAUCGACCAUGAUCUAGAUGAUCCAAAAUAAUUAUCAAUUCAGAGGAACCAUGACGGAUGACACAAAUCAACAUCUAAAACGGGACCUUCAAUUUUGUGAUACAUUCUAAUAUAACGGGGUUAUUGAUGAAGCUAUUCAUCUUCGGUUGUUUCCCUUAUCCUUGAUCGAUAUUCGUUUAAGUUAAAGUUAAAGUUAACUUAGUAUUAGCCUUCCUUGGGUUUGAUCCUUGGAGUACUCACCUACUUCGUUGUAAAAACUAUAUUACAACCUGACUCGUAUUCUUGCAGACACCACCUCAAUUCCAUUGAUUUAGUUGCAAUAUUUACACUCUGGAUGUUAGUAUGUCCGGAGGCGGUCAAGUGUUUGGUGCCAUAGCCGAGGAGGCAACGCUAGUAAAUUGAUUUUAAUUUUUGAGUUUUAUAGGAUAAUUUGGAAAUUUAUAAAUUGUAGAUACAAUUUUUUUUAUUGUUACUAACAUCUUUUAUUUUCCUUUUAGUUUCAGUGUAUGUCUUGCAGUAGUGGAACAGUUAUAGAGCGAGUCACUGAUCUAGAGAGAAUAAUCUGUAGGAAUUGUCAAUAGCCAUAGCAGAUGCAAAACCAAUCACUUGUACUAAUUAGAUCUAUAUUCGUUUAAGUUAAAGUUAAUUUAGUAUUAGCCUCCCUUGGGUUUGAUCCUUGGAGUACUCACCUACUUUGUUGUAAAAACUAUAUUACAACCUGACUCGUCCACUUGCAGACACCACCUCAAUUCCAUUCAUUUAGUUUCAAUAUUUACACUCUGGAUGUUAGUAUGUCCGGAGGCGGUCAAGUGAUUGGAGCCAUUGCCGAGGAGGCAACGCUACUAAAUUGAUUUUAACUUUUGAGUUUUAUAGGAUAAUUUGGAAAUUUAUAAAUUGUAGAUACAAUUUUUUUAUUGUUACUAACAUCUUUAUUUUCUUUUUAGUUUCAGUGUAGGACUCGUAGUAGUGGAACAAUUAUAGAGCGAGUCACGGAUCUAGAGAGAAUAAUCUGUAGGAAUCGUCACUAGCCAUAGCAGAUGCAAAACCAAUCACCUGUUGCAAGCAAUCUACCAUGCGAUAACUCGUUGUUUGAUGAGGAAAACGAACUUAACAUCCAAGACUUACCACCACCACCGCAAUUACCAGCAAACCCUUCGAUGGCAUGAGAAGAGCGAAACCUAAGGGAUUACGCACUACCAAAUCUGGUGAUGGUUCAACGUAGCAUUACAAGGCCAACCAUAAUGGAAAAUAAUUUUGAAAUAAAAUCGACCAUGAUCUAGAUGAUCCAAAAUAAUCAUCAAUUCAGAGGAACCAUGACGGAUGACACAAAUCAACAUCUAAAAUGGGACCUUCAAUUUUGUGAUACAUUCUAAUAUAACGGGGUUAUUGAUGAAGCUAUUCAUCUUCGGUUGUUUCCCUUAUCCUUGAUCGAUAUUCGUUAAAGUUAAAGUUAAAGUUAACUUAGUAUUAGCCUUCCUUGGGUUUGAUCCUUGGAGUACUCACCUACUUCGUUGUAAAAACUAUAUUACAACCUGACUCGUAUACUUGCAGACACCACCUCAAUUCUAUUGAUUUAGGUGCCAUAUUUACACUCUAGAUGUUAGUAUGUCUGGAGGCGGUCAAGUGUUUGGUGCCAUUUUCGAGUAGGCAACGCUACUAAAUUGAUUUUAAUUUUUGAGUUUUAUAGGAUAAUUUUGAAAUUUAAAAAUUGUAGGUACAAUUUUUUUUAUUGUUACUAACAUCUUUUAUUUUCCUUUUAGUUUCAGUGUAUGUCUUGCAGAAGUGGAACUGUUAUAGAGCGAGUCACUGAUCGAGAGAGAAUAAUCUGUAGGAAUCGUCAAUAGCCAUAGCAGAUGCAAAACCAAUCACUUGUACUAAUUAGAUCUAUAUUCGUUUAAGUUAAAGUUAAUUUAGUAUUAGCCUCCCUUGGGUUUGAUCCUUGGAGUACUCAACUACUUUGUUGUAAAAACUAUUUUACAACCUGACUCGUCUACUUGCAGACACCACCUCAAUUCCAUUCAUUUAGUUUCAAUAUUUACACUCUGGAUGUUAGUAUGUCCGGAGGCGGUCAAGUGAUUGGAGCCAUUGCCGAGGAGGCAACGCUACUAAAUUGAUUUUAACUUUUGAGUUUUGUAGGAUAAUUUGGAAAUUUAUAAAUUGUAGAUACAAUUUUUUUAUUGUUACUAACGUCUUUAUUUUCUUUUUAGUUUCAGUGUAGGACUCGUAGUAGUGGAACAAUUAUAGAGCGAGUCACUGAUCUAGAGAGAAUAAUCUCUAGGAAUCGUCAAUAGCCAUAGCAGAUGCAAAACCAAUCAUCUGUUGCAAGCAAUCUACCAUGCAAUAAAUCGUUGUUUGAUGAGGUAAACGAACUUAACAUCCAAGACAUACCACCACCACCGCAAUUACCAGCAAACCCUUCGAUGGCAUUAGAAGAGCGAAACCUAAGGGAUUACGCACUACCAAAUCUGGUGAUGGUUCAAGGUAGCAUUACAAGGCCAACCAUUAUGGAAAAUUAUUUUGAAAUAAAAUAGACCAUGAUCUAAAUGAUCCAAAAUAAUCUGCAAUUCAGAGACACCAUGACGGAUGUCCCAAAUCAACAUCUAAAACGGGUCCUUCAAUUUUGGGAUACAUUUAAAUAUAACGGGGUCAUUGAUGAAGCUAUUAAUCUUCGAUUGUUUCCCUUAUCCUUGAUCGAUAUUCAUUUAAGUUAAAGUUAAAGUUAAUUUAGUAUUAGCCUUCCUUGGGUUUGAUCCUUGGAGUACUCACCUACUUUGUUGUAAAAACUAUAUUACAACCUGACUCGUAUACUUGCAGACACCACCUCAAUUCCAUUCAUUUAGUUUCAAUAUUUACACUCUGGAUGUUAGUAUGUCCGGAGGCGGUCAAGUGAUUGGAGCCAUUGCCGAGGAGGCAACGCUACUAAAUUGAUUUUAACUUUUGAGUUUUGUAGGAUAAUUUGGAAAUUUAUAAAUUGUAGAUACAAUUUUUUUGUUGUUACUAACAUCUUUAUUUUCUUUUUAGUUUCAGUGUAGGACUCGUAGUAGUGGAACAAUUAUAGAGUGAGUCACUGAUCUAGAGAGAAUAAUCUGUAGGAAUCGUCAAUAGCCAUAGCAGAUGCAAAACUAUUCACCUGUUGCAAGCAAUCUACCAUGCGAUAACUCGUUGUUUGAUGGGGAAAACGAACUUAACAUCCAAGACUUACCACCACCACCGCAAUUACCAGCAAACCCUUCGAUGGCAUGAGAAGAGCGAAACCUAAGGGAUUACGCACUACCAAAUCUGGUGAUGGUUCAAGGUAGCAUUACAAGGCCAACCAUUAUGGAAAAUAAUUUUGAAAUAAAAUCGACCAUGAUCUAGAUGAUCCAAAAUAAUCAUCAAUUCAGAGGAACCAUGACGGAUGACACAAAUCAACAUCUAAAACGGGACCUUCAAUUUUGUGAUACAUUCUAAUAUAACGGGGUUAUUGAUGAAGCUAUUCAUCUUCGGUUGUUUCCCUUAUCCUUGAUCGAUAUUCGUUUAAGUUAAAGUUAAAGUUAACUUAAUAUUAGCCUUCCUUGGGUUUGAUCCUUGGAGUACUCACCUACUUCGUUGUAAAAACUAUAUUACAACCUGACUCGUAUACUUGCAGACACCACCUCAAUUCCAUUCAUUUAGUUGCAAUAUUUACACUCUGGAUGUUAGUAUGUCCGGAGGCGGUCAAGUGUUUGGUGCCAUUGCCGAGGAGGCAACGCUACUAAAUUGAUUUUAAUUUUUGAGUUUUAUAGGAUAAUUUGGUAAUUUAUAAAUUGUAGAUACAAUUUUUUUAUUGUUACUAACAUCUUUUAUUUUCCUUUUAGUUUCAGUGUAUGUCUUGUAGUAGUGGAACUGUUAUAGAGCGAGUCGCUGAUCUAGAGAGAAUAAUCUGUAGGAAUCGUCAAUAGCCAUAGCAGAUGCAAAACCAAUCACUUGUACUAAUUAGAUCUAUAUUCGUUUAAGUUAAAGUUAAUUUAGUAUUAGCCUCCCUUGGGUUUGAUCCUUGGAGUACUCACCUACUUUGUUGUAAAAAGUAUAUUACAACCUGACUCGUCUACUUGCAGACACCACCUCAAUUCCAUUCAUUUAGUUUCAAUAUUUACACUCUGGAUGUUAGUAUGUCCGGAGGCGGUCAAGUGAUUGGAGCCAUUGCCGAGGAGGCAACGCUACUAAAUUGAUUUUAACUUUUGAGUUUUAUAGGAUAAUUUGGAAAUUUAUAAAUUGUAGAUAGAAUUUUUUUAUUGUCACUAACAUCUUUUAUUUUCUUUUUAGUUUAAGUGUAGGACUCGUAGUAGUGGAACAAUUAUAGAGCGAGUCACUGAUCUAGAGAGAAUAAUCUGUAGGAAUCGUCAAUAGCCAUAGCAGAUGCAAAACCAAUCACCUGUUGCAAGCAAUCUACCAUGCGAUAACUCGUUGUUUGAUGAGGAAAACGAACUUAACAUCCAAGACUUACCACCACCACCGCAAUUACCAGCAAACCCUUCGAUGGCAUGAGAAGAGCGAAACCUAAGGGAUUACGCACUACCAAAUCUGGUGAUGGUUCAAGGUAGCAUUACAAGGCCAACCAUUAUGGAAAAUAAUUUUGAAAUAAAAUCGACCAUGAUCUAGAUGAUCCAAAAUAAUCAUCAAUUCAGAGGAACCAUGACGGAUGACACAAAUCAACAUCUAAAACGGGACCUUCAAUUUUGUGAUACAUUCUAAUAUAACGGGGUUAUUGAUGAAGCUAUUCAUCUUCGGUUGUUUCCCUUAUCCUUGAUCGAUAUUCGUUUAAGUUAAAGUUAAAGUUAACUUAGUAUUAGCCUUCCUUGGGUUUGAUCCUUGGAGUACUCACCUACUUCGUUGUAAAAACUAUAUUACAACCUGACUCGUAUACUUGCAGACACCACCUCAAUUCCAUUGAUUUAGUUGCAAUAUUUACACUCUGGAUGUUAGUAUGUCCGGAGGCGGUCAAGUGUUUGGUGCCAUAGCCGAGGAGGCAACGCUAGUAAAUUGAUUUUAAUUUUUGAGUUUUAUAGGAUAAUUUGGAAAUUUAUAGAUUGUAGAUACAAUUUUUUUUAUUGUUACUAACAUCUUUUAUUUUCCUUUUAGUUUCAGUGUAUGUCUUGCAGUAGUGGAACAGUUAUAGAGCGAGUCACUGAUCUGGAGAGAAUAAUCUGUAGGAAUCGUCAAUAGCCAUAGCAGAUGCAAAACCAAUCACUUGUACUAAUUAGAUCUAUAUUCGUUUAAGUUAAAGUUAAUUUAGUAUUAGCCUCCCUUGGGUUUGAUCCUUGGAGUACUCACCUACUUUGUUGUAAAAACUAUAUUACAACCUGACUCGUCUACUUGCAGACACCACCUCAAUUCCAUUCAUUUAGUUUCAAUAUUUACACUCUGGAUGUUAGUAUGUCCGGAGGCGGUCAAGUGAUUGGAGCCAUUGCCGAGGAGGCAACGCUACUAAAUUGAUUUUAACUUUUGAGUUUUAUAGGAUAAUUUGGAAAUUUAUAAAUUGUAGAUACAAUUUUUUUAUUGUUACUAACAUCUUUAUUUUCUUUUUAGUUUCAGUGUAGGACUCGUAGUAGUGGAACAAUUAUAGAGCGAGUCACGGAUCUAGAGAGAAUAAUCUGUAGGAAUCGUCACUAGCCAUAGCAGAUGCAAAACCAAUCACCUGUUGCAAGCAAUCUACCAUGCGAUAACUCGUUGUUUGAUGAGGAAAACGAACUUAACAUCCAAGACUUACCACCACCACCGCAAUUACCAGCAAACCCUUCGAUGGCAUGAGAAGAGCGAAACCUAAGGGAUUACGCACUACCAAAUCUGGUGAUGGUUCAAGGUAGCAUUACAAGGCCAACCAUAAUGGAAAAUAAUUUUGAAAUAAAAUCGACCAUGAUCUAGAUGAUCCAAAAUAAUCAUCAAUUCAGAGGAACCAUGACGGAUGACACAAAUCAACAUCUAAAAUGGGACCUUCAAUUUUGUGAUACAUUCUAAUAUAACGGGGUUAUUGAUGAAGCUAUUCAUCUUCGGUUGUUUCCCUUAUCCUUGAUCGAUAUUCGUUAAAGUUAAAGUUAAAGUUAACUUAGUAUUAGCCUUCCUUGGGUUUGAUCCUUGGAGUACUCACCUACUUCGUUGUAAAAACUAUAUUACAACCUGACUCGUAUACUUGCAGACACCACCUCAAUUCUAUUGAUUUAGGUGCCAUAUUUACACUCUAGAUGUUAGUAUGUCUGGAGGCGGUCAAGUGUUUGGUGCCAUUUUCGAGUAGGCAACGCUACUAAAUUGAUUUUAAUUUUUGAGUUUUAUAGGAUAAUUUGGAAAUUUAAAAAUUGUAGGUACAAUUUUUUUUAUUGUUACUAACAUAUUUUAUUUUCCUUUUAGUUUCAGUGUAUGUCUUGCAGUAGUGGAACAGUUAUAGAGCGAGUCACUGAUCUAGAGAGAAUAAUCUGUAGGAAUCGUCAAUAGCCAUAGCAGAUGCAAAACCAAUCACUUGUACUAAUUAGAUCUAUAUUCGUUUAAGUUAAAGUUAAUUUAGUAUUAGCCUCCCUUGGGUUUGAUCCUUGGAGUACUCACCUACUUUGUUGUAAAAACUAUAUUACAACCUGACUCGUCUACUUGCAGACACCACCUCAAUUCCAUUCAUUUACUUUCAAUAUUUACACUCUGGAUGUUAGUAUGUCCGGAGGCGGUCAAGUGAUUGGAGCCAUUGCCGAGGAGGCAACGCUACUAAAUUGAUUUUAACUUUUGAGUUUUGUAGGAUAAUUUGGAAAUUUAUAAAUUGUAGAUACAAUUUUUUUAUUGUUACUAACAUCUUUAUUUUCUUUUUAGUUUCAGUGUAGGACUCGUAGUAGUGGAACAAUUAUAGAGCGAGUCACUGAUCUAGAGAGAAUAAUCUGUAGGAAUCGUCAAUAGCCAUAGCAGAUGCAAAACCAAUCAUCUGUUGCAAGCAAUCUACCAUGCGAUAAAUCGUUGUUUGAUGAGGUAAACGAACUUAACAUCCAAGACAUACCACCACCACCGCAAUUACCAGCAAACCCUUCGAUGGCAUUAGAAGAGCGAAACCUAAGGGAUUACGCACUACCAAAUCUGGUGAUGGUUCAAGGUAGCAUUACAAGGCCAACCAUUAUGGAAAAUUAUUUUGAAAUAAAAUAGACCAUGAUCUAAAUGAUCCAAAAUAAUCUGCAAUUCAGAGACACCAUGACGGAUGUCCCAAAUCAACAUCUAAAACGGGUCCUUCAAUUUUGGGAUACAUUUAAAUAUAACGGGGUCAUUGAUGAAGCUAUUAAUCUUCGGUUGUUUCCCUUAUCCUUGAUCGAUAUUCAUUUAAGUUAAAGUUAAAGUUAAUUUAGUAUUAGCCUUCCUUGGGUUUGAUCCUUGGAGUACUCACCUACUUUGUUGUAAAAACUAUAUUACAACCUGACUCGUAUACUUGCAGACACCACCUCAAUUCCAUUCAUUUAGUUUCAAUAUUUACACUCUGGAUGUUAGUAUGUCCGGAGGCGGUCAAGUGAUUGGAGCCAUUGCCGAGGAGGCAACGCUACUAAAUUGAUUUUAACUUUUGAGUUUUGUAGGAUAAUUUGGAAAUUUAUAAAUUGUAGAUACAAUUUUUUUGUUGUUACUAACAUCUUUAUUUUCUUUUUAGUUUCAGUGUAGGACUCGUAGUACUGGAACAAUUAUAGAGUGAGUCACGGAUCUAGAGAGAAUAAUCUGUAGGAAUCGUCAAUAGCCAUAGCAGAUGCAAAACUAUUCACCUGUUGCAAGCAAUCUACCAUGCGAUAACUCGUUGUUUGAUGGGGAAAACGAACUUAACAUCCAAGACUUACCACCACCACCGCAAUUACCAGCAAACCCUUCGAUGGCAUGAGAAGAGCGAAACCUAAGGGAUUACGCACUACCAAAUCUGGUGAUGGUUCAAGGUAGCAUUACAAGGCCAACCAUUAUGGAAAAUAAUUUUGAAAUAAAAUCGACCAUGAUCUAGAUGAUCCAAAAUAAUCAUCAAUUCAGAGGAACCAUGACGGAUGACACAAAUCAACAUCUAAAACGGGACCUUCAAUUUUGUGAUACAUUCUAAUAUAACGGGGUUAUUGAUGAAGCUAUUCAUCUUCGGUUGUUUCCCUUAUCCUUGAUCGAUAUUCGUUUAAGUUAAAGUUAAAGUUAACUUAAUAUUAGCCUUCCUUGGGUUUGAUCCUUGGAGUACUCACCUACUUCGUUGUAAAAACUAUAUUACAACCUGACUCGUAUACUUGCAGACACCACCUCAAUUCCAUUCAUUUAGUUGCAAUAUUUACACUCUGGAUGUUAGUAUGUCCGGAGGCGGUCAAGUGUUUGGUGCCAUUGCCGAGGAGGCAACGCUACUAAAUUGAUUUUAAUUUUUGAGUUUUAUAGGAUAAUUUGGUAAUUUAUAAAUUGUAGAUACAAUUUUUUUAUUGUUACUAACAUCUUUUAUUUUCCUUUUAGUUUCAGUGUAUGUCUUGUAGUAGUGGAACUGUUAUAGAGCGAGUCGCUGAUCUAGAAAGAAUAAUCUGUAGGAAUCGUCAAUAGCCAUAGCAGAUGCAAAACCAAUCACUUGUACUAAUUAGAUCUAUAUUCGUUUAAGUUAAAGUUAAUUUAGUAUUAGCCUCCCUUGGGUUUGAUCCUUGGAGUACUCACCUACUUUGUUGUAAAAAGUAUAUUACAACCUGACUCGUCUACUUGCAGACACCACCUCAAUUCCAUUCAUUUAGUUUCAAUAUUUACACUCUGGAUGUUAGUAUGUCCGGAGGCGGUCAAGUGAUUGGAGCCAUUGCCGAGGAGGCAACGCUACUAAAUUGAUUUUAACUUUUGAGUUUUAUAGGAUAAUUUGGAAAUUUAUAAAUUGUAGAUAGAAUUUUUUUAUUGUCACUAACAUCUUUUAUUUUCUUUUUAGUUUAAGUGUAGGACUCGUAGUAGUGGAACAAUUAUAGAGCGAGUCACUGAUCUAGAGAGAAUAAUCUGUAGGAAUCGUCAAUAGCCAUAGCAGAUGCAAAACCAAUCACCUGUUGCAAGCAAUCUACCAUGCGAUAACUCGUUGUUUGAUGAGGAAAACGAACUUAACAUCCAAGACUUACCACCACCACCGCAAUUACCAGCAAACCCUUCGAUGGCAUGAGAAGAGCGAAACCUAAGGGAUUACACACUACCAAAUCUGGUGAUGGUUCAAGGUAGCAUUACAAGGCCAACCAUUAUGGAAAAUAAUUUUGAAAUAAAAUCGACCAUGAUCUAGAUGAUCCAAAAUAAUCAUCAAUUCAGAGGAACCAUGACGGAUGACACAAAUCAACAUCUAAAACGGGACCUUCAAUUUUGUGAUACAUUCUAAUAUAACGGGGUUAUUGAUGAAGCUAUUCAUCUUCGGUUGUUUCCCUUAUCCUUGAUCGAUAUUCGUUUAAGUUAAAGUUAAAGUUAACUUAGUAUUAGCCUUCCUUGGGUUUGAUCCUUGGAGUACUCACCUACUUCGUUGUAAAAACUAUAUUACAACCUGACUCGUAUACUUGCAGACACCACCUCAAUUCCAUUGAUUUAGUUGCAAUAUUUACACUCUGGAUGUUAGUAUGUCCGGAGGCGGUCAAGUGUUUGGUGCCAUAGCCGAGGAGGCAACGCUAGUAAAUUGAUUUUAAUUUUUGAGUUUUAUAGGAUAAUUUGGAAAUUUAUAAAUUGUAGAUACAAUUUUUUUAUUGUUACUAACAUCUUUUAUUUUCCUUUUAGUUUCAGUGUAUGUCUUGCAGUAGUGGAACAGUUAUAGAGCGAGUCACUGAUCUAGAGAGAAUAAUCUGUAGGAAUCGUCAAUAGCCAUAGCAGAUGCAAAACCAAUCACUUGUACUAAUUAGAUCUAUAUUCGUUUAAGUUAAAGUUAAUUUAGUAUUAGCCUCCCUUGGGUUUGAUCCUUGGAGUACUCACCUACUUUGUUGUAAAAACUAUAUUACAACCUGACUCGUCUACUUGCAGACACCACCUCAAUUCCAUUCAUUUAGUUUCAAUAUUUACACUCUGGAUGUUAGUAUGUCCGGAGGCGGUCAAGUGAUUGGAGCCAUUGCCGAGGAGGCAACGCUACUAAAUUGAUUUUAACUUUUGAGUUUUAUAGGAUAAUUUGGAAAUUUAUAAAUUGUAGAUACAAUUUUUUUAUUGUUACUAACAUCUUUAUUUUCUUUUUAGUUUCAGUGUAGGACUCGUAGUAGUGGAACAAUUAUAGAGCGAGUCACGGAUCUAGAGAGAAUAAUCUGUAGGAAUCGUCACUAGCCAUAGCAGAUGCAAAACCAAUCACCUGUUGCAAGCAAUCUACCAUGCGAUAACUCGUUGUUUGAUGAGGAAAACGAACUUAACUUCCAAGACUUACCACCACCACCGCAAUUACCAGCAAACCCUUCGAUGGCAUGAGAAGAGCGAAACCUAAGGGAUUACGCACUACCAAAUCUGGUGAUGGUUCAAGGUAGCAUUACAAGGCCAACCAUAAUGGAAAAUAAUUUUGAAAUAAAAUCGACCAUGAUCUAGAUGAUCCAAAAUAAUCAUCAAUUCAGAGGAACCAUGACGGAUGACACAAAUCAACAUCUAAAAUGGGACCUUCAAUUUUGUGAUACAUUCUAAUAUAACGGGGUUAUUGAUGAAGCUAUUCAUCUUCGGUUGUUUCCCUUAUCCUUGAUCGAUAUUCGUUUAAGUUAAAGUUAAAGUUAACUUAGUAUUAGCCUUCCUUAGGUUUGAUCCUUGGAGUACUCACCUACUUCGUUGUAAAAACUAUAUUACAACCUGACUCGUAUACUUGCAGACACCACCUCAAUUCCAUUCAUUAAGUUGCAAUAUUUACACUCUGGAUGUUAGUAUGUCCGGAGGCGGUCAAAUGUUUGGUGCCAUUGCCAAGGAGGCAACACUACUAAAUUGAUUUUAAUUUUUGAGUUUUAUAGGAUAAUUUGGAAAUUUAUAAAUUGUAGAUACAAUUUUUUUAUUGUUACUAACAUCUUUAUUUUCUUUUUAGUUUCAGUGUAGGACUCGUAGUAGUGGAACAAUUAUAGAGCGAGUCACGGAUCUAGAGAGAAUAAUUUGUAGGAAUCGUCACUAGCCAUAGCAGAUGCAAAACCAAUCAUCUGUUGCAAGCAAUCUACCAUGCGAUAAAUCGUUGUUUGAUGAGGUAAACGAACUUAACAUCCAAGACAUACCACCACCACCGCAAUUACCAGCAAACCCUUCGAUGGCAUUAGAAGAGCGAAACCUAAGGGAUUACGCACUACCAAAUCUGGUGAUGGUUCAAGGUAGCAUUACAAGGCCAACCAUUAUGGAAAAUUAUUUUGAAAUAAAAUAGACCAUGAUCUAAAUGAUCCAAAAUAAUCUGCAAUUCAGAGGACACCAUGACGGAUGUACCCAAAUCAACAUCUAAAACGAGUCCUUCAAUUUUGGGAUACAUUUAAAUAUAACGGGGUCAUUGAUGAAGCUAUUCAUCUUCGGUUGUUUCCCUUAUCCUUGAUCGAUAUUCAUUUAAGUUAAAGUUAAAGUUAAUUUAGUAUUAGCCUUCCUUGGGUUUGAUCCUUGGAGUACUCACCUACUUUGUUGUAAAAACUAUAUUACAACCUGACUCGUAUACUUGCAGACACCACCUCAAUUCCAUUACAUUUAGUUUCAAUAUUUACACUCUGGAUGUUAGUAUGUCCGGAGGCGGUCAAGUGAUUUGGUAGCCAUUGCCGAAGGAGGCAACGCUACUAAAUUGAUUUUAACUUUUGAGUUUUAUAGGAUAAUUUAGAAAUUUAUAAAUUGUAGAUACAAUUUUUUUAGUUGUUACUAACAUCUUUUAUUUUCUUUUUAGUUUCAGUGUAUGGACUCGUAGUAGUGGAACAGUUAUAGAGCGAGUCACUGAUCUAGAGAGAAUAAUCUGUAGGAAUCGUCAAUAGCCAUAGCAGAUGCAAAACAAUCACCUGUUGCAAGCAAUCUACCAUGCAAUAACUCGUUGUUUGAUGAGGUAAACGAACUUAACAUCCAAGACUUACCACCACCACCGCAAUUACCAGCAAACCCUUCGAUGGCAUGAGAAGAGCGAAACCUAAGGGAUUACGCACUACCAAAUAUGGUGAUGGUUCAAGGUAGCAUUACAAGGCCAACCAUUAUGGAAAAUAAUUUUGAAAUAAAAUCGACCAUGAUCUAGAUGAUCCAAAAUAAUCAUCAAUUUAGAGGAACCAUGACGGAUGACACCAAAUCAACAUCUAAAACGGGACCUUCAAUUUUGUGAUACAUUCUAAUAUAACGGGGUUAUUGAUGAAGCUAUUCAUCUUCGGUUGUUUCCCUUAUCCUUGAUCGAUAUUCGUUUAAGUUAAAGUUAAAGUUAAUUAAGUAUUAGCCUUCCUUGGGUUUGAUCCUUGGAGUACUCACCUACUUCGUUGUAAAAACUAUAUUACAACCUGACCUCGUAUACUUGCAGACACCACCUCAAUUCCAUUCAUUUAGUUGCAAUAUUUACACUCUGGAUGUUAGUAUGUCCGGAGGCGGUCAAGUGUUUGGUGCCAUUGCCGAGGAGGCAACGCUACUAAAUUGAUUUUAAUUUUUGAGUUUUAUAGGAUAAUUUGGAAAUUUAUAAAUUGUAGAUACAAUUUUUUUAUUGUUACUAACAUCUUUUAUUUUCCUUUUAGUUUCAGUGUAUGUCUUGUAGUAGUGGAACAUGUUAUAGAGCGAGUCACUGAUCUAGAGAGAAUAAUCUGUAGGAAUCGUCAAUAGCCAUAGCAGAUGCAAAACCAAUCACCUGUACUAAUUAGAUCUAUAUUCGUUUAAGUUCAAGUUAAUUUAGUAUUAGCCUCCCUGGGUUUGAUCCUUGGAGUACUCACCUACUUUGUUGUAAAAACUAUAUUACAACCUGACUCGUCUACUUGCAGACACCACCUCAAUUCCAUUCAUUUAGUUUCAAUAUUUACACUCUGGAUGUUAGUAUGUUCGGAGGCGGUCAAGUGUUUGGAGCCAUUGCCGAGGAGGCAACGCUACUAAAUUGAUUUUAAUUUUUGAGUUUUAUAGGAUAAUUUGGAAAUUUAUAAAUUGUAGAUACAAUUUUUUUAUUGUUACUAACAUCUUUUAUUUUCUUUUUAGUUUCAGUGUAGGACUCGUAGUAGUGGAACAAUUAUAGAGCGAGUCACUGAUCUAGAGAGAAUAAUCUGUAGGAAUCGUCAAUAGCCAUAGCAGAUGCAAAACCAAUCACCUGUUGCAAGCAAUCUACCAUGCGAUAACCCGUUGUUUGAUGAGGUAAACGAACUUAACAUCCAAGACAUUACCACCACCACCGCAAUUACCAGCAAACCCUUCGAUGGCAUGAGAAGAGCGAAACCUAAGGGAUUACGCACUACCAAAUAUGGUGAUGGUUCAAGGUAGCAUUACAAGGCCAACCAUUAUGGAAAAUUAUUUUGAAAUAAAAUCGACCAUGAUCUAGAUGAUCCAAAAUAAUCUGCAAUUCAGAGGACACCAUGACGGAUGUCCCAAAUCAACAUCUAAAACGGGUCCUUCAAUUUUGUGAUACAUUUAAAUAUAACGGGGUCAUUGAUGAAGCUAUUGAUCUUCGGUUGUUUCCCUUAUCCUUGAUCGAUAUUCAGUUUAAGUUAAAGUUAAAGUUAAUUUAGUAUUAGCCUUCCUUGGGUUUGAUCCUUGGAGUACUCACCUACUUUAUUGUAAAAACUAUAUUACAACCUGACUCGUAUACUUGCAGACACCACCUCAAUUCCAUUCAUUUAGUUGACAAUAUUUACACUCUGGAUGUUAGUAUGUCCUGGAGGCAGGUCAAGUGUUUGGUGCCAUUACCGAGGAGGCAGCGCUACUAAAUUGAUUUUAAUUUUUGAGUUUUAUAGGAUAAUUUGGAAAUUUAUAAAUUGUAGAUACAAUUUUUUUAUUGUUACUAACAUCUUUUAUUUCUUUUUAGUUUCAGUGUAGGACUCGUAGUAGUGGAACCAGUUAUAGAGCGAGUCAUUGAUCUAAAGAGAAUAAUCUGUAGGAAUCAUCAAUAGCCAUAGCAGAUGCAAAACCAAUCACCUGUACCAAUUAGAUCUAUAUUCGUUGAAUUUCAAGUUAAUUUAGUAUUAGCCUCCAUUGGGUUUGAUCCUUGGAGUACUCACCUACUUCGUUGUAAAAACUACAUUACAACCUGACUCGUAUACUUGCAGACACCACCUCAAUUCCAUUCAUUUAGUUGCAAUAUUUACACUCUAAAUGUUAGUAUGUCCGGAGGAGGUCAAGUGUUUGGUGCCAUUGCUGAGGAGGCAACGCUACUAAAUUGAUUAUAAUUUUUGAGUUUUAUAGGAUAAUUUGGAAAUUUAUAAAUUGUAGAUACAAUUUUUUUAUUGUUACUAACAUCUUUUAUUUUCUUUUUAGUUUCAGUGUAUGGCUCGUAGUAGUGAACAGUUAUAGAGCGAGUCACUGAUCUAAAGAGAAUAAUCUGUAGGAAUCGUCAAUAGCCAUAGCAGAUGAAAACCAAUCACUUGUACUAAUUAGAUCUAUAUUCGUUUAAGUUAAAGUUAAUUUAGUAUUAGCCUUCCUUGGGUUGAUCCCUGGAGUACUCACCUACUUCGUUAUAAAAACUAUAUUACAAACUGACUCGUCUACUUGCAGACACCACCUCAAUUCCAUUCAUUUAGUUGCAAUAUUUACACUCUGGUUGUUAGUAUGUCGGAGGCGGUCAAGUGUUUGGAGCCAUUGCCGAGGAGGCAACGCUACUAAAUUGAUUUAAUUUUUGAGUUUUAUAGGAUAAUUUGGAAAUUUAUAAAUUGUAGAUACAAUUUUUUUAUUGUUACUAACAUCUUUUAUUUUCUUUUUAUUUUCAGUGUAGGACUCGUAGUAGUGGAACAAUUAUAGAGCGAGUCACUGAUCUGAGAGAAUAAUCUGUAGGAAUCGUCAAUAGCCAUAGCAGUUGCAAAACCAAUCACCUAUUGCAAGCAAUCUACCAUGCGAUAACUCGUUGUUUGAUGAGGUAAACGAACUUAACAUCCAAGACUUACCACCCCCACCGCAAUUGCCAGCAAACCCUUCGAUGGCAUGAGAAGGGCGAAACCUAAGGGAUUACGCACUACCAAAUAUGGUGAUGGUUCAAGGUAGCAUUACAAGGCCAACCAUUACGGAAAAUAAUUUUGAAAUAAAAUCGACCAUGAUCUAGAUGAUCCAAAAUAAUCUGCAAUUCAGAGGCACCAUGACGGAUGACCCAAAUCAACAUCUAAAACGGGUCCUUCAAUUUUGUGAAUCAUUUAAAUAUAACGGGGUUAUUGAUGAAGCUAUUCAUCUUCGGUUGUUUCCCUUACCUUGAUCGAUAUUUAGUUUAAGUUAAAGUUAAAGUUAAUUUAGUAUUAGCCUUCCUUGGGUUUGAUCCUUGGAGUACUCACCUACUUCAUUGUAAAAACUAUAUUUCAACCUGACUCGUAUACUUGUAGACACCACCUCAAUUCCAUUCAUUUAGUUGCAAUAUUUACACUCUGGAUGUUAGUAUGUCCGGAGGCGGUGAAGUGUUUGGUGCCAUUGCCGAGGAGGCAAUGCUACUAAAUUGAUUUUAAUUUUUGAGUUUUAUAGGAUAAGUUGGAAAUUUAUAAAUUGUAGAUACAAUUUUUUUAUUGUUACUAACAUCUUUUAUUUUCUUUUUAGUUUCAGUGUAUGGCUCGUAGUAGUGGAACAGUGAUAGAGCGAGUCACUGAUCUAGAGAGAAUAAUCUCUAGGAAUCGUCAAUAGCCAUAGCAGAUGCAAAACCAAUCACCUGUACUAAUUAGAUCUAUAUUCGUUUAAGUUCAAGUUAAUUUAGUAUUAGCCUCCCUUGGGUUUGAUCCUUGGAGUACUCACCUACUUCAGUUGUAAAAACUAUAUUACAACCUGACUCGUGUACUUGCAGACACCACCUCAAUUCCAUUCAUUUAGUUUCAAUAUUUACACUCUGGAUGUUAGUAUGUUCGGAGGCGGUCAAGUGUUUGGAGCCAUUGCCGAGGAGGCAACACUACUAAAUUGAUUUUAAUUUUUGAGUUUUAUAGGAUAAUUUGGAAAUUUAUAAAUUGUAGAUACAAUUUUUUUAUUGUUACUAACAUCUUUUAUUUUCUUUUUAGUUUCAGUGUAGGACUCGUAGUAGUGGAACAAUUAUAAAGCGAGUCACUGAUCUAGAGAGAAUAAUCUGUAGGAAUCGUCAAUAGCCAUAGCAGUUGCAAAACCAAUCACCUGUUGCAAGCAAUCUACCAUGCGAUAACCCGUUGUUUGAUGAGGUAAACGAACUUAAUAUCCAAGACUUACCACCACCACCGUAAAUUACCAGCAAACCCUUCGAUGGCAUGAGAAGGGCGAAACCUAAGGGAUUACGCACUACCAAAUAUGGUGAUGGUUCAAGGUAGCAUUACAAGGCCAACCAUUAUGGAAAAUAAUUUUGAAAUAAAAUCGACCAUGAUCUAGAUGAUCCAAAAUAAUCUGCAAUUCAGAGGAACCAUGACGGAUGACACAAAUCAACAUCUAAAAUGGGGCCUUCAAUUUUGUGAUACAUUCUAAUAUAACGGGGUCAUUGAUGAAGCUAUUCAUCUUCGGUUGUUUCCCUUAUCCUGAUCGAUAUUCGUUAAGUUAAAGUUAAAGUUAAUUUAGUAUUAGCCUUCCUUGGGUUUGAUCCUUGGAGUACUCACCUACUUCGUUGUAAAAACUAUAUUACAACCUGACUCGUAUACUUGCAGACACCACCUCAAUUCCAUUCAUUAGUUGCAAUAUUUACACUCUGGAUGUUAGUAUGUCCGGAGGCGGUCAAUUGUUUGGUGCCAUUGCCGAGGACGCAACGCUACUGAAUUGAUUUUAAUUUUUAGUUUAUAGGAUAAUUUGGAAAUUUAUGAAUUGUAGAUACAAUUUUUUUAUUGUUACUAACAUCUUUUAUUUUCUUUUUAGUUUUCAGUGUAUGGCUCGUAGUAGUGGAACAGUUAUAGAGUGAGUCACUGAUCUAAAGAGAAUAAUCUGUAGGAAUCGUCAAUAGCCAUAGCAGAUGCAAAACCAAUCACCUGUACUAAUUAGAUAUAUAUUCGUUAAGUUCAAGUUAAUUUAGUAUUAGCCUUCCUUGGGUUUGAUCCUUGGAGUACUCACCUACUUCGUAAAAACUAUAUUACAACCUGACGUUAUACUUGCAGACACCACCUCAAUUCCAUUCAUUUAGUUGCAAUAUUUACACUCUGGAUGUUAGUAUGUCCGGAGGCGGUCAAGUGUUUGGUGCCAUUGCGAGGAGGCAACGCUACUAAAUGAUUUUAAUUUUUGAGUUUUAUAGGAUAAGUUGGAAAUUUAUUAAAUUGUAGAUACACUUUUUUUAUUGUUACUAACAUCUUUAUUUUCUUUUUAGUUUCAGUGUNNNNNNNNNNNNNNNNNNNNNNNNNNNNNNNNNNNNNNNNNNNNNNNNNNNNNNNNNNNNNNNNNNNNNNNNNNNNNNNNNNNNNNNNNNNNNNNNNNNNNNNNNNNNNNNNNNNNNNNNNNNNNNNNNNNNNNNNNNNNNNNNNNNNNNNNNNNNNNNNNNNNNNNNNNNNNNNNNNNNNNNNNNNNNNNNNNNNNNNNNNNNNNNNNNNNNNNNNNNNNNNNNNNNNNNNNNNNNNNNNNNNNNNNNNNNNNNNNNNNNNNNNNNNNNNNNNNNNNNNNNNNNNNNNNNNNNNNNNNNNNNNNNNNNNNNNNNNNNNNNNNNNNNNNNNNNNNNNNNNNNNNNNNNNNNNNNNNNNNNNNNNNNNNNNNNNNNNNNNNNNNNNNNNNNNNNNNNNNNNNNNNNNNNNNNNNNNNNNNNNNNNNNNNNNNNNNNNNNNNNNNNNNNNNNNNNNNNNNNNNNNNNNNNNNNNNNNNNNNNNNNNNNNNNNNNNNNNNNNNUUCCAUUCAUUUAGUUGCAAUACUUACACUCUGGAUGUUAGUAUGCCCGGAGGCGGUCAAGAGUUUGGUGCCAUUGCCGAGGAGGCAACGCUACUAAAUUGAUUUUAAUUUUUGAGUUUUAUAGGAUAAUUUGGAAAUUUAUAAAUUGUAGAUACAAUUUUUUUAUUGUUACUAACAUCUUUUAUUUUCUUUUUAGUUUCAGUGUAUGACUCGUAGUAGUGGAACAGUUAUAGAGCGAGUCACUGAUCUAGAGAGAAUAAUCUGUAGGAAUCGUCAAUAGCCAUAGCAGAUGCAAAACCAAUCACCUGUUGCAAGCAAUCUACUAUGCGAUAACCCGUUGUUUGGUGAGGUAAACGAACUUAACAUCCAAGACUUACCACCACCACCGCUAUUACCAGCAAACCCUUCGAUGGCAUGAGAAGGGCGAAACCUAAGGGAUUCCGCACUACCAAAUAUGGUGAUGGUUCAAGGUAGCAUUACAAGGCAAACCAUUAUGGAAAAUAAUUUUGAAAUAAAAUCGACCAUGAUCUAGAUGAUCCAAACUAAUCUUCAAUUCAGAGGAACCAUGACGGAUGACCCAAAUCAACAUCUAAAACGGGUCCUUCAAUUUUGUGAUGCAUUUAAAUAUAACGGGGUCAUUAAUGAAGCUAUUCAUCUUCAGUUGUUUCCCAUAUCCUUGAUCGAUAUUCGUUUAAGUUAAAGUUAAAGUUAAUUUAGUAUUAGCCUUCCUUGUGUUUGAUCCUUGGAGUACUCACCUACUUCAUUGUAAAAACUAUAUUACAACCUGACUCGUAUACUUGCAGACACCACCUCAAUUCCAUUCAUUUAGUUGCAAUAUUUACACUCUGGAUGUUAGUAUGUCCGGAGGCGGUCAAGUGUUUGGUGCCAUUGCCGAGGAGGCAACGCUACUGAAUUGAUUUUAAUUUUUUAGUUUUAUAGAAUAAUUUGGAAAUUUAUAAAUUGUAGAUACAAUUUUCUUAUUGUUACUAGCAUCUUUUAUUUUCUUUUUAGUUUCAGUGUAUGGCUCGUAGCAGUGGAACAGUUAUAGAGCGAGUCACUGAUCUAAAGAGAAUAAUCUGUAGGAAUCGUCAAUAGCCAUAGCAGAUGCAAAACCAAUCACCUGUACUAAUUAGAUCUAUAUUCAUUUAAGUUCAAGUUAAUUUAGUAUUAGCCUCCCUUGGGUUUGAUCCUUGGAGUACUCACCUACUUCGUUGUAAAAACUAUAUUACAACCUGACUCUUGUACUUGCAGACACCACCACAAUUCCAUUCAUUUAGUUUCAAUAUUUACACUCUGGAUGUUAGUAUGUUCGGAGGCGGUCAAGUGUUUGGAGCCAUUGCCGAGGAGGCAACACUACUAAAUUGAUUUUAAUUUUUGAGUUUAAAAGGAUAAUUUGGAAAUUUAUAAAUUGUAGAUAAAUUUUUUUAUUGUUACUAACAUCUUUUAUUUUCUUUUUAGUUUCAGUGUAGGACUCGUAGUAGUGGAACAAUUAUAAAGCGAGUCACUGAUCUAGAGAGAAUAAUCUGUAGGAAUCGUCAAUAGCCAUAGCAGUUGCAAAACCAAUCACCUGUUGCAAGCAAUCUACCAUGCGAUAACCCGUUGUUUGAUGAGGUAAACGAAUUUAAUAUCCAAGACUUACCACCACCACCGCAAUUACCAGCAAACCCUUCGAUGGCAUGAGAAGGGCGAAACCUAAGGGAUUACGCACUACCAAAUAUGUUGAUGGUUCAAGGUAGCAUUACAAGGCCAGCCAUUAUGGAAAAUAAUUUUGAAAUAAAAUCGACCAUGAUCUAGAUGAUCCAAAAUAAUCUGCAAUUCAGAGGCACCAUGACGGAUGACCCAAAUCAACAUCUAAAACGGGUCCUUCAAUUUUGUGAUGCAUUUAAAUAUAACAGGGUCAUUAAUGAAGCUAUUCAUCUUCGGUUGUUUCCCUUAUCCUUGAUCGAUAUUCGUUUAAGUUAAAGUUAAAGUUAAUUUAGUAUUAGCCUUCCUUGGGUUUGAUCCUUGGAGUACUCACCUACUUCAUUGUAAAAACUAUAUUACAACCUGACUCGUAUACUUGUAGACACCACCUCAAUUCCAUUCAUUUAGUUGCAAUAUUUACACUCUGGAUGUUAGUAUGUCCGGAGGCGGUCAAGUGUUUGGUGCCAUUGCCGAGGAGGCAACGCUACUAAAUUGAUUUUAAUUUUUGAGUUUUAUAGGAUAGUUUGGAAAUUUAUAAAUUGUAGAUACAAUUUUUUUAUUGUUACUAACAUCUUUCAUUUUCUUUUUAGUUUCAGUGUAUGACUCGUAGUAGUGGAAGAGUUAUAGUGCGAGUCACUGAUCUAGAGAGAAUAAUCUGUAGGAAUCGUCAAUAGCCAUAGCAGAUGCAAAACCAAUCACCUGUUGCAAGCAAUCUACCAUGCGAUAACCCGUUGUUUGAUGAGGUAAACGAACUUAAUAUCCAAGACUUACCACCACCACCGCAAUUACCAGCAAACCCUUCGAUGGCAUGAGAAGGGCGAAACCUAAGGGAUUACGCACUACCAAAUAUGGUGAUGGUUCAAGGUAGCAUUACAAGGCCAACCAUUAUGGAAAAUAAUUUUGAAAUAAAAUCGACCAUGAUCUAGAUGAUCCAAACUAAUCUUCAAUUCAGAGGCACCAUGACGGAUGACCCAAAUCAACAUCUAAAACGGGUCCUUCAAUUUUGUGAUGCAUUUAAAUAUAACGGGGUUAUUGAUGAAGCUAUUCAUCUUCGGUUGUUUCCCUUAUCCUUGAUCGAUAUUCGAUUAAGUUAAAGUUAAAGUUAAUUUAGUAUUAGCCUUCCUUGGGUUUGAGCCUUGGAGUACUCACCUACUUCAUUGUAAAAACUAUAUUACAACCUGACUCGUAUACUUGCAGACACCACCUCAAUUCCAUUCAUUUAGUUGCAAUAUUUACACUCUGGAUGUUAGUAUGCCCGGAGGCGGUCAAGAGUUUGGUGCCAUUGCCGAGGAGGCAACGCUACUAAAUUGAUUUUAAUUUUUGAGUUUUAUAGGAUAAUUUGGAAAUUUAUAAAUUGUAGAUACAAUUUUUUUUAUUGUUACUAACAUCUUUUAUUUUCUUUUUAGUUUCAGUGUAUGACUCGUAGUAGUGGAACAGUUAUAGAGCGAGUCACUGAUCUAGAGAGAAUAAUCUGUAGGAAUCGUCAAUAGCCAUAGCAGAUGCAAAACCAAUCACCUGUUGCAAGCAAUCUACUAUGCGAUAACCCGUUGUUUGAUGAGGUAAACGAACUUAACAUCCAAGACUUACCACCACCACCGCUAUUACCAGCAAACCCUUCGAUGGGAUGAGAAGGGUGAAACCUAAGGGAUUACGCACUACCAAAUAUGGUGAUGGUUCAAGGUAGCAUUACAAGGCAAACCAUUAUGGAAAAUAAUUUUGAAAUAAAAUCGACCAUGAUCUAGAUGAUCCAAACUAAUCUUCAAUUCAGAGGAACCAUGACGGAUGACCCAAAUCAACAUCUAAAACGGGUCCUUCAAUUUUGUGAUGCAUUUAAAUAUAACGGGGUCAUUAAUGAAGCUAUUCAUCUUCAGUUGUUUCCCAUAUCCUUGAUCGAUAUUCGUUUAAGUUAAAGUUAAUGUUAAUUUAGUAUUAGCCUUCCUUGUGUUUGAUCCUUGGAGUACUCACCUACUUCAUUGUAAAAACUAUAUUACAACCUGACUCGUAUACUUGCAGACACUACCUCAAUUCCAUUCAUUUAGUUGCAAUAUUUACACUCUGGAUGUUAGUAUGUCCGGAGGCGGUCAAGUGUUUGGUGCCAUUGCCGAGGAGGCAACGCUACUGAAUUGAUUUUAAUAUUUUAGUUUUAUAUAAUAAUUUGGAAAUUUAUAAAUUGUAGAUACAAUUUUCUUAUUGUUACUAGCAUCUUUUAUUUUCUUUUUAGUUUCAGUGUAUGGCUCGUAGCAGUGGAACAGUUAUAGAGCGAGUCACUGAUCUAAAGAGAAUAAUCUGUAGGAAUCGUCAAUAGCCAUAGCAGAUGCAAAACCAAUCACCUGUACUAAUUAGAUCUAUAUUCAUUUAAGUUCAAGUUAAUUUAGUAUUAGCCUCCCUUGGGUUUGAUCCUUGGAGUACUCACCUACUUCGUUGUAAAAACUAUAUUACAACCUGACUCUUGUACUUGCAGACACCACCACAAUUCCAUUCAUUUAGUUUCAAUAUUUACACUCUGGAUGUUAGUAUGUUCGGAGGCGGUCAAGUGUUUGGAGCCAUUGCCGAGGAGGCAACACUACUAAAUUGAUUUUAAUUUUUGAGUUUAAAAGGAUAAUUUGGAAAUUUAUAAAUUGUAGAUAAAAUUUUUUUAUUGUUACUAACAUCUUUUAUUUUCUUUUUAGUUUCAGUGUAGGACUCGUAGUAGUGGAACAAUUAUAAAGCGAGUCACUGAUCUAGAGAGAAUAAUCUGUAGGAAUCGUCAAUAGCCAUAGCAGUUGCAAAACCAAUCACCUGUUGCAAGCAAUCUACCAUGCGAUAACCCGUUGUUUGAUGAGGUAAACGAAUUUAAUAUCCAAGACUUACCACCACCACCGUAAUUACCAGCAAACCCUUCGAUGGCAUGAGAAGGGCGAAACCUAAGGGAUUACGCACUACCAAAUAUGUUGAUGGUUCAAGGUAGCAUUACAAGGCCAGCCAUUAUGGAAAAUAAUUUUGAAAUAAAAUCGACCAUGAUCUAGAUGAUCCAAACUAAUCUUCAAUUCAGAGGCACCAUGACGGAUGACCCAAAUCAACAUCUAAAACGGGUCCUUCAAUUUUGUGAUGCAUUUAAAUAUAACGGGGUUAUUGAUGAAGCUAUUCAUCUUCGGUUGUUUCCCUUAUCCUUGAUCGAUAUUCGAUUAAGUUAAAGUUAAAGUUAAUUUAGUAUUAGCCUUCCUUGGGUUUGAGCCUUGGAGUACUCACCUACUUCAUUGUAAAAACUAUAUUACAACCUGACUCGUAUACUUGUAGACACCACCUCAAUUCCAUUCAUUUAGUUGCAAUAUUUACACUCUGGAUGUUAGUAUGUCCGGAGGCGGUCAAGUGUUUGGUGCCAUUGCCGAGGAGGCAACGCUACUAAAUUGAUUUUAAUUUUUGAGUUUUAUAGGAUAGUUUGGAAAUUUAUAAAUUGUAGAUACAAUUUUUUUAUUGUUACUAACAUCUUUCAUUUUUUUUUUAGUUUCAGUGUAUGACUCGUAGUAGUGGAACAGUUAUAGUGCGAGUCACUGAUCUUGAGAGAAUAAUCUAUAGGAAUCGUCAAUAGCCAUAGCAGAUGCAAAACGAAUCACCUGUUGCAAGCAAUCUACUAUGCGAUAACCCGUUGUUUGAUGAGGUAAACGAACUUAACAUCCAAGACUUACCACCACCACCGCUAUUACCAGCAAACCCUUCGAUGGCAUGAGAAGAGCGAAACCUAAGGGAUUAUGCACUACCAAAUCUGGUGAUGGUUCAAGGUAGCAUUACAAGGCCAACCAUUAUGGAAAAUAAUUUUGAAAUAAAAUCGACCAUGAUCUAGAUGAUCCAAAAUAAUCUGCAAUUCAGAGGAACCAUGACGGAUGACACAAAUCAACAUCUAAAACGGGGCCUUCAAUUUUGUGAUACAUUCUAAUAUAACGGGGUCAUUGAUGAAGCUAUUCAUCUUCGGUUGUUUCCCUUAUCCUUGAUCGAUAUUCGUUUAAGUUAAAGUUAAAGUUAAUUUAGUAUUAUCCUUCCUUGGGUUUGAUCCUUGGAGUACUCACCUACUUCGUUGUAAAAAGUAUAUUACAACCUGACUCGUAUACUUGCAGACACCACCUCAAUUCCAUUCAUUUAGUUGCAAUAUUUACACUCUGGAUGUUAGUAUGUCCGGAGGCGGUCAAGUGUUUGGUGCCAUUGCCGAGGAGGCAACGCUACUGAAUUGAUUUUAAUUUUUUAGUUUUAUAGGAUAAUUUGGAAAUUUAUAAAUUGUAGAUACAAUUUUUUUAUUGUUACUAACAUCUUUUAUUUUCUUUUUAGUUUCAGUGUAUGGCUCGUAGUAGUGGAAUAGUUAUAGAGCGAGUCACUGAUCUAAAGAGAAUAAUCUGUAGGAAUCGUCAAUAGCCAUAGCAGAUGAAAAAACCAAUCACCUGUACUAAUUAGAUAUAUAUUCGUUUAAGUUCAAGUUAAUUUAGUAUUAGCCUUCCUUGGGUUUGAUCCUUGGAGUACUCACCUACUUCGUUGUAAAAACUAUAUUACAACCUGACUCGUAUACUUGCAGACACCACCUCAAUUCCAUUCAUUAAGUUUCAAUAUUUACACUCUGGAUGUUAGUAUGUCCGGAGGCGGUCAAAUGUUUGGUGCCAUUGCCGAGGAGGCAACGCUACUAAAUUGAUUUUAAUUUUUGAGUUUUAUAGGAUAAUUUGGAAAUUUAUAAAUUGUAGAUACAAUUUUUUUAUUGUUACUAACAUCUUUUAUUUUCUUUUUAGUUUCAGUGUAUGUCUUGCAGUAGUGGAACAAUUAUAGAGUGAGUCACUGAUCUAGAGAGAAUAAUCUGUAGGAAUCGUCAAUAGCCAUAGCAGAUGCAAAACCAAUCACCUGUACUAAUUAGAUCUAUAUUCGUUUAAGUUCAAGUUAAUUUAGUAUUAGCCUCCCUUGGGUUUGAUCCUUGGAGUACUCACCUACUUCGUUGUUAAAACUAUAUUACAACCUGACUCGUAUACUUGCAGACACCACCUCAAUUCCAUUCAUUUAGUUGCAAUAUUUACACUCUGGAUGUUAGUAUGUCCGGAGGCGGUCAAGUGUUUGGUGCCAUUGCCGAGAAGGCAACGCUACUGAAUUGAUUUUAAUUUUUUAGUUUUAUAGGAUAAUUUGGAAAUUUAUAAAUUGCAGAUACAAUUUUUUUAUUGUUACUAACAUCUUUUAUUUUCUUUUUAGUUUCAGUGUAUGUCUUGCAGUAGUGGAACAAUUAUAGAGCGAGUCACUGAUCUAGAGAGAAUAAUCUGUAGGAAUCGUCAAUAGCCAUAGCAGAUGCAGAACCAAUCACCUGUACUAAUUAGAUCUAUAUUCGUUUAAGUUCAAGUUAAUUUAGUAUUAGCCUCCCUUGGGUUUGAUCCUUGUAGUACUCACCUACUUUGUUGUAAAAACUAUAUUACAACCUGACUCGUGUACUUGCAGACACCACCUCAAUUCCAUUCAUUUAGUUUCAAUAUUUACACUCUGGAUGUUAGUAUGUUCGGAGGCGGUCAAGUGUUUGGAGCCAUUGCCGAGGAGGCAACACUACUAAAUUGAUUUUAAUUUUUGAGUUUUAUAGGAUAAUUUGGAAAUUUAUAAAUUGUAGAUACAAUUUUUUUAUUGUUACUAACAUCUUUUAUUUUUUUUUUAGUUUCAGUGUAUGACUCGUAGUAGUGGAACAGUUAUAGAGCGAGUCACUGAUCUAGAGAGAAUAAUCUGUAGGAAUCGUCAAUAGCCAUAGCAGAUGCAAAACCAAUCACCUGUUACAAGCAAUCUACUAUGCGAUAACCCGUUGUUUGAUGAGGUAAACGAACUUAACAUCCAAGACAUACCACCACCACCGCCAUUACCAGCAAACCCUUCGAUGGCAUGAGAAGAGCGAAACCUAAGGGAUUAUGCACUACCAAAUCUGGUGAUGGUUCAAGGUAGCAUUACAAGGCCAACCAUUAUGGAAAAUAAUUUUGAAAUAAAAUCGACCAUGAUCUAGAUGAUCCAAAAUAAUCUGCAAUUCAGAGGAACCAUGACGGAUGACACAAAUCAACAUCUAAAACAGGGCCUUCAAUUUUGUGAUACAUUCUAAUAUAACGGGGUCAUUGAUGAAGCUAUUCAUCUUCGGUUGUUUCCCUUAUCUUUGAUCGAUAUUCGUUUAAGUUAAAGUUAAAGUUAAUUUAGUAUUAGCCUUCUUUGGGUUUGAUCCUUGGAGUACUCACCUACUUCGUUUUAAAAACUAUAUCACAACCUGACUCGUAUACUUGCACACACCACCUCAAUUCCAUUCAUUUAGUUGCAAUAUUUACACUCUGGAUGUUAGUAUGUCUGGAGGCGGUUAAGUGUUUGGUGCCAUUGCCGAGGAGGCAACGCUACUGAAUUGAUUUUAAUUUUUUAGUUUUAUAGGAUAAUUUGGAAAUUUAUAAAUUGUAGAUACAAUUUUCUUAUUGUUACUAACAUCUUUUAUUUUCUUUUUAGUUUCAGUGUAUGGCUCGUAGUAGUGGAAUAGUUAUAGAGCGAGUCACUGAUCUAAAGAGAAUAAUCUGUAGGAAUCGUCAAUAGCCAUAGCAGAUGCAAAACCAAUCACCUGUACUAAUUAGAUCUAUAUUCGUUUAAGUUCAAGUUAAUUUAGUAUUAGCAUUCCUUGGGUUUGAUCCUUGGAGUACUCACCUACUUCGUUGUAAAAACUAUAUUACAACCUGACUCGUGUACUUGCAGACACCACCUCAAUUCCAUUCAUUUAGUUGCAAUAUUUACACUCUAGAUGUUAGUAUGUCCGGAGGCGGUCAAAUGUUUGGUGCCAUUGCCGUGGAGGCAACGCUACUAAAUUGAUUUUAAUUUUUGAGUUUUAUAGGAUAAUUUGGAAUUUAUAAAUUGUAGAUACAAUUUUUUUAUUGUUACUAACACCUUUUAUUUUCUUUUUAGUUUCAGUGUAUGUCUUGCAGUAGUGGAACAAUUAUAGAGCGAGUCACUGAUCUAGAGAGAAUAAUCUGUAGGAAUCGUCAAUAGCCAUAGCAGAUGCAAAACCAAUCACCUGUACUAAUUAGAUCUAUAUUCGUUUAAGUUCAAGUUAAUUUAGUAUUUGCCUUCCUUGGGUUUGAUCCUUGGAGUACUCACCUACUUCGUUGUAAAAACUAUAUUACAACCUGACUCGUGUACUUGCAGACACCACCUCAAUUCCAUUCAUUUAGUUGCAAUAUUUACACUCUAGAUGUUAGUAUGUCUGGAGGCGGUCAAAUGUUUGGUGCCAUUGCCGAGGAGGCAACGCUACUAAAUUGAUUUUAAUUUUUGAGUUUUAUAGGAUAAUUUGGAAAUUUAUAAAUUGUAGAUACAAUUUUUUUAUUGUUACUAACACCUUUUAUUUUCUUUUUAGUUUCAGUGUAUGUCUUGCAGUAGUGGAACAAUUAUAGAGCGAGUCACUGAUCUGGAGAGAAUAAUCUGUAGGAAUCGUCAAUAGCCAUAGCAGAUGCAAAACCAAUCACCUGUACUAAUUAGAUCUAUAUUCGUUUAAGUUCAAGUUAAUUUAGUAUUAUCCCUCCUUGGGUUUGAUCCUUGGAGUACUCACCUACUUCGUUGUAAAAACUAUAUUACAACCUGACUCGUGUACUUGCAGACACCACCUCAAUUCCAUUCAUUUAGUUGCAAUAUUUACACUCUAGAUGUUAGUAUGUCCGGAGGCGGUCAAAUGUUUGGUGCCAUUGCCGUGGAGGCAACGCUACUAAAUUGAUUUUAAUUUUUGAGUUUUAUAGGAUAAUUUGGAAAUUUAUAAAUUGUAGAUACAAUUUUUUUAUUGUUACUAACACCUUUUAUUUUCUUUUUAGUUUCAGUGUAUGUCUUGCAGUAGUGGAACAAUUAUAGAGCGAGUCACUGAUCUAGAGAGAAUAAUCUGUAGGAAUCGUCAAUAGCCAUAGCAGAUGCAAAACCAAUCACCUGUACUAAUUAGAUCUAUAUUCGUUUAAGUUCAAGUUAAUUUAGUAUUAGCCUCCCUUGGGUUUGAUCCUUGGAGUACGCACCUACUUCGUUGUAAAAACUAUAUUACAACCUGACUCGUGUACUUGCAGACACCACCUCAAUUCCAUUCAUUUAGUUGCAAUAUUUACACUCUGGAUGUUAGUAUGUCCGGAGGCGGUCAAGUGUUUGGUGCCAUUGCCGAGGAGGCAACGCUACUAAAUUGAUUUUAAUUUUUGAGUUUUAUAGGAUAAUUUGGAAAUUUAUAAAUUGUAGAUACAAUUUUUUUAUUGUUACUAACAUCUUUUAUUUUCUUUUUAGUUUCAGUGUAUGACUCGUAGUAGUGGAGCAGUUAUAGAGCGAGUCACUGAUCUAGAGAGAAUAAUCUGUAGGAAUCGUCAAUAGCCAUAGCAGAUGCAAAACCAAUCACCUGUUGCAAGCAAUCUACUAUGCGAUAACCCGUUGUUUGAUGAGGUAAACGAACUUAACAUCCAAGACUUACCACCACCACCGCUAUUACCAGCAAACCCUUCGAUGGCAUGAGAAGAGCGAAACCUAAGGGAUUAUGCACUACCAAAUCAGGUGAUGGUUCAAGGUAGCAUUACAAGGCCAACCAUUAUGGAAAAUAAUUUUGAAAUAAAAUCGACCAUGAUCUAGAUGAUCCAAAAUAAUCUGCAAUUCAGGGGAACCAUGACGGAUGACCCAAAUCAACAUCUAAAACGGGUCCUUCAAUUUUCUGAUGCAUUUAAAUAAAACGGGGUCAUUAAUGAAGCUAUUCAUCUUCGGUUGUUUCCCGUAUCCUUGAUCGAUAUUCGUUUAAGUUAAAGUUAAAGUUAAUUUAGUAUUAGCCUUCCUUGGGUUUGAUCCUUGGAGUACUCACCUACUUCGUUGUAAAAACUAUAUUACAACCUGACUCGUAUACUUGCAGACACCACCUCAAUUCCAUUCAUUUAGUUGCAAUAUUUACACUCUGGAUGUUAGUAUGUCCGGAGGCGGUCAAAUGUUUGGUGCCAUUGCCGAGGAGGCAACGCUACUAAAUUGAUUUUAAUUUUUGAUUUUUAUAGGAUAAUUUGGAAAUUUAUAAAUUGUAGAUACAAUUUUUUUAUUGUUACUAACAUCUUUUAUUUUUUUUUAGUUUCAGUGUAUGACUCGUAGUAGUGGAACAGUUAUAGAGCGAGUCACUGAUCUAGAGAGAAUAAUCUGUAGGAAUCGUCAAUAGCCAUAGCAGAUGCAAAACCAAUCACCUGUUACAAGCAAUCUACUAUGCGAUAACCCGUUGUUUGAUGAGGUAAACGAACUUAACAUCCAAGACAUACCACCACCAUCGCCAUUACCAGCAAACCCUUCGAUGGCAUGAGAAGAGCGAAACCUAAGGGAUUAUGCACUACCAAAUCUGGUGAUGGUUCAAGGUAGCAUUACAAGGCCAACCAUUAUGGAAAAUAAUUUUGAAAUAAAAUCGACCAUGAUCUAGAUGAUCCAAAAUAAUCUGCAAUUCAGAGGAACCAUGACGGAUGACACAAAUCAACAUCUAAAACAGGGCCUUCAAUUUUGUGAUACAUUCUAAUAUAACGGGGUCAUUGAUGAAGCUAUUCAUCUUCGGUUGUUUCCCUUAUCUUUGAUCGAUAUUCGUUUAAGUUAAAGUUAAAGUUAAUUUAGUAUUAGCCUUCUUUGGGUUUGAUCCUUGGAGUACUCACCUACUUCGUUUUAAAAACUAUAUCACAACCUGACUCGUAUACUUGCAGACACCACCUCAAUUCCAUUCAUUUAGUUGCAAUAUUUACACUCUGGAUGUUAGUAUGUCUGGAGGCGGUCAAGUGUUUGGUGCCAUUGCCGAGGAGGCAACGCUACUGAAUUGAUUUUAAUUUUUUAGUUUUAUAGGAUAAUUUGGAAAUUUAUAAAUUGUAGAUACAAUUUUCUUAUUGUUACUAACAUCUUUUAUUUUCUUUUUAGUUUCAGUGUAUGGCUCGUAGUAGUGGAACAGUUAUAGAGCGAGUCACUGAUCUAAAGAGAAUAAUCUGUAGGAAUCGUCAAUAGCCAUAGCAGAUGCAAAACCAAUCACCUGUACUAAUUAGAUCUAUAUUCGUUUAAGUUCAAGUUAAUUUAGUAUUAGCAUUCCUUGGGUUUGAUCCUUGGAGUACUCACCUACUUCGUUGUAAAAACUAUAUUACAACCUGACUCGUGUACUUGCAGACACCACCUCAAUUCCAUUCAUUUAGUUGCAAUAUUUACACUCUAGAUGUUAGUAUGUCCGGAGGCGGUCAAAUGUUUGGUGCCAUUGCCGUGGAGGCAACGCUACUAAAUUGAUUUUAAUUUUUGAGUUUUAUAGGAUAAUUUGGAAUUUAUAAAUUGUAGAUACAAUUUUUUUAUUGUUACUAACACCUUUUAUUUUCUUUUUAGUUUCAGUGUAUGUCUUGCAGUAGUGGAACAAUUAUAGAGCGAGUCACUGAUCUAGAGAGAAUAAUCUGUAGGAAUCGUCAAUAGCCAUAGCAGAUGCAAAACCAAUCACCUGUACUAAUUAGAUCUAUAUUCGUUUAAGUUCAAGUUAAUUUAGUAUUAGCCUUCCUUGGGUUUGAUCCUUGGAGUACUCACCUACUUCGUUGUAAAAACUAUAUUACAACCUGACUCGUGUACUUGCAGACACCACCUCAAUUCCAUUCAUUUAGUUGCAAUAUUUACACUCUAGAUGUUAGUAUGUCUGGAGGCGGUCAAAUGUUUGGUGCCAUUGCCGAGGAGGCAACGCUACUAAAUUGAUUUUAAUUUUUGAGUUUUAUAGGAUAAUUUGGAAAUUUAUAAAUUGUAGAUACAAUUUUUUUAUUGUUACUAACACCUUUUAUUUUCUUUUUAGUUUCAGUGUAUGUCUUGCAGUAGUGGAACAAUUAUAGAGCGAGUCACUGAUCUGGAGAGAAUAAUCUGUAGGAAUCGUCAAUAGCCAUAGCAGAUGCAAAACCAAUCACCUGUACUAAUUAGAUCUAUAUUCGUUUAAGUUCAAGUUAAUUUAGUAUUAUCCCUCCUUGGGUUUGAUCCUUGGAGUACUCACCUACUUCGUUGUAAAAACUAUAUUACAACCUGACUCGUGUACUUGCAGACACCACCUCAAUUCCAUUCAUUUAGUUGCAAUAUUUACACUCUAGAUGUUAGUAUGUCCGGAGGCGGUCAAAUGUUUGGUGCCAUUGCCGUGGAGGCAACGCUACUAAAUUGAUUUUAAUUUUUGAGUUUUAUAGGAUAAUUUGGAAAUUUAUAAAUUGUAGAUACAAUUUUUUUAUUGUUACUAACACCUUUUAUUUUCUUUUUAGUUUCAGUGUAUGUCUUGCAGUAGUGGAACAAUUAUAGAGCGAGUCACUGAUCUAGAGAGAAUAAUCUGUAGGAAUCGUCAAUAGCCAUAGCAGAUGCAAAACCAAUCACCUGUACUAAUUAGAUCUAUAUUCGUUUAAGUUCAAGUUAAUUUAGUAUUAGCCUCCCUUGGGUUUGAUCCUUGGAGUACGCACCUACUUCGUUGUAAAAACUAUAUUACAACCUGACUCGUGUACUUGCAGACACCACCUCAAUUCCAUUCAUUUAGUUGCAAUAUUUACACUCUGGAUGUUAGUAUGUCCGGAGGCGGUCAAGUGUUUGGUGCCAUUGCCGAGGAGGCAACGCUACUAAAUUGAUUUUAAUUUUUGAGUUUUAUAGGAUAAUUUGGAAAUUUAUAAAUUGUAGAUACAAUUUUUUUAUUGUUACUAACAUCUUUUAUUUUCUUUUUAGUUUCAGUGUAUGACUCGUAGUAGUGGAGCAGUUAUAGAGCGAGUCACUGAUCUAGAGAGAAUAAUCUGUAGGAAUCGUCAAUAGCCAUAGCAGAUGCAAAACCAAUCACCUGUUGCAAGCAAUCUACUAUGCGAUAACCCGUUGUUUGAUGAGGUAAACGAACUUAACAUCCAAGACUUACCACCACCACCGCUAUUACCAGCAAACCCUUCGAUGGCAUGAGAAGAGCGAAACCUAAGGGAUUAUGCACUACCAAAUCAGGUGAUGGUUCAAGGUAGCAUUACAAGGCCAACCAUUAUGGAAAAUAAUUUUGAAAUAAAAUCGACCAUGAUCUAGAUGAUCCAAAAUAAUCUGCAAUUCAGGGGAACCAUGACGGAUGACCCAAAUCAACAUCUAAAACGGGUCCUUCAAUUUUCUGAUGCAUUUAAAUAAAACGGGGUCAUUAAUGAAGCUAUUCAUCUUCGGUUGUUUCCCGUAUCCUUGAUCGAUAUUCGUUUAAGUUAAAGUUAAAGUUAAUUUAGUAUUAGCCUUCCUUGGGUUUGAUCCUUGGAGUACUCACCUACUUCGUUGUAAAAACUAUAUUACAACCUGACUCGUAUACUUGCAGACACCACCUCAAUUCCAUUCAUUUAGUUGCAAUAUUUACACUCUGGAUGUUAGUAUGUCCGGAGGCGGUCAAAUGUUUGGUGCCAUUGCCGAGGAGGCAACGCUACUAAAUUGAUUUUAAUUUUUGAUUUUUAUAGGAUAAUUUGGAAAUUUAUAAAUUGUAGAUACAAUUUUUUUAUUGUUACUAACAUCUUUUAUUUUCUUUUUAGUUUCAGUGUAUGUCUUGCAGUAGUGGAACAAUUAUAGAGUGAGUCACUGAUCUAGAGAGAAUAAUCUGUAGGAAUCGUCAAUAGCCAUAGCAGAUGCAAAACCAAUCACCUGUACUAAUUAGAUCUAUAUUCGUGUAAGUUCAAGUUAAUUUAGUAUUGGCCUCCCUUGGGUUUGAUCCUUGGAGUACUCACCUACUUCGUUGUAAAAACUAUAUUACAACCUGAGUCGUAUACUUGCAGACACCACCUCAAUUCCAUUCAUUUAGUUGCAAUAUUUACACUCUGGAUGUUAGUAUGUCCGGAGGCGGUCAAGUGUUUGGUGCCAUUGCCGAGGAGGCAACGCUACUAAAUUGAUUUUAAUUUUUGAGUUUUAUAGGAUAAUUUGGAAAUUUAUAAAUUGUAGAUACAAUUUUUUUAUUGUUACUAAAAUCUUUUAUUUUCUUUUUAGUUUCAGUGUAUGUCUUGUAGUAGUGGAACAGUUAUAGAGCGGGUCACUGAUCUAGAGAGAAUAAUCUCUAGGAAUCGUCAAUAGCCAUAGCAGAUGCAAAACCAAUCACCUGUACUAAUUAGAUCUAUAUUCGUUUAAGUUAAAGUUAAUUUAGUAUUAGCCUUCCUUGGGUUUGUUCCUUGGAGUACUCACCUACUUCGUUGUAAAAACUAUAUUACAACCUGACUCGUGUACUUGCAGACACCACCUCAAUUCCAUUCAUUUAGUUGCAAUAUUUACACUCUGGAUGUUAGUAUGUCCGGAGGCGGUCAAGUGUUUGGAGCCAUUGCCGAGGAGAGAACGCUACUAAAUUGAUUUUAAUUUUUGAGUUUUAUAGGAUAAUUUGGAAAUUUAUAAAUUGUAGAUACAAUUUUUUUAUUGUUACUAACAUCUUUUAUUUUCUUUUUAGUUUCAGUGUAGGACUCGUAGUAGUGGAACAAUUAUAGAGCGAGUCACUGAUCUGGAGAGAAUAAUCUGUAGGAAUCGUCAAUAGCCAUAGCAGAUGCAAAACCAAUCACCUGUUGCAAGCAAUCUACCAUGCGAUAACUCAUUGUUAGAUGAGGUAAACUAACUUAACAUCCAAGACUUACCACCACCACCGCAAUUACCAGCAAACCCUUCGAUGGCAUGAGAAGAGCGAAACCUAAGGGAUUACGCACUACCAAAUCUGGUGAUGGUUCAAGGUAGCAUUACAAGGCCAACCAUUAUGGAAAAUAAUUUUGAAAUAAAAUCGACCAUGAUCUAGAUGAUCCAAAAUAAUCUGCAAUUCAGAGGAACCAUGACGGAUGACACAAAUCAACAUCUAAAACGGGGCCUUCAAUUUUGUGAUGCAUUUAAAUAUAACGGGGUCAUUGAUGAAGCUAUUCAUCUUCGGUUGUUUCCCUUAUCCUUGAUCGAUAUUCGUUUAAGUUAAAGUUAAAGUUAAUUUAGUAUUAGCCUUCCUUGGGUUUGAUCCUUGGAGUACUCACCUACUUCGUUGUAAAAACUAUAUUACAGCCUGACUCGUAUACUUGCAGACACCACCUCAAUUCCAUUCAUUUAGUUGCAAUAUUUACACUCUGGAUGUUAGUAUGUCCGGAGGCGGUCAAGUGUUUGGUGCCAUUGCCGAGGAGGCAACGCUACUGAAUUGAUUUUAAUUUUUUAGUUUUAUAGGAUAAUUUGGAAAUUUAUAAAUUGUAGAUACAAUUUUUUUAUUGUUACUAACAUCUUUUAUUUUCUUUUUAGUUUCAGUGUAUGGCUCGUAGUAGUGGAACAGUUAUAGAGCGAGUCACUGAUCUAAAGAGAAUAAUCUGUAGGAAUCGUCAAUAGCCAUAGCAGAUGCAAAACCAAUCUCCUGUACUAAUUAGAUAUAUAUUCGUUUAUGUUCAAGUUAAUUUAGUAUUAGCCUUCCUUGGGUUUGAUCCUUGGAUUACUCACCUACUUCGUUGUAAAAACUAUAUUACAACCUGACUAGUAUACUUGCAGACACCACCUCAAUUCCAUUCAUUUAGUUGCAAUAUUUACACUCUGGAUGUUAGUAUGUCCGGAGGCGGUCAAAUGUUUGGUGCCAUUGCCCUGGUGGCAACGCUACUAAAUUGAUUUUAAUUUUUGAUUUUUAUAGGAUAAUUUGGAAAAUUAUAAAUUGUAGAUACAAUUUUUUUAUUGUUACUAACAUCUUUUAUUUUCUUUUUAGUUUCAGUGUAUGUCUUGCAGUAGUGGAACAAUUAUAGAGUGAGUCACUGAUCUAGAGAGAAUAAUCUGUAGGAAUCGUCAAUAGCCAUAGCAGAUGCAAAACCAAUCACCUGUACUAAUUAGAUCUAUAUUCGUUUAAGUUCAAGUUAAUUUAGUAUUGGCCUCCCUUGGGUUUGAUCCUUGGAGUACUCACCUACUUCGUUGUAAAAACUAUAUUACAACCUGACUCGUAUACUUGCAGACACCACCUCAAUUCCAUUCAUUUAGUUGCAAUAUUUACACUCUGGAUGUUAGUAUGUCCGGAGGCGGUCAAGUGUUUGGUGCCAUUGCCGAGGAGGCAACGCUACUAAAUUGAUUUUAAUUUUUGAGUUUUAUAGGAUAAUUUGGAAAUUUAUAAAUUGUAGAUACAAUUUUUUUAUUGUUACUAACAUCUUUUAUUUUCUUUUUAGUUUCAGUGUAUGUCUUGUAGUAGUGGAACAGUUAUAGAGCGAGUCACUGAUCUAGAGAGAAUAAUCUCUAGGAAUCGUCAAUAGCCAUAGCAGAUGCAAAACGAAUCACUUGUACUAAUUAGAUCUAUAUUCGUUUAAGUUAAAGUUAAUUUAGUAUUAGCGCAAGCAAUCUACCAUGCGAUAACUCGUUAUUAGAUGAGGUAAACUAACUUAACAUCCAAGACUUACCACCACCACCGCAAUUACCAGCAAACCCUUCGAUGGCAUGAGAAGAGCGAAACCUAAGGGAUUACGCACUACCAAAUCUGGUGAUGGUUCAAGGUAGCAUUACAAGGCCAACCAUUAUGGAAAAUAAUUUUGAAAUAAAAUCGACCAUGAUCUAGAUGAUCCAAAAUAAUUUGCAAUUCAGAGGCACCAUGACGGAUGACCCAAAUCAACAUCUAAAAUGGGUCCUUCAAUUUUGUGAUACAUUUAAAUAUAACGGGGUCAUUGAUGAAGCUAUUCAUCUUUGGUUGUUUCCCUUUUCCUUGAUCAAUAAAAUUUUUUCUUGGUUAGAUUCGUAGGCUUUAGGAUCAAUCACGACAGGGAACGAACUUGCGAAAAAAUUUCUACAAAAGUUCUUUCCUAUUAGCAAAACUGUCCUACUAAGAAGAGAGAUCGCCACAUUCAAAAUAUUAGAAGGAGAAAGCUUUCACGAAGCUUAGGAACGCUUUAAAAUUUUGAUACAAAGAUGCCUACAUCAUGGUCUACCUGAAUGGUUAAAGCUGCAGAUAUUUUACAAUGAGUUGGAUGCACACACACGCUCAAGACUUGGUGGAGCCACAUGAGUAGCCUUAAUGAAUAAAAUAGAUGAAGACACGUAUAACCAGAUAGAAAACAUGGCGAUGGAUUCCUGCUAGUGGCUAAAUGAAAGAUAUACUUAUGACCAGAUACCAUCUAUGGUAAAAGUUGUCCAAGAGGAUGACUAAUAUCAAAAGAUUUUUGACAGACUCAACUAUAUAAAGUCCUCAUCUAGUAUGUCUUCAAUAUUUGGUAGAGAUAAACCUCAUAGCCAUUAUCUAAAUAAUCCAACCUAGGACGUGAACUAUAUUGAAAAUAGGGUCGAAACCCUUAUUCAAAUACUUAUAACCCCGAUGGAGAGAUCACCCAAACUUGAGAUGGGGUGGAAACCAGGGAGAAUGUAAUAGUUCUAACCUUGUUAAAAAUACUAAUUAUCAACCUAUAUAUCUAUAGAAGCCUCAAGAACGGGCUAGCUUGAAUGACCAUACUGUAUGUGGUCAAUGCCUGGAUCGAAUUGAGGGGGAGAUGCAAUCAAUGAAGAUAGAAGUAAAACUAGUGCAAUAUGAGUACACCAAUAAAAAAAACAUUGACCAAGCUUGAAGAUCAAAUGAGUGAAUUAAUGAGCAUGAUGGGAGACAUCAAAAAGUAAAUUGGCACCGACAUCCCAAGCAACACUGAGAAUAAUCUUAAGAGGGAAGGGAAAUAACACGUGAAAGUAAUUAUGCUCUAAUCGGGAAAAAUACUGAGUAGCCUAGAGAAUCCAAGUCAAAAGGAAAAUGAAGGGGGUAUCGAUGAUCUUCAAAAGGAAAGCCAUCAAGGAGCUAAUAAUGAGCCUGAACCAGAGAACGUAGCUGAGUCGGAAGCUCAGCCAACCAAAGAACACGAACUAACCAAGGUACCAUUCCUCUCAAGGUUAGAAGAUAAGCAAAAACAAGAUGACACAGAGUUUGUAAGUUUUCUAAACUUAUUCAAAUCUCUAAAUUUUAAUUUGUCCCUAAUUGAAUUGAUUGAAAAAGUUCCUAAAUAUGCUAAGCAUCUAAAAAAAUUAUGUCUAAGCGUAGGAAAAUUAAAAUAGGAGAGCAGGUUAACAUAGACGCAUCUUGUAGUGCGAUAAUAUCUAAACAUAUUCCGCCAAAACUAAAAGACCCAAGGAGUUUUACGAUUCUUGUAGAGAUAGGGGACAUUCACUUUAGUAAAGCUUUAUUUGAUUUAGGAGCUAGCAUCAAUUUAUGACCUUAUCAAUAUAUGAAAAACUCGGGUCAUGAGAACUUAAAAAUACACAAAUAACACUACAAUUAGCCAACAGGUCUUUAGUACAACCAGAGGGAGUACUCGAAUAUGUGUUGGUUAAGGUGCGUAACUUCAUCAUCCUAGCUGAUUUCGAUAUUUUAAAUUUUAAAGAGGACCGUGCCCAUUCUGUUGGGUAGACCGCUUUUAGAUACAUCGAGAUCCACCAUUGACUUAAAAAAUAAUGAGUUAAUAAUGAUGAUUAAUUGUGAGACUGAAAUUUUCAAAUGUGGUCACCAAAAUAAUGAGGUAAAUAGGGAAAGAUUAGGAAAGAAAUAUUUUGAAGUAUCUAAAAAAAUCCCUAACUACCUUGAGCCAGAAAAUGUGUUUUCUAUUAUAAAUGCAGGUUGAAAGUACAAAUUUAAAGAGUGUGAAAAACAUAGCAAGGUGGAGUGGCACGACGGAUGCUGGAUGAAUACCGAUAGAACAUGAACCAAAUAUGCAUCCAUAUAUAACUUGACGGAGCUGACGAAUGAAUCCGGCAGCAAAGCCUCACAUCUCUAGAACUGAUAUAAAUUUUGUAUAUUAUUGUACUUUAUUAGACCAACAAUUAGUUUAGAAUUUAAUUUGAUUCAAAUUAUCUUUAAUCUUAAACUGAGCACUUUGAAAAUUGAGAAGAGAGGUCAAAAUAGAUUCAGUGUUGUAACACGAAACCUUCAUGUCGCAACACUGAAACAAGAUUCAAUAAAUCGAGCAGUUCAGCUUGAUGUCGCAACACAACACCUCUGUGUCACAACAAAGAAGUCAGUAUAAGGCAAGAUAAAAAAUUUCAAAAAGCGUCGCAAUAUCGAACCCCGAUGCCACGACUUUGGCAUCUUGCCAGAGGUGUCGCGACAUGAAACCCCUAUGUAGCGACAUCGCUACAAUUUUUUGCAGGGUCAAACUUGACCCAUUACGCGACCUAGUAGCUUAAACUUAGUUUUAACCUAGAAUUUAACCUUAAAAUACCCUGAUUUUAAAACCUAAAAACACUUUUUGAAACCCUAAACCUCCUCUAAUUCCUAAACCUUUCAAAAACUUAAAAAUCUCUUAAACCCUAAAACCCUCUAUUCAGUAAUUUUUAUAUCUCUUCUUCUUUUUGUGAUUUCAUUUGGGUGCAAGAAAUAAAAAUAAAGUACCGACAAGACAAUCGCAACAAAAUCCCUUCGAGGAUUUUGAAAUUCUUUAUUAGGUUCAAGGUUCCAAACCAUAUUUUUACUGUUCUAUUGAAUUGUUCCAAUUUAUUGUGAAAUAAAUUGCUUGAUAGUAGUUGUCUAGUUAGGAAAUUUAUUGAAAAUGCCUCCAAGAAAAACUAGGAGAACUAACAAACUUGAAUAAUCAACGGUUACAAAGCCCUCUAAUUUCCUAAAUCAAAACGUUGAAAAAUAUUUUCUAGAACUUCGAGGGAAGACAUUUCUUCAAGAAUGGGAGUUUGAAUUAUCGAUGAGUCUAUGUCAGGAAAUAAAACCUCUGAUCUGAUAUCAUAGAUAGGAAAAAUUUUGCGUAAUCCCUAAAGACUCUGUUGUGGUUCUGGUAGUGCAAGAAUUUAAUGCAUAUUUAAAGGACCAAUAUUCUAGGAGACCAGAGGGUGCCACAUGGGAAACGAUCUCUGUACGUAGGAAGAAGGUAAGAGUCACCCUCGACCUACUUGUGAAUUUUAUAACGCUCUAUAUUACGAAAAUGAUUUUGUGGAAGAAAAUGAUUUAGAAUAUUUUAAAUAUAUAAAUAUGGAUAAUGCUAUAAAUCACUUAAUAUAGGGUAGGGGUGAAUGUAAAUGUUGCCUCGGUACUGAGAUUCCCACAUCCUUUAAUUAGGAAAUAAUGUUUCCUAUUGCAAAAAUAUGGAUACAGUUCUUAUGCACUCGAAUUGCUCGUGCACUAAAUGUCUUUAAUGUCAAUACCUUUCGAGCAGUUUUCUUGUAUGUUGUUUUGUAGAAGAAACAAGUGUUUAUUGGGACAUGGAUCUAUCAUUGCAUGAAACGAUGCAUUAGUGGUAAAAAGUCAGGGUUUUCUUCCCUAAUUAGUGACAACCUUGUGCAAGAGAGUCGACGUUCCAAUGACGACCAUUGAACAAUUUAUGAAUCCAUCCAGAAGUAUUAUAGGAGACACCUUUUACAUGCAGUACACAAAGCUUCAACAAAACCAGAUAAGGGAUUGGAACAAAAGAGAAGAUGGAUGUCCUGGCUUUGCUUAAAUGGUAAGAAAAAUUGACAUCUCAAUAAUAAAUUAGCGAGAGUAGCAAUUCAAAAUUGGAUUAGAUGAUAAAAUGGAUGCAAGAGACAAACCUAGUUUUUCAAGAAUUUGCGUGGCAGAAUAACAUGAGAGUACCAAACUACCCAUUGGAUAUGUUCGGCCCAAAGCACCCCAAGCCGGAAGGAAAUGAGGAAAGGGAAGAAAGUAAGGAUGAGGAAGGAGAAGAGGAAGGAAAUGAGAUGGAUUUUAGGAGGAGAAUGAUUGAACUCAAAACUUUUAAUUUCAUUUUUUUGGAUUGUAAUUAAAUUUGGAUAAUUUUUAGUUUAUUGUUUUAGGAGUAGGAUUAACAAUAGAUUUUUUUAUACUUGUUUUCUUUUUUGUUUCAAGUUUUCUUUGUAGGAACCCCACAUGAAAGAAGCACGACAAUUUCGAGCUUUUAAUGAACGAGGAAGGAAGCAACCCACCAUUAGACUACAAUAAUGUCACGAUCAAUCAAGUAACUUCUUUCCUUAUCAAUUCAGGGUUGCACAUUAGGGACAAUGUGCUAUCUAAAGUGUAAAGAAUAACAUAGGAAAUUUGUUUUUGAGUUUGAUGCUUUUCUUUUAAUUUUUCUUGUCAAAGUGUGCUUUAGCUUGUCAAAAUACAAGUGAUUGGUUAGGAGCAUGGACAUAAGUUGAUUGUGUUUACAAUAAAUUAGGCAUGAUAGUGGAUGAUUUUAAAAUUUCAAUUAUUAGACUACUAAGUUCUAUAUAUUACACUGUAAAUAGGGAUUGAGUAAUUGAAUAUACCAAAUUAUAUAGAAAAUACAAGAAAAUGAGCAUGUUAGUAUGUAUGAUAAAUAGUUGAAAUUUUGAUUGCUUGAUUGAUUAAAUUUAUGAAUAUUGAGAUAUUUAGGAUGAGCUAAGGCAUUCUUUGGUAUAAAUUCAGAGCCAAAAAACUAACCAUGUUUAUCAAUCCUUAGUACCUAUGCUGAGUUAGUAAACACUUCUUCAUGAACCUUAAUGCAAAACCUGAGCAAAAAGUAUUAAUUUGUAUUUACUCAUUUUAUUUGGUCUUGAAAUGCACGAAUUUAGACAUCCAAGCAUACGUAUUAAGGGUUAAGUAGAUAUAUCACGGUGGAUUUUGUAAAAACAGAGUGAAAUAGGAAAAACAAAUAUGAUAUAGUGACUAUAGGUUAGCCUAUAUGUGUGAAACAAAAGAAAAAAUUAGAAAGAAAAUCAUUACGAGUAGAAAAAAGUAUGUGAAAAACAAAAGCAUUUUGAGUGAGAUGUAUUGAAAAGGAUCAAAGGUGACAAAGUAACAAAAGUAGAAAAUCUCAAUCAUUAGUGCAUAAAAACUUGUGAGCUAGUUCUAGUGCUAUUAUGUUGUAACUUCCUAUGUGGAGAAAUAAGGAAGGUGAGAGAAGGAGAAAUAAGGUGAAAAAUGGGAAAAGGUUACUAAAGGAGGAGAAUAGGGAACAAUAUGAUGUCCCAAACUACUUUCGUGCUUGAAACUAUUUUGAUGCUUCCUGUUCUUGAAUUCCAUACCUACCCUAAGCCUCAGAAUGUUACAAGCCAAAAAUCUCUAUGUGACCUAGGUAAACCUAUUCAUGAAUUGACAUUGUAUUAAAUAAUUUGAAUAACGACUGUUUGUAUUUUGCUAGGAUAAUCAAAUUACUUGUAUGAUUUAUUGAUGGAUCCUUAUAUUUGAGGACCUUAUUGUUUGCAUACUUUGUAAUAUACUGAACUUAGGUGUUUGAUAUUGAAAGUGGUAAGUCCUUUACAUAUCGUGCCAGGAUUAUGUGUAGAUAUGAAUAUGCCUAAUUAUGUAAUCCAAAACCAAUCUUUGUAUCAUUUUUAGUUUUCCUUACUUGAGGACAAACGAUGAUUUAAGUGUUGGGGAGUUUGAUCUACUGUAAUUCGGUGUAGCAGAUUAAACUAGUUUUCAUGCUUAAGGAGCUUGAAGGUGAACAACUUUAUUAUGUUUUUAUUUAGUUUUUCUAUCUUAGCUUUAAAUUCAAUAAAAAAGUGCAUUUUGAGUCAUUUUAUGACAUUAGGGGCUGAAAGAGUCCUAAGGGUGGGCUAAUGUACUUAGUGAGUGUGUACUGUAGGACAUCAUUCAAAGGCAUAAUAGUUCAAGGUUGUUCGUCGUGCUACAGCAGGGGAAGUCUAAUGUCACAACAUAGGGAGCAGAAUACAAGAUUUCCAAUACUACCAUCGGUGUAGUGACACAACCAGAGUAUGUCGUGACACGUCCCUGAAGCCAAACCUAAAGCCCAAAGUAUACUGCCUUUAGUGUCUCAACACUAGCUCUGUUUGGGAGAAAUUACAAGUGAAGGCUGUUUUGGUCCAUACAACAUAUUUUUAUGUAAAAAUGGCAGUCAACCUACGGUAAGGAUGACGACCAACCCUAACUCUAUAAAUAGGCUAUUAGGCACUUGUUUAGGGAAAAAAUUCAUGGUUCAGAAUUUUCUCUGUAAUUAGUUUUCAGUUUUUCUUUCUUUUAGGCUUUAGAUUUAUUUUCAGUUAUUUUUGUUCGUGUUCUUCAAAGAAUCUAAUUUGUAGAUUCGACCAAACUCUUGUGGAUUUUGUGCUUCAUCAAUCAAUACAGAUUCAAGAUUCUUCUUAAACUAUAUUCUUGAUCUGUUAUUAAUGUUUAUUUAUUUUAUCAAGUAUAUGUUGUUUAUUGAUUUCAUGGGGAACUAACCCUUUUAUGGGAGGUUAGUGCGUGGAAGUGAGAUUAACUAAUUAUUAUAUAGGGUUUUCUUAGUGGGUUAGAUAUUUGGGAGAAGAAGAACUUAAACCCUGAGCCUGACUGUAACACCCCUAACCAAUAUUCGUCUCCAAAAUAGGGUUACAGAGCAUUACCGAAAGUUUACAUAUCAAACAAUCAAUUAUUCAAAAGAUUCAAAUCAUAUCAGAAAUUAUUGCGAAAUCAAUCAAUCAAUCUCAUACAUAUUGUCCCUUAUACAAUCCUUCGAGGCCCUAAAAACACUUUAGAAAUUAAUCAGGACUAAAUCGGGCACAUGUAGAAUUUUUGGGAAAAAGUUGAAAAUUUUCCAUACUGCAGGGGUCACACGGCCUUGUGGCCAAGCCGUGUGACUCACACGGCUGAGAGACACUCCCGUGUCUUAAGCUGUGUGGACAUUCGAAGUAGGGACACAUGGCCGUGUCCUAACCAGUGUAACUCUCUAGCUUGGGUCACACGGCCAAGCCACACGCCCGUGUGUCGGGCCGUGUAGCUCUCGAGAAAUUACACCAUGAGUAUUUCACAUUUUCCAAUUUAAUCCCUAAUUGACAUUUUCAACAAAAUUCACUUUACAAAAGUUGUUUAUCUAACUACAAAAGUUCAUUUUUUCCCAUUAAACAUCAAAACAACAUGUAUUCAUUCAUGGAAAAACCCUAGACCUUUAAUAGUUUUGCAAACUAGUCCCUGAGCUAGCUAGAUUAAGUUACAACGACUCUAAAAACAUAGAAAUCAUUACAAACGAGACGAAAAAUCAUACCAUGCAAGCUAUCAGAGAUGGCCGAAUGUUAAAGCUUAUUCAAUGGCUUUUCUUAAGCCUAAUUUCAGUUCAAGAUGAAAAUAGAAAGAUGAUGAUGACCUUUGUUUUUUUAAUUAUUUUACUAACAUGUAUUUAUUAAUUUACUAAAAUAACCUUAUAAUUAAACCUUUAAAAUUUCAUUUUUAAUGGCCAUAAUUGUCCACUAAAAAUAUAAAUGGUCUAGUUACAACAUAAACCAUUUAAACAUAUAAUUUCAUAGCUAUUAAAUCAUUUUAGCUUAUAGAACUGACGUUUUGCAACUUUUGCAAAUUAGUCCUUUUUACCGAAUUAAGCAUGCAAAUGGUAAAAUUUCUUAACGAAAUUUUUAUACAAUAAUACUAGCAUGUUGUAGACAUUAAAAUAAUAAUAAAGUAAAUAUUUUCACGUUGUAUUUGUGAUCUCGAAACCACUAUUCUAAUUUCACUAAAAACAGGCUGUUACAACUAUCCCCCUAAAGGAAUUUUCAUCCUCGAAAAUCUUACCAGAAAAGAGGUUCGGAUAUUGUUUUCUCAUAGCUUCUUUCGGUUCCCAGGUGGCCUCCUCUAUACUGUAUCGUUGCCAAAGAACCUUUACGAAAGCUACUUUUUAGUUAUCAAUUCUUUAAUCUCUCGAGCUAAGAUUCUGAUCGGUUCUUCACUAUACAACAAAUCAGGCUAAAUCUAAUAUCUACUGGUGAAAUAACAUGCGAAGGGUUUGAUCGAUAUUGUCGUAACAUUGAUACGUGAAACACAUUAUGAAUCUUUUCUAAAUCCGACGGAAAAGUUAAAUCAUAAGCUUCUGGAUCGAUUAUUUCAAUAAUCUCAUACGACCUGAUAAAUCACAGACUUAACUUUUCUUUACGAUCGAAAUAAAGAACUUUCUUCUAAGGCGAUACUUUCAAGAACACUUUACCGCCGACUUGAAAUUUAAAUUCUUUACAUUUUAAAUCCUCAUUUAAUCGAUCUGAAGUUGCUUUCAAACUAUCACAGAUUACUUUAAAUUUUUCUUCCGUCUCUCGAAUCAAAUCAACCCAGUGAAUCUUUUUCUCAGUGAGCUUAGUCCAAUACAAUGAAGUUCAACACUUACGACCAUACAAAGCUUCUUAUGGUGCCAUCUUUAUGCUUGAUUGAUAAUUGUUAUUGUAUGCAAAUUCAAUUAGCAAUAAAUAUUUUUCCCAAUUACCUUCCAAUUCUAACACAGAACAUUGAAACAUAUCAUUGAGUAUCUGAAUUACUCGCUCGGACUGAGCAUCGGUCUGGGAUAAAAUGAAAUGCUAAAAUGUAAACACGUACCUAGAGCCUUCUGUAACUUGCUCUAGAAUCGUGAAGUAAAACACAUAUCUUUUUUUGAAAUAAUGAAAACUAGCACCUCGUGCAAUCUGAUAAUCUCAGCAACAUAUAGUUCGACUAAUCUCUCAAGAGAAUGAUCUGUAGAAUCGAAAUAAAAUGUGCAGACUUCAUCAGACAGUCAACAACAACCCAAAUUGCAUCUUUCUUUCUCAGAGAUAAGGGUAAUCCAGAUACAAAAUCUAUCGUGACUAGCUCCCAUUUCCAUUCCAGUAUCAUCACAGGCUGUAACAAACUAGAAGGUACCUAGUGUUCAGCGUUAACUUGCUGACAGAUUAAACAUCUCAAUACAAAGUUAGAAAUCUCUCAUUUUAUACCCAGCCACCAGUACAUUAGUUUCAAAUAACUGUACAUCUUAUUGAUACUAGGAUGAACAGACAAGUUAACACUAUGAGCUUCAUGCAAAAUCUUCUGAGCGAUCUCUGAAUUCCUCGGUACGCAAAUUCUACCUUUGAAAAGUAAAUAAUCAUCGGAUCCAAUCUGAAAAUAUUAAUCAGGAGUUGACUCAAUCUGUUUCGAUUUAGUUAAUAACACAUCAUCACAUUUCUGAGCCUCACAAAACUAUUGUAAAAACAUCGAUGUAGCUUUCAACUCAGGUAAAAUCGAACCAUCAUCGGACAACAUUAAUGGCAUAUUCAAUACUGGCAAAGCAAAUAAAAAAUUUCUACUCAGAGCAUCAGCAACUACAUUCGCUUUACUCGGAUGAUAAUCAAUGAUCAAGUCAUAGUUUUCAAUAGCUCGAGCCACCUGCGUUGUCUUAGGUUCAAAUCUCUUUGCGACAGUAAAUACUUCAAACUUUUAUGAUCUGGAAAGAUGUGACAUUUUUCGCCAUAGAAAUGGUGUUGCCAAAUCUUCAACGCAAACACAAUAGCUGCCAAUUCUAAAUCGUACGUCGGAUAAUUCUUUUCGUACGGCUUUAACUGUCUAGAAGCAUAAGCUAUCACUUUGCCUUCCUGCAUCAAAACACAGCCUAAACCUUUAAAAGAUGCACUGCUGAAAAUCACAAAUUCUUUACCUGAUUCAGGUUGAACUAACACCGGUGCCUCGAUCAACAAUGAUUUUAACUGAUUGAAACUUGUCUGGCAUUUCUCAGACCACUCAAAUUUCAUAUCUUUUUGCAAUAAUCUCUUCAUUAGCGUAGCAAUCAUUGAGAAGUCCUUGACGAAUUUUCUGUAAUACCCGACUAAUCCUAGAAAACUUCUAACUCCAGACGCGUUUCUUGGAGGUUUUUAGUCAACAAUAGUUGAAAUUUUUCUCGGAUCGACUCUGAUGCACUCAAUUGAUACAAUAUAUCCCAGAAAACUGACUUUCCGAAGCCGAAAUUCACAUUUGCUAAACUUGGCAAAUAACUGUUUUUCACACAAGGUUUGUAAUACAAUUCUCAAAUGCUCAGCAUGCUCAAUCUCAUCUCUAGAGUAAAUCAAGAUAUUACAAAAAUUCAAAAUGUUUGUACCUGGUCGUGAAUACAGUUUUCGACAUAGCAAAGUCUUUAACUCGCAGCUGAUGAUAACCAGAACGAAGAUCAAUUUUCGAAAAUACUGUUGCACCUUUCAAUUGAUAAAAUAGAUUAUCAAUUCGCGGUAAUGUAUACUUAUUCUUGAUCGUAACUUUCUUGAGCUGGCGGUAGUCAAUACAUAAUCUCAUUGAUCUGUCGUUUUUUUUAACGAAUAAAACAGGUGCACCCUAAGGUGAAAAACUAGGUCAAGCAAAACCCUUAUCUGGCAACUCUUGCAACUACACUUUCAACUCUUUCAACUCAGUAGGAGCCAUUUUGUAAGGAGCUAUUGAUAUCGGUGAGGUUCCUGGUACUAACUCAAUGGAAAAUUCAAUUUCUCUAAUCGGUGAUAACUCGGGUAACUCCUCUGGAAACAUAUCUAGAUACUUGCAUACCACUAGAACCGAUUCUAUCUUCAACUUAGAAACUCUAGAACCAAAUACAUAUGCAAGGUAUGCAUCACAGCCUUCUCUUAGGCAUCUUUGUGUUGAUAUAGCCAAAAUAAUAAUAGGCAACCCACUCAAACUAUUCGAUUCAAGCUGAAGCUUUUCACCGUUCUGACACUUUAAUACAAUAAGCUUUCGUCUACAGUUCACAAUAUCAUCAUGCAGAGUUAGCCAAUCAAUGCCAAAAAUCACCUCAAACUCAUCAAAUGGUAAUAGCAUCAAAUUAGCCAGAAAUUUAUAACCUCGAAUCAUCAAAGGACAAUUCUUGCAAACCACAAAUUUAGUGGACUCAAUAGGUAAAUUCUUACUUGAUACUACAUUCGUGCAUAUAUACGAAUGGGUUGAUCCCGGAUCAAUCAAAGCAGUAACAUCAAUAUCAAAGAUAGAAAAAGUAUCAGUAAUAAAUCUGACGCUGAAGCUUCCUCUCGUGCACAGAUAGCGUAAGCUCUAGUUGGUGCUCGUGCCUCAGAUCUCACAGUAGAGUCUUUUAUUCCAACAUGCCUAUUACUCGUAUUUCAAGGAUUACGAGGUGGUCUACCUCUCGUAGCAGUGUUACUCGGUCAAUUAGUUUGAACCUUUUCUUUCUCUGACUUCUCUAGACAAUCUCUUAGAUAAUGUUUAAAUGAACCACGCCUGAAACAUGCCCCGUUCUUCAAUCUACAAUCACUGAAGUGUCAUGCAUUACAUUGCUUACAUUCAGGCCUGUUGUCCUUGACACUACCCACACUCACUAUAGACUAGCCUGAGCUUUGGACUCGAAUGCUAUUUACCUCUAUCACUUGUAGAACACACCACUGAAGGUGUGGAAUGGUUGUGAUGUUCCUUCGAUCUCUUUGAUGAUGACUGAUAUUACUUUCCAGUUGAUAUCUUUCUCAAAUCUCUAGCUUCAAAAUCAGCUUUUCUCUUUUCUUUGCUAAGCUCAUCGGCUUUAUGUGCUCGAUCAACUAAAAACAACAAUUUCUUUCAAUUCAAGUAUCCUGACUAAAAGCUUUGUAUCUUCAUUUAACCCUUCCUUGAACCGCUUACACAUAGCAACCUCGGUUGGAAUACAUUCUCGGGCAUAUUUGCUCAAUCUGACAAAUUCUCUUUUGUAUUCAGAAACUAACAUACGACCUUAUUUAAGCUCAAGAAAUUCUUUGCGUUUCUGAUCAAGAAAUCUUUGACUCAUAUAUUUCUUUUGGAACUUGAUUUGGAAGAAUUCCAAACCAUACGCUCUCUGGGCACAAUUGAAAUCAAUGUGCUCCACCAUUGGUAAGCUGAGUCUUUAAAUAGAGAUAAAACACAUUUAACACACUCUGCUGGUGAAUAAGAUAACUUGUCAAAAACCUGAAUCGUAUUUUCUAACCAAAAUUUUCCUCUCUCAGGAUCAUCUUCAGCGGUAGCUUUAAAUUCUUUAGCCCCAUAUUUACAAAUUUUUUGUCCAUACAAACUCGGUAAACCAUUCGUUCAUCAUCUAGAAGAAGGCUUUCUUAGCCUCUCCUCCUUAGCCCUCAAAUAAGGGCCUUGUACCGUUCGACGCUGCUCUAUGAACGGAGGCUAGUGCAUUACUCUCAACUUCAUCGGAGUCAGUUCGGUUGGAUGACAUUACUAUAUGAAAACAUAUUUCAAAACGAGUUAGGAGUUAUCACACUAUCACAAGUUAUAUAAUGACAUGUAUUUCUAGACUCACACACGCUAUGUUCAGUUUGAGAAUCGACUAAAUCGUAGCUCUGAUAGCAAUAAAUGUAACACCCCUAACCCGUAUCUGUCGCCAAAAUAGGGUUACAGAGCAUUACUGAAAGUUUACAUAUCAAAACAAUAAAUUAUUGAAAAUAUUCAAAUCAUAUAAGAAAUUAUUGCAAAAUUAAUCAAUCCCAUAUUCAAAAGAUUCAAAUCAUAUAAUAAAUUAUUGCAAAAUCAAUCAAUCUCAUGCAUAUUUUACCUUAUAUGAGCCUUCAAGGCCCUAAAAACACUUUAAAAAUGAAUCAGGACUAAAUAAAAAACAUAUAGAAUUUCUGGGAAAAAGUUGAAAAUUUUUCAUACUGUAGGGGUCACAUGGCUGAGACACAUGCCUGUGUCUUAGGUCAUGUGGACAUUCAAAGUAGGGACACACGGCUGUGUCCUAGCCCGUGUUUGUCCCCAUGUAACUCUCUAACUUGGGUCACAUGGCCAAGCCAAACGCUCAUGUACCUCUCAAAAUGGCCUCACACGCCCGAGUGCUAGGCUGUGUAACAGCCUGGCUUACAACCCUUUGUAACCUACAAGGGACACACGGCCAUGCCGCAUGGCCGUGUGUCAUACGCGACUGAGACACAUGCCCGUAUCUUAGGCUGUGUGAACGAAAAAUAGGCCAUUUUCAAGCCAUUUUCCUCACCCAAAACAUGACCACUUAUACAAGCCAUAAGCAUCUAUUUUCAAGCAUCCAAAAUGCUAAAAUAUCAACAAUUAUAAGACCACAUAUACAUGACAACAUAACAACUAAUCCAUUACCUAAAAUACCUUAUUUACAAACUAAACAUAAUGGCUAUUUCAUCAAGCACAAAACACAUAUACACACAAUUAUAACCAUGACUUAAAAACAUCAAAAGCUAUCGAUAUAGCUGAUGGAUAGUGUGAUAGGUCUCCGACAAGUUUCCAACCCGAACGAGCUUCUGAUUCACUAUAAGACAUGUAAAGUAACACGAAGUAAGCAUACAAUGCUUAGUAAGUUUGUAUAUCAUAAAACUUAACUUUCCAUGUCUUAACAUAACAUUAAAAUUUUGCAUGGCAGAACCCAACCAAAAGCUUGCUCGAAGCCUAAGCAUCAACACAAACAUGUUAGCAUACUUGAACAUAAAUCAUAGGAAAUUUAACAUGGAUGACCAUUAAACUUAAACAUGAAUCAAUUGGAUUUUUCAUCCAUCUCAACAUAACAUAAUUUCCAUGUAUCACCAUUUCAGUGAAUUUCAUUUAUACAUGCUUUAGUUCAUAUUGAACUCUUACCAUUUCCUUUCAAACUCAUGCCCGUUGAACUGAUUAGAAUACCAUUGGGUAGAUGGGAUAGCUCACACAAAGUGUGCAAACAUAUAACCGUAGUUCGUACUUUCCUUUACAUGCUUACACGAGCUAUGAAAAGAGUAUGCUCACACGAGUCAUCACACGAGCUGUGAAAAUGGGUCUACUGACUCGAGUCAGAAUAUAGCUACAUGGUGCUGCUUCACAAGCUUUCGAGUAUUCGCAAAAAAUGCCGAAACUUAGCCACCGAUAGGACAUUCAAGACCAACAAGAAACAUGUAAACCUUUAUGACAUGUCAUUUGUAUCCUAUGAAUUCUUAAGGUUCAAACGGGGCUCAAUAAUCAUCGUAACAUCGUUGGAUAUGCAAAAAUUAUUUACAUGGCAGUCCACAGCACAUAUAUAUUUCAAUAAUAAGCAUAUAAGCAUUAUGCAUUACAUGAAAUUACCUCGACGAUAAAAUGUAGAUACGGAGUCAAUUAGUUCGAAACUUUAUCUUUGGCCCGAUCGUUGCCAAAGAACCUGUACUAAAGCUAUGUUUUUAUUUCACAAUUCUUUAACCUCUCGAGCUAAGAUUCUGAUCAGUUCUUUGCUAUACGACAUAUCAGGCUGAAUUUAAACAUCUACUGGUGAAAUAACAUGUGAAGGGUCUGAUCGGUAUCGUUGUAACAUCGAUAUGCGAAAUACAUUAUGAAUCAUUUCUAACUCUGGCGACAAAGUUAAACGAUAAGCUACUGGCUUGAUUCUUUCAAUAAUCUCAUGCGAUCAAAUAAAUCAUGGACUUAGCUUUCCUUUACUACCGAAACGAAGAACUUUCUUCCAGGGCAAUACUUUCAAGAACACUUUAUCGCCGACUUGAAAUUCAAUGUCUUUACAUUUUAAAUUCAUAUACGAUUUCUGUCGAUCUGAAGCUGCUUUCAAACUAUCAUAGAUUACUUUAACUUUUUCUUCCAUAUCUCAAAUCAAAUCGACCCCGUGAAUCUUUUUCUCACUGAGCUCAGUAAAGUACAAUGGAGUUCAGCACUUACGACCAUACAAAGCUUCAUACGGUGCCAUCUUUAUGCUUGAUUGAUAACUGUUAUUGUACGUGAAUUCAACUAGUGAUAAAUAUUUUUCCCAGUUACCCUCCAAUUAUAACACACAACAUCAAAGCAUAUCCUCUAGUAUCUAAAUUACUCGCUUAGACUGACCAUCGUUCUGUGGAUGAAAUGUAGUGCUAAAAUGUAUAUGCGUACCUAGAGCCUCCUGUAACUUGCUCCAGAAUAGUGAUGUAAAAUGUAGAUCUCUAUUUGAAAUAAUGGAAACUAGCACCCCGUGCAAUCUAACAAUCACAGCAACAUAUAGUUCGGCUAAUCUCUCAAGAGAAUGAUCUGUAGGAAUUGGGAAUAAAAUAUGCAGACUUCGUCAGACGACUAGAAACAACUCAAAUUGCAUCUUUCCUUCUCGGAGACAAGGGUAAACCCGAUACAAAAUCCGUCAUGACUCGCUCUGAUUUUCAUUCCGGUAUCAUCACUGGCUAUAACAAACCAGAAGGUACUUGAUGUUCAAUUUUAACUUGCUGACAUAUUAAACAUCUAGAUACAAAGUAAAAAAUCUCUCGUUUCAUACCCGGCCACCAAUGCAUUAGUUUCAAAUCACUAUACAUCUUAUUGCUAUCAGGAUGAACAGACAAGUUACCACUACGAGAUUCAUGCAUAAUCUUCCGAACAAUCUCUGAAUUCCUCGGUACGCAAAUUCUGCCUCUAAAAAGUAAACAAUCAUCGAAUCCAAUUUGAAAAUUUGAAUUAGGAGUCUACUCACUCUAUUUGAAAGACUAAUAUGUUGUCUAUCAAGUACAAUUGAGGAGAUUCUUUUUCAUGGGCAUCAGAGUGGAUGACUCCUAGAAAAUAGAGACAUAGAUGUGACUGACUGGACUUAUAAUACAAUGGCCUAGACCGAAGAAGGAUAGAUUCUGAUUUUGUUUAUGGAUUUAUUCACUUGUGACAUUUAUAGUGUGACAUACCUAAAUUUUGAGUAGAUGAAGGAUUAUGUACAUGUGACUUGUACACUUUAAUGUAAGGAAAAGUUUGAGUUCGAAUAGAUAAGGAACCAAAAGUUGAUGUGUUGGGUGUAAAAAUUCUUUAGUAUGUAGCGUAAAUCAUAACAGUGGAAUUCAUAGCCCAAAACAUGUGUCAAUGAUAUCCUUUCAUUAGCAUUACAUGGUUUAUGAAAAGUAAAUGUGGCCACGGGUCAUCUGUCUUUAUGAUGGAUGACUUGAUCAAUAUUUGAUGGUGAUUGACUUUUCAUGAAAGAAGAUGUAAUGGUUAAUUACCAUGAGAUAAAAUAGGAUCAUAUUGGUAGAUUGGAUAUUAUCCCAAAGAGAUCAAGGAUAUCCUACGAGGGUAACAUACUUAUGACAAGGUUAUUAGACAAGCAAUGAGUAGAUGAUUUCGUAAUGAUAUGUCGUUAGGGAGAGUUCAGUCACAAUACUAUAGUGGGAUGACUUCGUGACUAAAUGAGUUUAUAAUUAAUAGGUGAAAAGUCAGAACUUAAUUAUAAAUAAUUUGAAACCUAAUUACAUAUGUCCUAUUGGUCCCUCUGCAAGCUCGUUGGAACUAGAAAUGAAUUGAGAGUUUGAAUAGAAAUGAACAAAAUGAAUAAGAAAAGAAAAGAAGAAAACGUUUAGGAAUGAUUAUAGUUUUUUCCAAAAUGAAAAAUGGAAUCAUAUUGAAAUGAAUGUAGGUUUUCAAAAAUAGAAAUGGAAAUAAAAAUGAUCCAUUUGUAAUUCUCUAUGAAUUACUUAAAACUGAUCGAAAGAAUGAGUUUAUGUUUUAGAGUUGUUUUGAAGCCCAAAAAUAAAAAUAAAUUAUUCAGUCAUAGUGAACAUGUUGAGUUUUGAAAUAUUAAACAUAUUUUCUCAAAAUUUUACCAGGGGUAAAAUCAUCAAAAUUUUACUGGGGGUAAAAUCGUCAAAAUUUACCGAGGGUAAAAUUGUCAAAAUAUUAUUGGGGGUAAAAUAGGGAUGAAAAAAUUGUUUAAUAUAGAAUAGUAAUGUUUAUUUUAGAAAAUAGAUAAAUAUGUAUUGGGUUAGAUUAAAUUUUAAAGUAUCGGGUUGAAAGUCCAUAAAUCACAUAUAAUUAGGCCCAAUACAAUGAGAGGCCCGAAUCCCAUCAUAAUACAUACAAUGAGAGGCCCGAAUCCCCACUCCCUCUCUUAGUUGGACUAGGAAGUUGGUUUUCUAUUUGAAAUAGACCUUUACAAUUCAAGAAGGGUUCUAUAUUCACUCCUUAUAAAUAGAUGACAUUGGUAGAGCUAUUUAAAUAAUUUUGAGAGAUUGUUAAUCUGCCGAAAAAUAGAGAGAAUUUAUUCUCAACUAUUAAAAUUAUUUGUUGAAAAUAACAAUUCUACCAAUUUCUAUUAAAGAAGAGAGAAUUUCAUUUUCACCCCAGAUAAAAGAGAGAAAACUUUUUCUAGUUCUGUUUUCAAUUCAAUUGGUUCGAAUCCACACUUAAAGCAGUUCAUGGUACGAGAAUAGUGGAGAAUAUCGUUUGGUUGAAAUUCGGGAAUGAAUGUCCGCCUAGCUGAAAACACAUGUAUGAAUUAAAUUAUGGUUUAUUGCUAUAAAUAUCACAAACCCGGUCGAUUUUUAAAAUUUUAAUUUUUCAAUGUGUAAGAAAACCAUUUUCAAACUGGAUUUUUUUUCCAAAAUUUGGUAUCAGAGUCAGGUUGUGCUAUGUUUAUGGUGUAAACCGAGACCAAAUUUCUCUUUUAAUCUUAUUUGAUUAAUAUUUGAUAAGAUGUGACAUUCUUGUAAUUAUUCACAUGUUUAGGAGAAUGUAUGUGAAUGAAUGUGAUUAUAUAUAUUUUUAUAUAAUAAUUAUUUUUUUGCCAAGGUUGUGGUUAUUAGGAAAUAGACUAUGGACUAUCAUUUCUAUGUAGGAUUAUUUUUUUAUAUAGAUUUUUUGUGAGCCGAAAAUGGACAUAGGAUAUAAAUGUUUUUUUUUUCAAAAAAGAGUCAAUGACGAGAAAAAGAUGGAGUGAUGGCGGUUGAAGACCCAAGAAAUUUCUUGUGGUGAAAAAUUGUGUAAUCUUGUUUUUCAUUUAUUUUCUAUAAAUAGAACUGUGGAAACCUUUGCUGGCAAUUUUAUUUUAUUACUCAUCUCCUUAUAUAUCUACUUAAUAAUUGUUAAUUUGUAUGAGCUGAUCCACAAUUGAUCAAUUAAAGAUAAGAAGUAUGGUAAUUAGAAGAUGGAUGUCUAGGAUUAGAUUUGGCAAUGAAAGGCUUGACUUUUAAGCGGUCGAAUACGAUUCACCUCCCUUUGUUGGGACCCAACCUAGUGCACGAUUCACAUUCACUUCUUCAUUUUUUCCCUUAAAAGGAAAAUUAUGGAAAAUCAAAAUUGUUAAUUCUUAUGAAAAAAUAAAUGUGCAUAUAUUGUAAAAUUGUCAUAACAUGUCAUAUAUGAGAUAAUCAUGCCAUAUAGUUUAGGAAAGAAUGCCACAUAUACUUGUCAUGCAUAUAUUGAUCAUUCAUGAUUGAAACAGGAAAUAAAAAAUCUUGCAUGUUUUUAAAAUAUUGAGUGGGAGAAGGUCCCUAAACAAGAACCACGACCUUCUUCAAUGGUCUCUUGUGAUGACAUGAAAUGGACCUACCUUAAUGUAGACAUUGUCAUGCGAAUUUCACUAAGGAGACUUCCUGAAAGUAAGAGAAAUUUUCUUAUCAUCAUAUGAUAAUUGGAUCGACCCCUGUGGUAGGUAUUAUCAUGUAAUACAUUAAGAAAUUCAUUUUUCAAAGAGGACUGCUAGUCACAGCAUGCUACUCAGUGAGGUUGUCCCGAGAGGACUCAUUUGUGGUGCAUGAUGCGAUAGGUGUUGAGUUGAUGGUUAUACACUCAAGAUCAUCUAGUUAAGUAACUCCGCAAAGAGCUAUGCUUAGGUUAGAAUGAUGGCCAAACAUUACAUGAUUAUUAGUACGUAUGAAUGCCUAAGGAAUUAGGUUCAUGUACUAAUUGGAUGAAAAGUCAUGUUCUUACUAGUUGAUCAUGAUCACUCCAAGGUGGCCUGAUUCAAUGGGUGUAGGGAUUAUCGUUGCAAGGACUUACAAAUGUUUUCAAGGUUUAAUGUAAGACGCAUACAUCAUCUUAAUACAUAUCGUAAUGUUGGAAAACAUUUUCAAACAUUUGUUUAAUACAAAGAUAUUAACAUAUGAAUGUUUUAUUUCCAGUUCAUAAAUGACACCAACUCCCUUAUUGAACAUACUCACCAAAAACAAACUGAAUGGAAACAAAUAUAGGAAUGGAAAAGGAACUUGAUAAUUGUCCUGAGCUAUGACAAACUUAAAACAAUUCUUGAUAAUAAGUGUCCACCGACCACUCAAGCUGAGGCUAGAAAAUGUCAGGAGGAGUCUAAUGAGAUAACUCAUUGCUAUAUGUUGACAAGCCUGACCAACACCCUAUAUAAGUAACUAGAGAGUUGUAAGACUACCGAAGUGAUUCUGGAUAAGCUAGAAGACAUGUUCAGAGGCCAAGUUGCCUUGGCUCAAUAUUCUGCUAUAACUAGCUUGAUGAAUACCCAACAAAAUCCUGACAUUCCAGUCAAAGACCAUAUGAUUACUCUUAUGGGAUACUUUGUCGAGCCCGCGGAUAAUGAGGCCAAUUUGGACUAAAACACUUAGAUUGAGAUGGUGUUUGACUGUUUCUAGAUGUACUAAUGUCUAAAGUGUUAAUACUACUACCAAAUAUAUAAGUUAGGCAACUUCCGCAAUUAUACGGGGUAUGUUGUAAUAUAGUUUGUUUACAACGAAACCUUUGGUAAGUAUUUCAAGGAUCAUACCCUAAGGAUUGCAGUUUGGGGAAAACGGCUAUUAAGUCAAUUACCGAAAAUAACUACUAAUCUACCCGAGUCACAAAUUAGUAGUGUUAAUCUGGAAGCAAGAUGAUAAUAAUAACACUAAAUUAAAUGAAUUGAACUAAACCUAAAUCUACUCCUAAGUUCAUGUAUCGGUUUCGCCUAUUCCUUUUUUCGACUAUACGAGUUCCUUUAGCCUAGAUCCAAGUGUUUUACCCAAUUAACUAUUGAUGAAAGGUUCAAAAUAAUUGGUAACUUAUUAACCUAGCAGGGCGUCUCAGCCUUCUACUAACCUAACUAGUCGAUAAGAACUACUCACGUCUUGAUGACACAGUUUAGACUAAGGAAGGGUAAGCUUUUCACGGAUAGACAAUAACGAUUUUAGGUUAAUUCCCACGUAUAUGAUUUCUUAGGGUUGUCAAGCCUAUGGUUUAAGUUCGUCAUUCCUUAACCAUUGAUCUACUAAGUGAUGCUUGGUAGGAAAUACUGAUUUCGGGUUAAUUCCUACAUAGAUGACUUCCUAGGGUCAUCAGUUCUAGGGUUUAAUUACUCUCAACUAGAUCCAACCAAUCCAAAUUGAACUCUAAUUGUCAAUCAAUUAAUUAGAUAAAAAUAGUUGAAACAUGCAAAAUAUGUAUAAAGCAUCAAUUGAUUCUAAUCUUUACACAAACAUUAAAUUACAAUGUUAAAGAAAGAAAUAUAAAUAAUAGAAUAAAUGAAAGAGAUGCUCAUGGAUUUAUCGAUGAAAGCGUGGCUUCGAAACAAUCUUCGCUCACGAAAGUCUCACUUCAGAAUGGAAUCUUCCAAUUAUAAGAACAUAUAAUAAACUAAGUAAAAACUAAAAACGAAAUAAAAAAUUAAGAAUCAAUCCCUCAAAAAAUGUGUGCUUAAUCUGAUUACAAUAGCCAUUAUAUAGGCUAUCCUUGGAAUAUUAAAGUGCCUAAAAUAUUCUUGAAGUACUUAGAUUUCAACUAGGAAAAAGAUUCCUAAUUGGUCUAAAAACGCAGAUUUCAUGUGCAACAUAGGUCUGUGGUGUUGCAACAUCAGACCUAGUGUCGUGAUAUAGCAGGGACAUGUAGUGACAUAGUAGGGACAUGUCACGACAUAGCAUGCAGUUCUGCUCUAGAACUUGUUUUUGCUUCUGUCUUUGAUGUUGCGACAUCGAUGUCUUGGUGCCGUGACAUAGGUAGUAGUUUUGGCCUGAAUAUGCGUCUUUAACUUCUGAUUUUUCCUACAAGACCAUGUAACCUUAUUUAGAUAUCUAAGAUGUAACAAAAACUACUUUAAGCAUGAAAACCUAAAUAUAUACUAAGAUGCUUUGAUUUACUAUUAAACAAGCUACAAUUAUGUGUAAAAGGGGAUAUAAAUAAUUGUGUAAUUCAUGGCAGAUCAGUGUUCAAGAGCUUGUCCAAUGAGUUUCCAAGCUUUUAGGCCGCAUAUAACCUUGGGAACAAGAACUUGACACUUACACAACUCAUGAAAGAGAUAUAAUCCUAUGAGUUGAUGUUCAAUUGUGGUCAGCUCAUCUAAAAAGUAGAAGCGAACAUAUCCAUCACUUUUUCCUCAAAAGGCAAGGGAAAGUGUGCUAAGGAAGGAAAUGUUAAGGUCUCUAGGCCACCACAAGUGAAAAGGAAAGAACUAGGAAGCCUAAAUACUUAUCUAAAUCCAAAUGCUUCUUUUUUAGUAAGAAAGGGCACUUCAAGGUGAAUUGCAAAGAGUGGAAAGAAUACCUAGCAACCAAAGGCAAAUAUUUGGAACUCUUUAUGAUAGAAGCUUGUUUAGUGGAGGAUUCAAUAGACCACUAGGUCAUUGAUUUAGGAGACACUUAUCAUGUUGUUGUUUCUCUACAGGGGUUCGAGGGGAAAAAAAAUCUUAGACAUAAAAGCUUAUUGUUACAGACUAGGAAUGGGACAAGCGUGGCUGUAACCCCUAUACUUGGCAUGGUCGCCAAGCCCAAAUAGGGGAUGCCACACCACCAUCUUAUAUCAUAUACAACAACUAAAUGUUCAUUUUAAACGAAGCAUCUUCUAUUUUAGUAUUCGUGAAGGUUUUAAGCCACUCAAACUUGAUAGUUAUCAUUGUUUCAUGCAAAUCUUACAAUAAUUAAUCUUAUAAAAAUUUUAUAAUAUGCACAAGGUCCAUUUAGUAGAAUUUCCAAAACAUGUUCGUAGGUAUCGGUACUGGCACUAGGGUAUUCUUUAUUUUCUCUAAGUGGUAUUGAUACCACCUAGAAAAACGAUACCAAACUUGUGUUCUAUUUGUCGAUUAAAAAUCCAAAGUCUCAAAAAUUAUCGAUACCUAUCAUGAAAUAUCAAUAUUUUAACCCUGAGUAUCGAUACUCGAGCAUAUGUGUCAAUAUCAAAUCUCUAUUCUAACUUCCUACAUGUUUCAAGCAUAAAAGUAUCAAUUUUUAAAACUCGAUUAUCGAUACCUCUGCUUCAGACUUCAAAAAUGCAGAAUAAAUAUGCAAUUAAUCCAUUCCACUUUAGUUCCUAAACAUCAUACAUCAAUUACUUCAACAAAUAAUCAUUUAAUGACCUAAUUAACAUUUCAAUAUCACAGAAUUAUGUUUGAGCAAGAAACAUCAGUCCAUCCUCAUAUUCAUGAACCCAAGCAUAUCAAUAACAUGUAAUCCUUAUAAACUGAACCAAAAACCAGUAUAAUGUCUAAAAGUUAACAUGUAAUAAAUAAGUCUACCACAUUGCCUUUUUCCCAAAAUGUAAAUAAAUAAAGAACACCUACAGAAUAAUACCAACUGGGUUGGAUCACCUCUCAAAAAACCACACCGCUCAUACCAGUACUUUACUACUCUCCAAAGGUUUUAAGAAAGGAGUUGGUGAGCUUAACAAGCUCAGUGAAUUCCUAGAACAAACUACCAUGCAAACAAUUCAUCAAGCAUCAACGAAACAAUCAUAUAGCACAACCUCAUCAGUUCCAGCUCUAGUGUCAUAUUAUACUUACUUAUGCAUUAUUUACUAGUUCAUUUACGUAGUAAUCAUAUUCACUUUUAAACAUGUAUCACAUUACACAUAUAAUUACAUAACAUUUAAAAAUAUAUCACAAUACUAAAAAAUGUGUUUAUAGAUAAAUUGCAUAAUGGUCGCGUAUCAUAUAAACAUAUAACACAAUACAUACAUAUUCAUAAUUGAAGUUAAUUUGGCAUUUGAGCUAUGACACAUAAAAGUGAGCUCUACCAUCACUCGUCUAAUACACAGAUCUCUAGCACACCACAUAAACUCAUAAAGUCAAACAUGUCCCAAAAGUGAAGCAUAAAGCUAACACUCUUCCAUUGAAUGGAGCUUAGCUCCCAUUCCCUUAUCCUUCCAACAUGUCCCAGGGCCUCAACACCCAAAACCACUGUACAUAUAGAUGAGUACUCAUAAUUCUAUGGCAUGUCAACUAUAUCCAACGGUUUUAAGAUCACAAGGCUAAAAUAUUCGAAAUCAAACACGUCAUUUAUCGAUUAUCCGUGCACUUUCACUGUAGAUUUGCAUCUUUAGCAAAACACUGUCAUUGACAUUUAAAAUAUACAUAACAUGUACAUAUUUGCACUUUCACAACGGUUAUUAUAACCACAUAUAACAUGUUAUAACAUCUCAUCUCAAUUCAUAUAUUCACAAUCAUAUAAGCAUAUAGUUCACAAGAUAACAUAGGUAUGAGAAAGCUUGCACUCGAAAUUUAGAGUAGGGAUUUAGGCUACUACCAAAUUCUCUAAUAACACAUUAAAUCAUGUCUACAAGAAAUUAUUCCAAAAACUCACCAAUUACGCUUUCGUCGAAAAGUCAAAAGCUCAAACUAGUAUUUCCUUACCUUUAUCUAUACUUGUAGAAGGUCCUAUCGAAUUUGGAACUUCAACACAAUAAUUCACACAAUAAUUUAUUUGAUAAUCAGCUAAGAACUCACUACAAGCAAUCAAAAACAUAAGUCUAAGCUAUGUUCCCAUGUAACUGAAACUUAUAACAUAGCAAACUUUAAAUUCAAAUAUCUCGAUCUAUACUCAUUCUUUUCGCCUAUAACUAAUUUAGUUCAUCUUAUAAUUCACAUACGACUAAUUCUCAACCUUUAAACUAUACUAAAAUACUCAAUUCAUAGUAUCGACUUUUUUGACAUGUUUUAUGGCUAUUUUCCAAAAAAUUAUUAAAACGUGAGAAAUCUUUAAUGAACUUAAAAGUAAGUUUAGAAAACUUCCAAUCACAUAAAAAUUAAUUGAAAACUCUUUGAAACAUCAUUUUUAUGCAAAAUCUCGAAUUUCACCAUUAAGGACCAAAGUUUCAACUUUUACUUAAAACAUGUGAUUUAAUGGCUAAAAACUUAGUUUUAAAGACUAAAUAACAUUUAAAACUAAUUAGAAGUUGGAUCCUUACCUUAGAUGAUGAAAAAAAGCGUUUGAUAAAAAACCUAAAAGCUUGACAAUUGAGAAAACUAUGGUAUUUUUGGAUGUUUCUCUUAACUUCUAUGGAGGUUUAUGACUAGGAGGAUGAUAGAAAUCAAUGGAAUAGAGUUUAGGAAUCAAAAUCGAUUGUAAUGGGCCUAGAGAAGCAAGGACAACAACAACAAUAAAAGGUGAAAAAGACUAACGUGAAAUUUAUAGGUGGGGGAUGAUAUUAGGGUGUUUUUUAAAUUUUAGUUUAAUUGCCUUUUAAAAAUUCACAAUUUUGACUCUAUUACAAAUCAUUCCAAUUGUCAAAAUUAAAUGUAUUUAAAAAUAAUUUCAAAAAUUGAUUUAAUUUUCUAAAAACCAUAGUAAACAUUCUAAGGCUAAAAUCUCUAAAAUACCCCUAAAACUCCUAGGCCUUAUUUUGGGUGUUAUAGUGACAACUAAAGCAGUGGGAGAUGUACAUCUUUAUUUUGAUAAUUUUAGGAAGAUUAUUUUAAGAGAUAUUUUAUGUGUACCAAGUUUCAAAAGAAACUUAAUUUCUGUUGCAUGUUUUUUUAUAUAAAGCGACUUAACCGAUAAAGAAUCACUAGACUUGUGAAAGACGACAUCUUAAGUUCACUUAAAGAAGUUAAUCUUCCACAAUAUGAAUCUUUCUUGGAAGGUAAGAUGAAUAAGAAAUCUUUUAAUUGAAAAGGAUCGGGGGACGGAAAACCCCUAGAACUUGUGCAGACUGACGUAUGUGACCUUAUAAGUGUUAGUGCAAGAGGUGAUUAUGAGUAUUAUGUAAACUUUAUUCAUGGCUAUUGCAGAUAUAAGUAUCUAUACCUAAUGCACUACAAGAGUGAAACCUUUGUUAAAUUCAAAGAGUUUCGUGUGGAAGUGGAGAAACAAUUAGGUUUACCCAUAAAGGCACAUCGGUCAAAUCGAGUUGGGGAAUAUUUAUCUAAUGAGUUCUUAGGGAACCUCAUAGAGAAUAGGAUUCUAUCCCAAUUAACCACAUCGGGCACUCCACAACAGAAUGGCAUGGAAGAUAGAAGGAAUUGAUUGUUUUUAUACAUGGUACGUUCGAUGUUAAGUUAUUCAAAGCUAUCAAUCUCUUUUUGGGGAUGUUGUACAAACAGCUUGCUCUAUUCUAAAUAAUGUGCCAAUUAAGGCAGCAUCGAAAAACCUAUACGAAUUGUGGCGUGGUAAGAAGUCAGUUCUUAAUCAUUUUAGGAUUUGGGGAUGCCAAACCCACGUAUUAGACAAAGAUGUGAGGAAGCUGGAGUGAUAGACAUAAUCAUGCAUGUUUUUAGGAUAUCCAAAAGGAACAAAGGGUGGUUUGUUUUAUAACCCGAAAGAGCAAACUGUUAUAGUGUCAACUCAUGCUACUUUCCUUGAAGAAAGUUACAUGAAUGACUUUAAACCUCGGAGUAAGGAGAAGGAAAUUUUAGGAAAUAUACAAAACCCUAAUAAAAUGAUUCUAGAACCAACUCUUAAUAGUAGACCUGCAAACGAUCAGAAGUCUAGGGUGCUUCGUCGUAGUGGGAGGGUCUCUCAUAUUCCUAAGUUUUUUCAAUUUGGUGGAAGCUUUUUUAACAAUGAGUUUGUCGAAGAGGAAGAUAAUGAUCAACUCAAAUAUGAUGAAACAAUGCAGAGUGUUGAUUCCAAGCUCUGGUAAAUAGCUAUGAGAGAUUAUAUGGACUCUAUGUAUUCCAACUUAGUGUGGGAACUUAUAGACUUACCGAAGGGAUAAAACUCAUAGGGUGUAAGUGGAUCUACAAGCGGUUCCUAAUUACGUAUGUCCAAUCUGUCCUUCCGCUAGCUUGUUGAAACCAGAAUUGAAUUGCAAGCUUGAAUAGAAAUGAAUAGAAUGAAUAGGAAAAGAAAAAUGAAAAUUAUUUAGGAAUGCUUAUGGUUUUCUCUGAAAUGGAAAAAAUGGAAUCAUUUUGAAAUGAAUGUAGAUAUCCAAAAAUGGGAGUAGAAAUUGAAAUAAUCCAUUUGCAAUUCUAUAUGGAUUACUUAAAAAUGAUCAGAAGAAUGAGUUUAUGUUUUUGAGAUAUUUUGAAGCCUGGAAAUGAAAAUAAAUCAUUCGAUCAUAGUGAACAUAUUGAGUUUUGAAAUAUUAUACACAUUUUCUUGAAAUUUUAUUAAGGAUAAAAUUGUCAAAAUUUUACCGAGGUAAAAGUAAAAUAGGGAUGAGAAAAUUAUUUAAUAUAGAAUAUGAAUGUUUAUCUUGGAAAAUAGAAUAAAAUGCAUUGGGUUGGAUUACAUUAUAAAGUGUUGGGUUAAGGAAACACGAAAAUUUAUGUGUUUUUACAUGCCCUUUUUAACUUAAAAUCAUUCUAUUUCGGUUAAAUUCUUGUCGAAAAAUAAUUAAAUAUUAUAGAAUAAUUAAAUUAUGUUAAAAAUAUGAACAUGAUGAAUUUUUAAUUAAUUUUAUAGUUAAUUUUGAUUAAUUUUGACUAUUUUCGACAGAUUCGCGUAAAGGGCGAAAAUUGGCUCGACAGACAAAGCUCGAAGAAUAAAACCGAGAAGCAAUUUGAAGCAUCGAGGAAAAUUUAUUUCCAGCCUAAUAUGGUCCAAAAAUUUGUGUUAAUUCAUAAUAUAAUUAAUUUUAAUUUAUUCCCAAUUUAAUUUGGGCUAAAUAAAUUAUUAUUAAUUAAUUAUGGAAAAAAGGGUCUAGUUGAACCGCAUUGGUUGAACCGAAUCUAGUGAACCGAACCAGCCACCAAUUGGGCUGCCCAGAACCAUCCAUAUGCUGACCCAAAUCAGCAUUUUAACUGACUAAAUAAGCUUGCAAAGAAGCCCUUGAAGAACUUUGAACUUUGCAUUCAAACCCCUCUAAAAAAUGUGGCUUUAUGGAUUUGCCCCAGGCUAUUUUUAGCAAAGUUGAAUCUCUCAACUUUGCCAUGUGUGUGGCCAGCCAAGGGGGGUCUCUUUGGCUGAUGGAAUUUUCUAUUUAUAGCAGCCACAAUCAUCUAUAAAAGCCACCCCUUGCUGGUCAUUCAACUCAUCCCUCACACUCUCAUUCUCUUCUCCUCUCUCACUUUCUCUCAACUUUCCUUCCCAUUUUCCCUUUUGUUCAAGUGCCAAUUUCUUCUCUUGGGAAAGAUGUCCUCAUCAGCCAUUUUUGAGUAGCAAUUAAAUUAUUCAUAAGCCACCUUUAUAGCCAAGGACAACAAAGAACGAAGAACAGAGAAAUCAGUCAAGCCACGGAGAAACAUCAGAUUUGCUUCUUGUUCCCUAUCUCUUUAAAGUUCGUUGUUGUUUUGAAAAACAUGUUUAUGAAUAUUUAUCUUAUUUAAAUGGUUAUUUUAAUCAAUCUAGCUUGAAUUUAAUCCGUGUUGGGUUGAUUAUAUUUUGCUUGCUUGAAUUAUUGAAAUUGUGUUUCUGCUGUUACAGGCCUCGGUAAGAUGCUUGAUUAAGUAAAAUCAUGCCUAAGUUAUUCUUGCAAUAUUAAUUGUUAGAUAAAUAAUGAAUUAAUUAUUAAAUCAUAUUGAAAUUGUAAUUAAUCGACACAAUACUUAAUCAGUGCAUGUUUAUUCUUCUAAGGUAGCUGAAGUUAAUUUAGCAUUGUAUUUGGUGAUACAUAUGCCUUGCAUAACUUGAAAGAUUAUUGUGAUUAAACUGUUUCAAGGUAGAAAUACUCUGUUACCUCACUUGAUCUUUUAUAUGCUUGUGAAGAUUGAUUAAUCGCUUGGAUUGACAUUAAAAAAUGUUCAAGAGAUUGAUUAAUUUAAUAAGUAUGUAUGAGUAGUAGUUAGCAAAUUACAUAGUUGCCGUGAAUUUGUUCGUAGCAGUAUAAACAUAAGUUUAAUAAUUCUAGGUUAAAGGAAUGUAAUUAAUCCAACACAAUUAUAUCAUCUUGGUUAAAACUUAUUUGAAAUUGUGCAUUAGAAUAUUUUUAUUUUUAAUUUUUUUUACUUAGUUUUUAACCCUUAGUUUUUAAUCAUCUUUAAACCAAAAUAUUUUCCAUCACCAAAGUGUUUUAACAUUAAUUUCAUAAAUAUUCUUUUUUACAGUCCCUGUGGGUUUGAUAACUCGACAUUUACUUGUCACUUUAUUACUUGUUGCGAUUGUGUACACUUGCACGUUUUCGUCAUUCCAGGUUAAAAGUCCAUAAAGCACAUAUAAUUGGGCCCAAUACAAUGAGAGGCCCGAAUCCCUAUCAUAAUACAUAUGAGGGGAAACACACCCUAUUAGCCCCCCUCUCUCUCCUAGUUGGACUAGGAAUUUGUGUUUGUAUUUGAAAUAAACUUCUACAAUUCAAAAAUGAUUCUACAUUAUCUCCUUAUAAAUAGAUGGCACCGGUAGAGCUAUUUACAUAACUUUGAGAGAUUGUUACUCUGUCGAAAAAUAGAGAAAAUUUAUUCUCAACUAUUAAAUAUAUUUCUCUAGAAUAACAAUUCUACCUGUUUCUAUUAAAGAAGAGAGAAUUUUCAUUUUCACCCCAAAUAAAAGAGAAAAAUUUUUCUAGUUCUGUGUUUCAAUUUAAUUGGUUCGAGCCCACACUCAAAGCAUUUUGUGGUACGAUAAUAGCAAAGAUCAUCAUUUUGUUGAAAGUCGAGAACAAUGAACGUGCGCUAAGCUAAAAAAUAGGUAUGAAUUCGUUUAGGGUUUAUUACUGUAAAUAUCACAAACCGGGUCAAUUUUCAAAAUUUUAAUUUUUUAUUGUGAAAGAAAACCAUCUUCAAACCAGAUUUUUCCAACGGUAAUAAUGGGUGGUGUACUACAUGCUAAUGAUACAAAUACAAUUAAUUAUGUGAAAUGCUUGUAAUGCAUAUAAUGUAUGGGGUACAGAGGGAAGUACCAUGAUGGUGGUAGUUGAAGAUAGGAAUACUGGGUGAAAAUGAGGAAUGAGUGGAUUAAAAUGGGGAUUCAAGGGAGAUUGAAUGACAUUACAGAAUGUUAUCGACUGGCUCACUAGAGCGAUAUUGUGACCACGAUCUAUUGAAUCUAUAGAGUGACAUUGUGACGGCGGCUAUCGGCAGGUCCUUCGGGGUGACACCAUGAGAACAAUUUGUAGGUCUUUCAAGGUGACACCUUGGAAGAGGUUUAUUGAUUCUUCGGAAUCGGGAGUCUGCUAGGAAAUUAGAGAUGGGGUAUACUGUAUAAGACCAUAGCUCGGCUAUGGCAACAGGCCAAAUCUGCCAAGUUAAACAUGGGGUAUAUUGUGUAAGACCAUAGCCCGGUUAUGGCAACAUGUGAAGUCUGUCAGGACAUUAAAUAAGGCUAUACUGUGUAAGACCAUAGUUGGGCUAUGGUUUCAGAUAAAUUUUGUCAAGAUGAUGAAUUGAGAAACUAAUAAAGUAAAGAAAUAGGGAUAAUUGUAUGUCUCGUGCAGAAAGUAGUAUAGGUGGAUGAUCACGACGCGUUUGAGAAUGAGGUUAAAUAAGAAGGUAAGAGAAUCCACCAAACAAUAAAGAGGAAAAUAAUUGGUAGAAGUAUCCAAGAAUAUGGAUAAGCUUGCUCUGCCAAAUUUGGUAGAAAGUGGAAUCAGACAAGUUUGUGGUCAUCAAGACCAAAGAAAUAGAAGGGUACCCAUUCCAGUUAAGGGGUACCCAUUAUUAUAAAUCCGCUAGUGGUUAGCGAGUAAUAAAACAUGAAGUAUAAUAAGCAAGUCAACAAGGCAAACUCUAAGCUAAACGAUUGGAGCGGUAAGUCCUCCAAUGAUCUACUGAAAGGGGGAUGAUAGAGUAAGACUAUAUGGGGCUACCGAAGGUUGAGAUUGCCAGGAUUACUUAGGCAGGAAUAGUUCCUUAGGGACAAUCAAUAAAUUGGAGCAUGUAAGAAGGUUGGGCUUAGGAGAAUAAGCACUCUGGGGGUUACAUUCAGGGUAUGAGUCUGCCUAGAAAAAGGGGUGCCAACUCAUUCAACCAACUAACUUAUUGAGUCCAUGGAGAAGAAUGAUAGAAAGAGACCUUAUCUAGAAAAAGGGGGAUUAGGCAUAGGUCAAGUCAAAAGAAGAUUUCUAUUGGAGUAAUGGGAUAAAAUUUUAUGAAGAUCAAGGUCGAUCAAAGGGAUCAAGGAAGAGAUUCACAACUAUAGUGAAAUCUUGAUUAAAAUGCCAGUAAGUUGUCAAACCCGUGAUGGGAUCUACGAGAAUUCCAAGUUGAGGCAUACCUGUAUGAGUUCAAGGGAAGCUUUAAAUAACGACAAACAGGGUUAAGACCCAUAAAAAAAGAAUUUUCGAAGAUUUUUUUGGUGGGUGGAAUGCCCUUUGAUAGUUCAUUUGGAAAGAAUCUAGAAAAUGGCUAUGACAGAGAAAUUGCGGGUCUUCCUACAAGUUUAGGGAGUUUCUCAUCUGUGCUUUAAAUUUUAUAUUCCCUAAUUUCCAAGAAAUCUUGAAUGAAAAAUAAUGUAUAGGAUCUCACUAAGUUCUCCUGAGCUUAAAACAUUUUUUGCUUCCAUGCAAGGUAGGUGGUGUCUUAAAAUUUUAGUGGAGGGACCUAGCCAAACACCACCAGUUUCAAGAGAUGGGUGAGAUAGUUGAUUCAUAUACAUAUAGGGCAUGCCUUAAGGAUUAAAUUGGUUAUAUUCAUAUUGGAGUUUUAAAUUUAAAAUUUAUAAAUAGUUGUUGGAAUCAAAGUUGUAAGAAUUUAACUUUGGUUCUGUACGAUUGUUAAUAUCUUUUGAUCCUUAAUUUAUGUGUUUAAUAAUGUAAUUAGAGUAGAAUCAAAAACAUCGCUAAGAUAUUUAGGUCUUUCUAUCAUCCAGUACCUGGACCUAGCAAACAAAUUGGGUCUAAGGUGUUACAUGAAGUUAUUCCACUAUAGUUUCGUGACUGAGCUCUCCCCAACGACAUACCAUUAUGAAUGCAACUUGAUUAAUGCUUGUCCAAUGACCUUGUCAUAAGUGUGUUACCCUCAUAUGAUAUCCUUAAUCUUAUUUGGAUAAUAUUCAUUCUCCAAAUAUGAUCCUAUUUUAUCUCAUGGUAACAAUUACAUCUUCCUUCAUGAAAAGUCAAUUACUAUCAAAUAGUAGUCAAGUCUUCACCUAAUGUAAUAACAUGUUUAAUUUCCAUCUUCCAUCACGAACAACCUGUGACCAUGUUUAAUUUCCAUCAACCAAGUAAUAACAAUGAGAGGAUAUCAUUUACCCAUUCCUCGAGCUAUGAAUUCCACUAUUGUGAAUGAUGCUACAAACUACAGAAGUCGUACACUCAAUGCACCUGCUUUUGGUUCCUUAUCUAUUCGAACUCAUGCUUUCACUUACAUCAAAGUGUACGAGUCACGCAUACAUAGCCUGUCAUCCACUCAAGAUUUAGGUAUGAAAAUUGCAAUUGAAUAAAGAAUUAAGUGUGGUGUCUACAAGUGUACAUGUCAACUUGUAAUAUAGUUUAUAGUUACAACGUUACACUUUGGACGUAUUUCGAGGAUCUACACAGGGGAGGUUUGUUUAAACUAAAUUAAUAGAAAAAGUCACACAUUAACUAAGUCAAAAUAGCUACUCACGUACUUGUCAUAUUACGUUUAAAAAAAUGAAUCAUUAAACAAAACUAAAUUAUAUAAAAGCUAAACACCAAAAUCACAUUCAAAUUAAGCAGACAGUAGGGUGAAUUACUUCCAUGUUCAUGAUUAACCAAGGUCUAGGGUUUUUACCAAUUAGCUAACAAUCAACCUAAUUUAAUACCUUUUAACUUAUAACUAGAUUAAUUGAUCGAAUUAACUUUCUUAUCUUUCUACCUAAUAAAUUAAACUAGGUUAGAUUAAGUUGGUGCUGAGUAGACUAUCCUUUCGGCCUCAUCUACCUAAGUGACUUCCUAAAGUCGUCAAUUCUAGGGUUUAAUUCACUUAAGGUAAUCCAUCUAACUAGUGUCAAAAUCCUAACCCAAUCCACUCACUCCCACUUUAGCUUGUCAACCUUCCUAGGGUUUGAGUUCAUGGCCAUUCUAGAAGCAACCUCUCCUAACCGAUUAUCAAACAUCCAAACAAAUGUAAAAAUAAAUAAAAAGGGAAAAGAAUGUUAAGAAUCCAAAAAUCUUGAAACAAAACUUCUAUUGUUGAACCCACAAUCGAUGUUGAUAUUUUAUUUGAUGAAGAAGAAAAUAACCAAAAAAUAAUGAAAAGAAAACAAAAAUGAAAUUGCUAUUAAAAUUAACUUAGUGUUUAACAACUAAAAAAUGAAAUUGUAAUCUAUCUAAAACCCUAAUUAAUCCCAUAAAACUAAAUUUAAAAAUAAAAAUCGGCUCUCUAAUCAAGUCUUAUGAGCUAAUAUUUAUAGUGUUUAUGUUAUAUGACCAAAUUAUUUCAAUCACAAGUUGUGUAACAAGUUAAUUAAGAUUAUACGGAUAAAAACACCCAUUACAGUCAUAUUGGCCUCAUUAAACCGGUGUCGGGACAAACUAUAGCUGGUGUUGUGAUUUCGUUGGAAGAAUACUUGGUCUUCAAAACUUGGUGGAAUGUCACGACAUUAGUUUCUUGGGGUCACGAAAUCAUUGGCAGUAUGCUCCCUUUUGGAAUCUGGAUUGAAUGUCGCGACAUCGCCUCGAGUAGCUCACCUCUUGAAAUUGUGUUGGAAUUUCGACUAAGUGUUGAGGCUUGCUUUAAUGUCGCAUAUUCUUUUUGAAUGUUACGACAUCCAGGGUAGUCCAUUGACUUCUUGACCAAAAACAUUGUCCAGCACACUUACUCAACCUGUUAGUUCUUUCUUAGGUCCUAAUUGGCCUAAAAGGUCAUAAAACACCACUAAAAGCUCAAUCAAUUAAACUUAACCUCAAAAUAACUAAUCCUAAAAACAUAAUUAAAAUAUGAAAAAUCACUUGAAUACAAGCUCAUUAAGUGGUGAAAAGAGCCUAAUUUGUGACAGUGAAUUGUGGCAUAUCAUUAACCCUAAGCCCAUUUUAGGCAUGUCUGUAACCACCCAAACCUGACUUAGACGUUAUGGUCAAAUCCUGAAGAUUACAUUGGCCAUUGGAAUGGCAUGGAAAAAUGUUCCUAUUUUAAAUCACUCUUUAAAACAAAUUUCCUUUUUAUUUAAGACUAGUGAUCUCAAUUAUUUGUUUUAUUUCAAGAAAAUCAUAUUAAUUACAAAAUCAUCAAGCAUCUUUAGAGUGUCGCUUGUAAAGAUUAAUCAUUUCGGAAAAAAAACUAAGUUAUAUUUUGUUAAAAACAAACCUUUAAGUAUGGUAGUGAAAAAUUCAAUUAAAAUCAUAUUUCUGUUAAAAAUCGAUUUUUCAUGCAUAGUCAAUAAAACAUUCAGUGAGCAAUUUAAAACUUCAAAUCAUGCAAAAAUAAAGUAGAAAUCCCAAAAUAUAAAGUUCCAUGCCACAAUCUAUAAGAAAAUUAUUACAGUCCCAAAAAUAACCAUAUAAUAAAGUUUAAAGUAUUUAAAAUAAAAACCAUCCGAGAACACCUUCGAUAGCCGUGUCCAAGUCCUAACCUCGGGGAUUAUCUGAAAUCAGAUCAGAAACUAAUGUGUGAACUAAUAAACUUAGUGUGAGUCUUAUUUCAAAUAUACAGUAAUAAUAGUAAAUAUAACACUCAAGUCAAAAAAAUAUAAAGAGUACAAUAAAUAGCGCAAAGCUCACAAUUUGUGUCAUGCAUGAUCAUGUUAAUGUAGAAUUUUUAGAAUAUUCCUACCCAACUCCACUACACAUCAAUAUACGAUUUCUCUAAAACUCAUUCAACCAAUAAGACACCAAUUUGUGGACAAGCCACCAGGAUUGCAGAGAAAUUGUCAAAUUUGUAGACAAGCUACUAGGAAUAUGACCAUGCCACCAAAAUUGCAGGUAAACUACCAGAAUUAUGUGGUUGAACCACCAAAAUUGCAGAUAAACUAUCAAAUCUUCCUUCUUACAUAUUUGUCCCAACUCAAUGCAAAAUUACAUGUUACAACUAAAACAGAGUGCAAAUAAUAGGCAUGAUCAAAAGAGCAUGCAAACAAUGGAAAAAAUAGUAGGCAAGAUUUAAACAUGCAAUCAUAGUAAGAACAGUGGCAUAAAUUCCAUGCAAUGAGUAAAACAGUAUAGUAAACGCAUUUAAUGACACUUUUAGAAUUAUUAGUAUCAAAAUUCACAUUUUUAAUAUGUGACUAAAUUUUAGUUAUAGUGUGCAAGGUUUAUCAUGACAUCAAUCUCAAUAAUAGAUUUGCAACAUGCAUCAAUAGCACAUAUUAUAUGAAUAUCAUCAAGUCAUAAUACAACAGCCAUACAUAUUUAUGACAUCACGGAUUUAACAUAUCAGAGUCACUUACUUGGAAACAAUCCUAUUAAAGGAUUUAUCAAUCACCGUGAAUACUUAGUGUAUUCAAAUAACCAUGUUUCAGAGAAAAUAAUAAAUAUUAAUCAUAAGUAUAUAAUAGUUACUAAAUAAUCAUAUAUAUUUUUAUUUGAUUAAACCCACACCUAAAAAUAUGCCUUGUCACUAAAUCUACACCCACACUCCAAUGAUAACUAAUCUAGACAGUUCUCGCUUGAUCUGAUCAAAUAAUAACGGUAUGAUCCCAAUAGGAAUUCAUUAGUUUCAACCAUAAACCAAAAUAUAAUUCUCUUAUGCAGUCAGAUAAGAAACUUCCUCAAUACCUUUUUUGAAAGGAGAUCCAAACAUUUUUCUUAUGCUCGAGUAAAUUCGAAUGAUCCAGAUUAGAUCCUUCAAGAAACAUGUUACACAAAUAUUGGAACAUAUAUUCAACUCACAUAAGAAAAGAAAUGAUUGUGGUUAGAUUUACUAAUCAUUACUUACGCUAAACCGAUUGGAUUGUGAAGAUUAAUGAUUCACCGAAAGUUUUGAUUUGAUAGAGGAGUAGUGGCUAAGAAAAAACAAAAUAAGGAAUAAAGUGACUAUGUACAUUGUUUAAUAAUUAAAGAAAAAAAGAAGAAGAAUAAGAGAUGUUAAAAUUCAGUUAUGGCCAAGUAGAUGAAAGGAUGAUGAAGAAAGAAGACAAUCAGUGGAAGCUGGCGGUGGUGGUGCAAUGGCGCUACAGCGGCGAUGGCAUAGGAGGUUUGAUAGUGGCAUGAAGAGAGUGGGAGAGGAGGGACAGUGGUGAAGUGGUGGUGUUUAGGUGGUACGAUGGUGGCUAAAGUUGGUGGAGUGGUGGCAAAAUAAAUUUAAAGUAUCGGCUCAAGGUGAUGCAAGAGGAGGAGGAGAGAAAAAGAAAGGGAAGAAAGGAAACAAAGAGAUGAAAUAAAAUGAUUUUGUUUCUCUAGUUGCAAGGGACGGCUAAAGGGUUCAAAGGGGAUGAAAAUAGGAAGGGAGUGAAAAGAGGGGAAGAAAAGGAAAGAAGAGGGAACAUGUAGAGUGGAAAAAGAAGAAAGAAUGGAAAGUAGAGCAAAAUAUGACAGGAAAGAAUGAGAAGGGAAUCAAACUUGGGUUAGUUGGAAAGUUUAGCUUGAUCUUAACCACUAGGCUAGAACUCUCACUUGUUUAAGAAUUAAUGAUAACUUGGGUUACUUGGAAUGUUUAGCUUGCUCUUAACCACUAGGCUAGAACUCUUACUUGUUCAAGAAUUAACGAUAACUAAAUAUAGAUGGGCUUUGACAACUCUACUCUCAUUAAAAAAAUGAAUUCCGUCUUUAAAAUUUACCUGAUUAGAACAUAUUGGGAUAUUGUUCACAAAUCGAGUCCUCUAGCUCCAAAGUAGUUUCCUUAGUUCCAUGAUUUCGCCAUAACAUUUUUACCAGUGGAAUCUAAUUUUUCCUUAACACCUUAACCUCACGAUCCAAGAUCUAAACUGGAUCCUCCUUAGAAGAUAAAUCUAGUCUCAUCUCAAUCUCCUCAACUAGAACCACAUGAGAUGGGUCAAAUCAGUAUCGCCUCAACAUAGAGAUGCGGAACACAUCAUGGAUCCAGUCCAGUUUCGGAGGUAACUCCAACUUAUAAGCCAUUGGUCCAAUACUCUUAAGGAUCCUAUAAGGUCCAAUAAACCUUGGGCUCAGCCUGCCCUUCCGACCAACUCUUAGAACCUUCUUCCAUGACGAUACCUUAAGGAAUACCUGACCCUUGACAUUGAACUCUAUAUCCUUCCUCUUCAAAUCUACAUAGGAUUUUUGUUGAUUGGAUGCCACUCUCAAUCUGUCCUAAAUGAGAUUAACAAUACCCUCAGUCAACUAAAUUCGGGCCCAAUACUUUUUUUUCACCUAACUCGAUCCAUCACAAAGGUGUCUGACACUUUCAACCAUACAGUGCCUCAUAGGGUUCCAUCUGAAUACUUAACUGGAAGCUGUUAUUAUAUGAAAAAUCUACUAUUAGCAAGUGCUCCUCCCAACUACCUCGGAAAUCAAUUACACAAACCCUUAGAUAUCUUCAAGGAUCUAUAUAACCCGCUCAAACUAUGGAUGUAAAGCCAUGCUAAAUGAGAUGUAAAACGAGGAUCUUGAUCAUAAAUAAUCAAUACUGGUACCCCAUACAGUGUCACUAUCUCAGAGAUGUACAACUUCGCCAACUUCUACAGUGAAUAAUCUAUACAGACUGGGAGGAAGUGAGCUGACUUAGUCAAUCUAUCCAUAAUCACCCACACUAAGUCCUUUAUAGUAAGUGUGAAUGGAACCCACAAAAAAAAUCCAUAGUCACUCGCUCCCACUUCCAUUGAGGAAUCUAAAUAGGCUGUAACAAGCCAGAAGGGAAUUGAUGCUUAGCUUUCACUUGCUGGCAUGUUAGACACUUAGCCACAAACUUAGUUACCUCAUGCUUAACACCCGACCAUCAAUACAGUUCUCCAAAAUCCUAGUACAUCUUAUUCCCUUCAAGAUUGAUAGCAUAAGGGCUACUAUGCGCUUCCCAAAGGAUAGACUAUCUCAAAUCUUUGUUGUCUAGUACACAAUAUCUCCCACGAUAACACAAGAUUCCAUCAGAAUUAAACCCAAAGUAUGUAGUCUUACCUUCCUCAAUCUAUUUAAUUAGAGGCACAAGAGACACAUAUAAAGGUUUCUUCAUCUUAAUCUUGUCAACCACAGUAGGCUUUACUUGAAAUUCCGUGAGUAAGCCACCAUCCUCACACAAAUUCGGCUUAGCAAACAUUGGUCUCAAAUCAGUCAUCAACCUCCUACUCAAUGCAUUUGCCAUGAUGUUAGCUUUCUUAGGUGGUACUCAAUGGUACAAUCAUACUAGCAUAGCUCUUUAAGUACCAUGCAGUAAGGAGCAAUGGACACCGGAGUAGUCCUAGGCAGCAAAUCUAUCCCAAAUUCAACCUCUCGCUCUGGAAGUAAUCUAAGUAGCUCUUCCAGAAAGAUGUCGGGAAACUCUCUCAUAGUACGACUACCUUCCACAUUUGAUCCACUAACACUCAUGUCCAGAAUAUAAGUCAGGUAAGCUUCACAUCCCUUAUGAACCAACUUUUCAGCUACUAAAGCUGAGAUCACAUUAGACAAGUAAUCUCUAUGCUCACCAACUAUCAUAAUUUCCUUACCUAUCGAUGUCUUCAAAGUAACCCUCUUCAAAGCGCAAUCCAAACUGACUUGGUGUUCCACCAACCAGUUUAUACCCAAAAUUAGAUCAAAUUCCCCAAAGGGUAGCUUCAUUAAAUUUGCCAAAAAUACCUCUCCCUAAACUCAACGGGCAUCUUCUAUAAAUCUUAUUCAUAGUAACAGAUUGUCCUCUCUGCAUCUAGCCACAUAGACAAGAACAAUUUUCCUGGCAACAGUUCAUUUUGCACCCUAAACUCGUGCUCACUGUCCCUGUCCAACAUUACCUCCUUUGUAUUGACCCUGACCCCUCUAAGGCUAAUGCCCAGCCCUCUGAUUCUGAACCUCAUUCUGUACUAGAUCUUGCAUGUGGUCAUUACGGCAUGGAAAGUCCUUAAUCUUAUGGUCCAUAGACCCACAUCUCAAACAAGUACUCAUCUCUCUCCAACAUUCACCUAGAUGUCGCUUACCAUAGUAAGCACAGUUCUGAGUCUUGCCUCUAGUACCAACUACCACUGUAUUCUGUCGAGGCUUAUCAUCUCUUCUUCGCUUAAUGGGUUGUGAAGCCGUGAUAGUGGGAUAGAAAUCCCACUCAACAGAAGCCUCAUCCUUCUCUUUUCUCUUAUGCUUCACACACUUAUCUUCCUCAACUAUCUUGGUUUUCUCCACCAUAAUUUCGUAAAACCUCUCAUGGUGUAGAGCGACCUGGAUAAUCAAAUCUGACACACUUAUCUUUCUCGACCGCAACCAUCCCUUGAACAUAUCAGCUAAGCCUCAAGAAUCCAACCUCAUACCCAGCCAUCGACAUGUCUCCUUACUUCAACUCAAUAGAUUCUAGCCUUUGGUCCACAACAUAUCUAGUGCCCAUGCAUUUCUUCUAGAAAGCUUGUUGGAAAUAAUCCCAAGUUAAUCUUUCCACCUGCGUAUGUAACAACCUAUUUUUAGUAGUGUUAGAAAUAGUGGUUUUGGGACCACAAUUCUGAUGAGAGAGUCCAUAGAUAUAUUUAAUUAAUAUUUAUGAGUUAAAUAUAAUAUAAUAGUGAAUUUUGAUUUAAUAGAUUUUAUUAAUUGGUUAGUUAGUUAAAGUACAAAUGGUGCGUACCGAAAGUCAAGUGGUUUUGGAAAAUGAGGGAUCGGGACCUCGUUACUGUAAACCAAGCCCAUGAAUAUUUUUAUUAAAUAUUUACGGAGCUUUUAUAUAGGUGAAUUGAAUUUUGGUCCAAAAAUUUUAGUGGUUGGAUGGCUAAUUAAGGUAUAAGGACUAAAUCAUAAAAAACUAUAAAAGUUAAUCACUAUUAAUUUUUAUUAGUUAAAUUUCUUAUCUAGUAAUUUUUUAAGGUUUAAUAUAACAAUUAGGCCAUAUUUAAUUAUAGUGGGAUGUCUUGUAGUUAGUUUUGUUAUAUUUUAUAUGUUAAUUUAAAUUUAAAUUAAUAAUAAUAAAGUUAAAACAUAAAAAUAAUGGUCAUCUUCUUCAUUUUGAGUUUCAUCACCAAAAAGAGAAUCAAAGCUUGAGAAGCUAUCAUUAAAAUUUCCAAGGCUCAGCCAAGUGCAUGUGAGUCUAUUUUUAAACCGUUUUUCAUAAAUUUUAUGUUUUUGAGAUCGUUCCAACUAGGUCCAAAUAACCUGUACCUCUGUUUUCAAAAUUUUCAAAGAUUUAAAAUGUUUCCAAUGAUAUUAUUUGAUUAUUUUGAAUGUUUAUGGUAGAUUUUGAAGCAUAUAAAUGAAAUAGGAUUAAUUUGUUAAGUAAAUUUUGUUAGUUUUGAGUUAGGGACUAAAUUGUGAAUAUAUUAAAAUUGGUAUGAAAUUUUUAUAUAUUUUGAUAAUAUGGGACUGUAUAUGGACAUAAUUAAAGUGGGUUUAAAAUUUGGAGUUCAAAUUUGGAAGAUAUAAUAAGUUCUGUUUUAGGGACUAAAUUGAAUAAAAUGUAAAAGUUUAGGGGCAUUCAAAUAAUAAAAUUAAAAUUAUAUAUACUUAUAAUAGGAUGACAUAAGAUGUUUGGAACUGAUAAAUUGAAUUGACUUAUUGAAUAGAUUAGAAAUUAGACCAAAUUAAAAAAAAGUAGAGGAAAUGACAAAAAAAUUGUUGAUUAGUCCUUAGAGAGUUGUUUAGUUGUUUCCUUAACUAGGUAAGUUCAUAUAUUAUGUUUGUGCUAAAUUUUUAUGCAUUUGGAAUUAUAAUUUUAAUGAUGUUUAAAUGAAAUUUUAAUUGUUUAUGAUUUAGCACAAAAAUGUGAGAUAAAUAAUUAAAUUGAAAUAAUUAUGGAAUUGAACUUAAAUUGGACUGAAAUAGGAUAUGUCAUGUGAUGAGGUAAUGAACUAAGCUGACUUGAUUUGAUUUAGACUAGUUGAUAGUGAUAAGGAAAAAAUUGAAUAUAUAUGAAAAAUGUGUAUGUAUAUAUAUGUGUGUGUAAUUGAAUGCAUAUAGAUAUGAUUGAUGCUGUCAUGAUUAUGGAUGAAUGAUACGUGAAUUGAGAUGUUGAUUGAUAAUAAAUUGAGUAAUGAAUACCUUAUUAACUAUUUGGGUAGAGUCGGUUAUAGUUGACAUACCAUGGGAUAGGAAGAGCUCAGAGUUACUUCGACUACGAGUCGAUGAGGCACUGGGUGCCAAUUUGCUUCUGUUAUAUCGAUGAAACACUGGGUUUCAAACUUAUUGGUAGCAUUGGGCGCAACUAUUUUCUUCGGAUUUAUCUCAUGAGGCACUAGGUGCCAAACUGGUGUGUUGGUUCUAUCUGUGUAUCUGUUCGAGUUCAAGUUGUGUUAAUAAGUAAAUAAAUGAUUGAAAAAAGAAAUAUCACAUAUUUGAAAUGGCAAAUGAUGUGAAAUGGAAUAUGAAAUUGUGAAAUGAGUUGGGAACAAUGAUUAAUUAUGUUCAAUAAAUCCCUGAAUUUGGAAAUUGAGAUGGAAUGUGAUUUGUAAUUCGUAUUAUGAAAUGAAAUAGUAAUUGACAUUAGAUUGGAAAUUGAUAUAUAUAUUUGGUAUAAAGAUGAAUUGAUAUGAAAUAGGAAUGAAGUUUAUACGAUUUAAUAUGAAUUUGAUUGAGAAUUCGAAUUAUGAAAUGAAAAAUAAUGUUUGGCAUUAAUUUGAAAUGGGAUGCAUUAAGGGCAUACUAGAUUGUUUUGAAUAUGGUAUUAUGUUUGAAUUUGAAUUGUUGGAUUGAGGUGUCAAUUGUGGCAUAUUGGUUGUAUGUAUUUAAUGGAUUGAAUGAGUUCUAUAUAGGCUAUUUGUGUACCUAUAUGUAUCUAUGAGCUAAGAUAUAGAUUUGGGCAUGAAAUAAACUUCUAAAUUUGUGAUUUUGACCAUCUAGGUAAAAGUAUCGACACCAAGGACCAAGGUUAAUAUAAGGUAUUAAUACUUGACCAAAUGAACAGUGUUUUGAAAAUGGCAGAAUGUCAAAAUGGUAUCGACACUGAAGUUUGGCAUCGAUAAUUUUGUUAAAAAUAUCAAUACUUGUUCCUUUUGUAUCGAUACCUAGUUCCAAGUUUUGAAAAUUUUCAGAUUGGUCCUUAAUCAUGCUCGAAUCUAUUAAACUAUGUUCUCUGUUUGGUUCAUAACUUUUAUUAUACAUGUAUUUAGAAAAACUUGAUUAUUUAAAUUAAAUUCAAUGUUAUGAUUUGCAUAUGAAUGUUUCGAUAACUAUAGUAGUAGGAUCAACAUGCAAUUUACAUAUUAACAUUUGAUAUCAUAACUUAAAAUCAAUUAACCAUAUCUUUCCUAAUUUCAAAGACCAUGCACAACCAUUAACAAAAGAUAUUAGGGCAUACAAAAGCUUGGCACAACCAAAAGCAUACCAAUUUAACAUACAACCCUAUACAUGUCAUGUAUAACCAUUUCAAUAUAUAUUCAAAGGUUACCAUAAUGGAUCUGGAUAGUGUGACCAUGCUCUGACGUUGGUUCUAACCGUUCGAGCUUCUCGAUGAUCUAUAAAACAAAGAAAACACAUACGUAAGCAAUUAAUGCUUAGUAAGCUUGUAUUAGGAACUUAAAAUUACCGUAUAUAUUAAAUAAAAUAAUUAAAGAUAAUUACAUUUCAUUAUAGGCCAAACAUCCUUUCCUAUACACAAAAAUUCAUAAGGUUAGUUUGUGAAAUAAUGCACUUUUAUGAUCAACCAAGGCGUGACAUAAAACAUAUCAACAUUUUAAUUUCACCAUCCAGCACUGCUACAUAUAUCAUGUAACUUCAUUCUCUUUACAUUAUGCAUAUCAUUAUAAUGUAUUUCAUUAUCUAAAAUCAUGAUUCAUUUCAUAUUUUCAUAUACCCAUUUAAGCUUUAUUUACUCGUUCAUAUCAUGGAAACAAUUUCACUAUAUAAGUCAUUCAUUCACAUAAUUCAAAUGUUACCUUUUCAAUCCAAAUACUUACAUUACAUUUUUCAUUUUGUAUUUUCAAUAACAUAGUUCAUUUAUAUACAUACCUUUUCAUUUUAAUCUUAGUUGUUCAUUGAACCAAAUAGAAUAACAUCGGAUAUUGGAAAUAAUAAUUUUAGUACAAAUUACCUGAUACAAUACAUCGACACGAAGCCUGCUAGGCACAAAGCCUAGUAUAAUACACCUGCACGAAGCCUGAUAAAAUACACCAGCACGAAGCCUGCUAGGCACAAAGCCUGAUAUAAAACAUCGAUAUGAAGCCUGCUAGGCACAAAGCUUGAUAUAAAACAUUGGCAAGAAGCCUGCUAGGCACAAAGCCUAAUAUAAUACACCAGCAUGAAGCCUACUGGACUCAGGGCCCAAUACACUAUCUCCAAUACAACUCAAUUUGAUUAUUAAUUUUCAUCAACCAACAUUAAAUAAUUACAAACAUCACAAUUAUUAGAAUAAAAAAAUAUCAAGGAGUUUAAUUCACAUUACAUAUAAUAAGAACUUACUUGAACUCAUGUAACAGCCCGAUUUUGGGCCUAGUCGGAAUAGUGGUUUCGGGACCACAAAUCCGACGAGGGAAAAUAUGGUUAUUAUUAUAUUUUUAUGGUCUACAAUUUCACGGAAAAUUUUCGUAAAAAUUUCGUUCGAAAAUUUCGACGUUUGGGCACUCAAUUUAGUCAAAAGGACUAAAUUGUAAAUAGUGCAAAAGUUGAGUUCUAUAUGUAGAAGUAUCUAAUUGAUAUGAAAUUUUAAAUUGGAGGUCUUUAUGUGGUAAUUAGACCAUUAGUUAGUUGAUGGACAAAAAUAGACAUAAGAAAUGAGAGAAAUAGAUUUUUUUUAAGUGGGGGCAUAUUAGUCAUUUGGUAAUAAAAAAAAAUAAAAUGGGAAAAAGAUGACAAAAAUCAUCAUCUUCCUCAUUAGUUGCUGCCGAAAUUUGAAGGAAGCCAUAGCUAAGGUUUCUUUGCUUUCUCAAGCUCAUAGUAAGUGCAUCCUAGCCCCAUUUUUAAUGUUCUUCGCAUUUUUGGAAUCCUCGUAACUCGGUUUAGCUUAUUCUAGCAAUAAUUCGUGUUAGGGCUCAUAUUUGGAAAAAUACCCAUAGGUGAAAUGUGUUUAUUUUGCUGUUUUAUGGUGGAAUAUGAAGCUAUAAAUUAUGUUAAACAACUUUUGCUAAGCGAUUUUAAGCGAAAACGGGUAAAUAGGCAUAAUCGGUAAAAAUAAUUAUUGUUCAUAAGUGUAUGUUAGAGUGAGAAUUUGAUGUUGCCAUAGAAGGGAAAAAUGUUCAGCAUGUCAUAAAACCUAAGAAUAAGUGAUGAAGUUUAAUUUCCGAGCUUGGGGACAAAAGUGUAAUUAUGCAAAAGUUUGGGGGCAAAAUUGUAAUUUUCAAAAAGUUGGGUGGUGGAUUAUUUUAAUGAAUGUGAACAUUAAAUGAGUUAAAUUUGCUAUUAUAGAUCAAGAAAGACAUGAAGAUUAUCUCAAACGAGGAAAAGAAAAGAUAGUGGAGUGAAGUGCAAAAUUACGAUAUUUUGCACCGAGUGACUUCCGACAACUCGGAAAUUUGGAACGAAGUCAGACAAUCAUCCACACUAUCCUUCACACUUGGGGUAUUUUGCUACUAUCGUUCCGGAAAAUUAUGGCAUGUAAAGACGACCUAUGAAAUAUGGAAUCAUCAUGUAAAUAUAUGUUAUGGUUUGAUUUAAAAUGUGGUGUUCAUUAAUAGUUAAAUUGUGAGUAUUAUUAUAAAUGAGUUUGGUUGAUAUAUAUAUAUUGGAUUGUGAUUUAAAUUUGCAGGAGGUUUAAGCAAAAUUAAGCAGAAAUGCUGUCGAAAUUUUUUUUAAAAAACUUAGUAAUACCUCAUACUCUGUUCCGAGCCGGAAUACGAGUAAGGGGUGUUACAUUUUAGUGGUAUCAGAGCUACGGUUUAGUCGGUUCUCGGACCAAUAAAAUAUGUGUGAAAGUCAGUCUAUACAUGCCAUCAAUAUAUUGUGAUAGUGUGAUGAUUUCUGACAAUUUAAAAUUUUGUUUUAUAUAGUAAAUGGAUCCUAAUCGAAGUAUGGCAGAUGAUGUUGAAAGUAACACGCCGGUUCCCGCACAAGGGACCGCGCAUGAAGAGAGUAGACAUGAGACACAUGGACAGGAUGAGGCUCGAGAAGCCUUCCUCCGAAUGAUGAGUGAUUGGUAUACAGAAUAUGUCCGUGUAAAUCCGAAUGUUCCACCUCCUCCACCCCCUCCUAUUCCUCCGCCGGUCCCCGUAGCUCCACGAAGUGCUGAAUUGGUGAGAUCAAGUAAACCACCCGUUGAUAGAAUUCGAAAGCAUGGGGCUGAAGAUUUCAGGGCCAAUGUUGAUGAUGAUCCGGAAAAAGCCGAGUUUUGGCUUGAAAAUACUAUCCAGGUAUUUGAUGAAUUAUCUUGUACUCCUGAGGAAUGUUUGAAAUGUGCUGUGUCUUUAUUGAAGGAUUCGGCAUACCGUUGGUGGAAAACAUUAAUAACGGUGGUUCCAAAAGAAAGAGUUACUUGGGACUUCUUUCAGGAAGAAUUCAGAAAGAAAUAUGUAAGCCAACGGUUUAUUGAUCAGAAGCGCAAAGAGUUUCUCGGAUUGAAACAGGGCCGAAUGUCAGUAGCAGAAUAUGAACGGGAGUUUGUCCGGCUUAGUAAAUAUGCCCAGGAAUGUGUGCCUACGGAGGCUAUUAUGUGUAAAAGAUUUGAAGAGGGGCUAAAUGAAGACAUCAGAUUACAUGUUGGAAUUUUAGAGUUAAAAGAAUUUGUGGUACUAGUUGAUCGUGCUUGCAAAGCUGAAGAGCUGAGUAGAGAAAAGAGAAGGGCAGAGAUGGAAGCUCGAGAUGUAAGGAAGAGGUCAAUGGGCAGAACAUUUCAAUCUCACCCGAAGAAGUUUAAAGGGAUGGAUCCACGACCAACCGGUUCAGUUGGGUAUUCACGCAGAGACCGAGGGAGGUCAUAUUCCGGAACUACAACUCGAGCUACCUCAGUGGCAAGUGUGGGUAAUGUAGGAAACACCAGACCUGAAUGUCAACAGUGUGGCAGGCGACAUACUGGUGAGUGUUGGGGAUUUAAACGAGCUUGUUUCAGAUGUGGUUCCCAAGAGCAUUAUGUAAAAGACUGCCCUGAGAGAAUAGAAGAAGAAAGAUUACAAAGAGCUGGAUCGGGUGAUGUUGUCAGUAGAGGCAGACCACCGAGAAAUGUGGGAAGCAAAGCCAGUGGUAAGAGUGUGAUAAAAGAUACAGCUGGAGGAUCAGAAACUAGAGCGCCUGCCAGGACUUAUGCUAUACGCGCUCGAGAGGAUGCCUCAUCUCCCGAUGUGAUUACUGGUACAUUUUCUCUUCAUGAUAUUAAUGUUAUUGCUUUGAUUGAUCCCGGCUCUACUCAUUCAUAUAUAUGCAUGAAUUUGGUGUCUAGUAAGAAAUUGCCUGUUGAAAACACUGAAUUUGUAGUUAAAGUAUCAAAUCCUUUAGGCAAAUAUGUCUUAGUCGAUAAUGUUUGCAAGAAUUGUCCCCUGAUGAUUCAAGGUCACUGUUUCCCGGCUAAUUUGAUGUUGUUACCAUUUGAUGAGUUUGAUGUUAUUUUGGGGAUGGAUUGGUUGAUAUUGCAUGAUGCCAAGGUAAAUUGUAGACAGAAAAUUCUUGAAUUAAAUUGUGAAAACGGUGAAAUUCUCCGGGUUGAAACAAAGGAGCCGAAUAAGUUGCCUAUGGUGAUUUCGCACAUUUCUGCUCAGAAAUACUUGAGAAAGGGAUGUGAAGUUUAUCUUGCUUAUGUGCUGAACACGGAUAUUACCUGGUCAAAGCUUGAAUCAGUGCCGGUAGUUUGUGAAUUUCCAGAUGUAUUUCCAGAGGAAUUGCCUGGGUUACCUCCGAUUAGAGAAGUUGAGUUUUCUAUUGAUCUGUUACCUGGUACUGUACCGAUUUCUAUUGCACCGUAUCGAAUGGCUCCGACUGAGUUGAAGGAAUUAAAAGCUCAGUUACAAGAGUUGACAGAUAAAGGAUUUGUGAGACCGAGUUUUUCUCCUUGGGGUGCUCCUGUGUUAUUUGUGAAAAAAAGGACGGCUCUAUGAGACUUUGUAUUGACUAUCGUCAGCUCAACAAGGUGACUAUAAAGAACAAGUAUCCUUUGCCGAGAAUUGAUGAUUUAUUUGAUCAAUUAAAAGGGGCAACAGUGUUUUCUAAGAUUGAUUUGAGGUCUGGUUACUAUCAGUUAAGAGUUAAAGAGUCUGAUGUGCCGAAAACCGCCUUUAGAACAAGGUAUGGACACUAUGAAUUUCUGGUAAUGCCUUUUGGGUUAACAAAUGCUCCAGCUAUUUUUAUGGACUUGAUGAACCGAAUUUUUCGGCCGUACUUGGAUAAGUUCGUGGUGGUGUUCAUAGAUGAUAUUUUAAUCUAUUCUCGGGAUGAAUCUGAGCAUACAGAAUAUUUAAGAACUGUGUUGCAGAUUCUGAGAGAAAAGAAAUUGUAUGCUAAAUUCAACAAAAGUGAGUUUUGGCUUCGUGAGGUUGGAUUCUUGGGACAUAUAGUUUCAAGUGAAGGUAUUCGUGUUGAUCCAAGCAAAAUUUCAGCAAUUGUUGAUUGGGAGCCACCAAAGAAUGUGACAGAAGUUAGAAGCUUUCUGGGCUUAGCUGGGUAUUACAGACGCUUUGUCAAGGGAUUUUCGAUGAUUGCUUCUCCUAUGACUAAGUUACUGCAGAAGAAUGUCAAGUUUGAAUGGACCAAUAAAUGUCAACAGAGUUUUGAAAAGUUGAAGGCAUUAUUGACUGAGGCGCCAGUGUUGGUGCAACCUGAGUCCGGGAAGGAGUUUGUAAUUUACAGUGAUGCAUCGUUGAAUGGCCUUGGGUGUGUGUUAAUGCAAGAGGGCAAAGUAAUAGCUUAUGCUUCGAGACAAUUGAAACCGCAUGAGAAAAAUUAUCCGACGCAUGAUUUAGAAUUGGCUGCCAUUGUUUUUGCUUUAAAAAUUUGGCGUCAUUAUUUGUAUGGUGAAAAGUGCCGAAUCUUCACUGAUCAUAAGAGUUUGAAGUAUUUGAUGAGCCAAAAAGAUUUGAAUUUGCGGCAACGAAGAUGGCUCGAGCUAAUCAAAGACUAUGAGCUAGUGAUUGAUUAUCACCCCGGGAAAGCUAAUGUGGUUGCUGAUGCCUUGAGCAGAAAAUCUUUAUUUGCUUUGAGAGCUAUGGGUACGAUGUUAACUUUAUCUGAUGAUGGCUCAAUGUUGGUUGAAUUGAGAGCUAGACCAUUAUUUCUUCAGCAAAUUCGGGAAUCUCAAAAGAAUGACAGUAAAUUGCAAGCCAAGAGAGCUCAGUGUGAAGCAGGUGUUGACUCAGAUUUUCAAAUUGGUUCAGAUGAUUGCUUGAUGUUCCGGGAUAGAGUAUGUGUACCAAGAAAUGAUGAGUUAAUUCAGACCAUUUUAUGUGAGGCACAUAGUGGUGACUUGUCAGUUCAUCCGGGUAGUGUGAAAAUGUAUAAUGAUUUGAAGAAGUUGUAUUGGUGGCCAGGCAUGAAAAAGGAUAUCUCGGAAUUUGUAUCAAAGUGUUUAAUCUGUCAACAAGUGAAGGCUGAGCAUCAAGUACCAUCGGGUUUACUUCAACCGAUAACGAUUCCAGAGUGGAAGUGGGAUAGUAUUACGAUGGAUUUUGUGACAGGAUUGCCUUUAACUCCAAAGAAGAAAGAUGCUAUUUGGGUAAUUGUUGAUAGAUUGACAAAGUCGGCUCAUUUUAUUCCGAUACGCAUUGAUUACUCACUUGACAGGUUGGCAGAAUUAUAUGUUGCUGAAAUAGUGAGAUUACAUGGGGUGCCUAAAUCUAUUAUAUCGGAUAGAGAUCCGAGAUUUACUUCGAGGUUUUGGAUAAAGUUGCAGGAAGCCUUGGGUACAAAAUUGAAUUUCAGUACUGCGUUUCAUCCGCAAACUGACGGGCAAUCGGAAAGAGUGAUUCAAAUUCUUGAAGAUAUGCUCCGGUGUUGUAUUUUAGAAUUGAAAGGCAGUUGGGAGAAAUAUCUACCAUUGGUUGAAUUUGCUUAUAACAAUAGCUAUCAGUCAAGUAUACGAAUGGCACCGUAUGAAGCAUUAUAUGGGCGUAAGUGUAGAACUCCUUUAUAUUGGACUGAGCUCGGUGAGAACCGGAUUCAUGGAGUCGACUUGGUGAAAGAAACUGAAGAAAAGGUGAAAAUAAUUCGUGACUGUUUAAAGGCUGCCUCAGAUCGGCAAAAGUCGUAUGCGGAUUUAAAGAGAAAAGAAAUUGAGUUUCAAGUAGGUGAUAAGGUGUUCUUGAAGGUGUCUCCAUGGAAGAAGAUUCUGAGAUUUGGUCGUAAAGGCAAACUAAGUCCACGAUUUAUUGGACCAUAUGAAGUUACCGAGAGAGUUGGCCCUGUAGCAUAUCGGUUAGCUUUACCACCGGAGUUGGAAAAGAUACAUAAUGUGUUUCAUGUGUCGAUGUUGCGACGUUACCGUUCGGAUCCUUCACAUAUAGUUUCCCCUACAGAGAUUGAGGUCAGACCAGAUAUGACUUAUGAGGAAGAACCAAUAAAGAUUUUGGCUCGGGAAGUCAAGCAGUUAAGGAAUAAAAGUGUAUCCUUAGUAAAAGUACUGUGGCAAAAACAUGGGAUGGAGGAAGCUACGUGGGAACCGGAGGAAAUUAUGAGGAAACAGUACCCAAAUCUCUUUUCCGGUAAGAUUUUCGGGGACGAAAAUCCUUAAGGGGGGAGAGUUGUAACAGCCCGAUUUUGGGCCUAGUCGGAAUAGUGGUUUCGGGACCACAAAUCCGACGAGGGAAAAUAUGAUUAUUAUUAUAUUUUUAUGGUCUACAAUUUCACGGAAAAUUUUCGUAAAAAUUUCGUUCGAAAAUUUCGACGUUUGGGCACUCAAUUUAGUCAAAAGGACUAAAUUGUAAAUAGUGCAAAAGUUGAGUUCUAUAUGUAGAAGUAUCUAAUUGAUAUGAAAUUUUAAAUUGGAGGUCUUUAUGUGGUAAUUAGACCAUUAGUUAGUUGAUGGACAAAAAUAGACAUAAGAAAUGAGAGAAAUAGAUUUUUUUUAAGUGGGGGCAUAUUAGUCAUUUGGUAAUAAAAAAAAAUAAAAUGGGAAAAAGAUGACAAAAAUCAUCAUCUUCCUCAUUAGUUGCUGCCGAAAUUUGAAGGAAGCCAUAGCUAAGGUUUCUUUGCUUUCUCAAGCUCAUAGUAAGUGCAUCCUAGCCCCGUUUUUAAUGUUCUUCGCAUUUUUGGAAUCCUCGUAACUCGGUUUAGCUUAUUCUAGCAAUAAUUCGUGUUAGGGCUCAUAUUUGGAAAAAUACCCAUAGGUGAAAUGUGUUUAUUUUGCUGUUUUAUGGUGGAAUAUGAAGCUAUAAAUUAUGUUAAACAACUUUUGCUAAGCGAUUUUAAGCGAAAACGGGUAAAUAGGCAUAAUCGGUAAAAAUAAUUAUUGUUCAUAAGUGUAUGUUAGAGUGAGAAUUUGAUGUUGCCAUAGAAGGGAAAAAUGUUCAGCAUGUCAUAAAACCUAAGAAUAAGUGAUGAAGUUUAAUUUCCGAGCUUGGGGACAAAAGUAUAAUUAUGCAAAAGUUUGGGGGCAAAAUUGUAAUUUUCAAAAAGUUGGGUGGUGGAUUAUUUUAAUGAAUGUGAACAUUAAAUGAGUUAAAUUUGCUAUUAUAGAUCAAGAAAGACAUGAGGAUUAUCUCAAACGAGGAAAAGAAAAGAUAGUGGAGUGAAGUGCAAAAUUACGAUAUUUUGCACCGAGUGACUUCCGACAACUCGGAAAUUUGGAACGAAGUCAGACAAUCAUCCACACUAUCCUUCACACUUGGGGUAUUUUGCUACUAUCGUUCCGGAAAAUUAUGGCAUGUAAAGACGACCUAUGAAAUAUGGAAUCAUCAUGUAAAUAUAUGUUAUGGUUUGAUUUAAAAUGUGGUGUUCAUUAAUAGUUAAAUUGUGAGUAUUAUUAUAAAUGAGUUUGGUUGAUAUAUAUAUAUUGGAUUGUGAUUUAAAUUUGCAGGAGGUUUAAGCAAAAUUAAGCAGAAAUGCUGUCGAAAUUUUUUUUAAAAAACUUAGUAAUACCUCAUACUCUGUUCCGAGCCGGAAUACGAGUAAGGGGUGUUACAACUCAUAAACGACUUCUAACACGAAUCGACCACUAUUCCGCUACUUUGACUUUUCUGCGAUUUGUGUCCAUUCAAGUUGUUUCUUGAUCUAAAUAAAUAUUUUUAUUCAAUUAAUCUCAUUCCAAAAUUUCAAAUAAUUAAUUUAAACCUAUAACCCUUAUUCAUGUUAAUUUAUUAAAAUUACCCCCAAUGGUUUUUUUUAUACAAUUUAGUCCCUAAACCCGAAACUUACAAAUCUAACACUUUUAGCUAAAAUUCAUGCUAGCAAAAUUUUACCUAAUCUUAUGACAUCCCAUAUUUAUCAUCAAUUUAUAGUAUUUUUCUUGAAUUUUACCGUUUUCAUAAAUAAGUCCUUAAACCUUAAAAUCAUCAAAAAAUACUUAACAAAAUAUGUCUAUGUAACAACCAAGCUUAACAAUCUAUCAUAAAAAUUAAAAAAUAUAUCAAUUUCAUCCAUGGCAUAAUCUAUAACAUUUAACAAUUUUACAAAUUGACCCCCGAGUUAGCUAGAUUAAGCUAAUACGAGCUCGAAACCAUAAAAAUUACUAAAAAAGGGAUAAAAUUACACACCAUGCAUGAAGAAUUGAGCAUGGUCGAAUGCUUUGGUUUCUUUUUCAUGGAGAAUUAGGCUACUCAUUCCUUUUGGGGAAGAUGACAUUGUUUUCAUCAUUGUUUAAACUUAAUUUAUUAUUUAAUUACCAUUUUACCCUUAUAAUAUUAACUUAUAAAAUGACUAAAGCAUGCCCAUAUUUUUCCACUAUCCAUAUACAUGAUAUAAUUACCCACUAAGUCCUUUAAUGUAAGAUUUCAUAGCAAUUUGACCCCUUUAGCAUAUAAAAUUCAACUUUUGCAUGUUUUACAGUGUAGCCCUUUUCACUUAAUUAACUAUUUAAACGUUAAAACUUCUUAGCCAAAUUUUAAUAUAACCCUAAUAACACUCUGUAAAUAUUUAUGGUCUCAUUUUAUAGAAAUGAUGUCCCAAAACCUUAUUUUCCAAAACCACUUAAUUUUAACGAUUUACCACUUGAACUUAAUUAUUUGUUCAAAUAACAUAAAUUAUCAAAUCAAAAUUUAUUAAUAUACUAUAUUUGACUCGUAAAUAUUAAAUAAUAAUAUUUAAGAAUUCUGUUGUAGUUUUUGGGGCCCCGAAACUACUGUUUCUGAAACCACUAAGUAACGAUAUGUUACAAGUAAGCUCGUCUUUCAACAAUGAUACUAUACCUUGAACUCCUACUCGAUGGUACAAUCCAUGCCAUCUAGAAUUCUUUUCGUAGCCUCCAUCCAAUAUUCAGGUAUGGUAGGGGUAGCCCAAACAACACCCUUAAACAGCUUAGCUCUAUUGGGUCAAAGCCUCUCAACUAUGGUCCCUCGACUAUCGGUUCUAGUUUGGGCUCUAGCUACCCACUAUAACACUUUAAACAUGGCCUGUGAUACAACACCAUCAGCAGGCUCCUGAUGACUACCCUCAACGGCAGGUGUAUUCUCAAUGUGCUCGGCCACAGGCUCAAGAGUACGCACUUGAGAUGCAAAAGAUUCAAUUUGGGCAUUGUGGCCUUGUGCUCCUCGGGCUCGCAUGCCACGAUUUCGUACACCUCAAGUGUUCAUUUCGUUAUCAAGAGUCUAAGUUUUAUGAAAUUAUCUACAGUUCAAAAAUAAGUUCUUAUUAUUAACCUGAAGUGUUUUCAAUCUAAUAGUUUAACUAAAGUUCACAAUCUAUAGUUUUUCUAUAGUUUUAGUAAUAAAAGUACUUAUCUAGGAUUGACUUCAGAGUCUCAUAUUUUUGUUUUGAAAAACAUACUUCAUAAAAUUUAUCUAUGGCAUGGUUCCUACAAUACCCUUUUAAAAUAUGCAUACAAAUUUUGAGUUUUGAAUCGGGCUCUGAUACUACUAAAUGUAACCUCCCAAACUCGGCCUCAACAUUAUGGUUGAAUCCUGAAAAUUACAUUGUUCAUUGGAAUGGCAUGGAAAAACGUUCAUAUUUUAAAUUACUCUUUAAAACCAAUUGUCUUUUUAUUUAAGACUAGUGAUCUUGAUUAUUUCUCUUGUUUCAAGAAAAUCAUAUUAAUUUUAAAAUCAUCAAACAUCUUUAAAGUUUCAAUUGUAAAGAUUAAUUAUUUAGGAAAAACUAAGUUAUAUUUUGUUAAAAAAAAACCUUUAAGUAUUGUAGUGGAAAAUUGUAUAAAAAUCAUAUUUUUGUUAAAAAUCAAAUUUUCAUGCAUAUUUAAUAAAACAUCAGAGACUUAAAACUUCAAAUCAUGCAAAAAUGAAGUAAAAAUCCUCAAAUGUAAAGCCCCAUGCCACAGUCCAUAAGAAAAUUAUUACAAUCCCAAAAAUAAUCAUAUAAUAAAGUUUAAAGUAUUUAAAAUAAAAACCAUUCAAGAACUCUUCCGACAGCCUCAUCCAAGUCCUAACCUCGUGGAUCAUCUAAAAUCAUAUUAGAAACUAAGGGGUGAGGUAAUAAGCUCAGUGUGAGUCUUAUUUCAAAUAUAUAGUAAUAAUAAAUAUGACAGUCAAGCCAAAAAAUAUACAGAGUACUAUAAACAGUGCAAAUUUCACAAUGUGUACCAUGAAUAAUCAUGUCAAUGCAGAAUUUUCAGAAUUUUCCUACCCAGCUCAGCUACACACCAAUAUAAGAUUUCCCCAAAACUCAUCCAACCAACCAAAUUAUGGACAAGCCAUUAGAAUUACAGAUAAACUACCAGAUUUGCAGAUAAGCUACUAGAAAUAUGGUUAUGCCACCAGAAUUGUAGGUAAACUACCAAAAUUAUGUGGUUGAACCACCAUAAUUGCAAAUAAACUAUCAGAUCUUCCUCCUUACAUAUUUGUAACAUCCUUAACCCGUAUCCAUCACUAGAAUAGGGUUAUAGAGUAUUACCGUAAAAUCGUAACAUAAAAACAUACAUUUCCAAAUGUUAAUAUAAACAUAACAUAAUCCCUACAUAUACAUGCAUAUCAUCCCUUAAUCGAGCCAUCGAGGCCUUAAAAAUACUUUAGAAAUGAUUUGUAACUAAAUCGAGAUUGAGAAAAUAGUUAGAAAAAUUGAACUGUAGGGGUCACACGGUCGUGUGACUACAUAGGUUAGACACACACUCGUGUCUCAAGCCCUGUAACAAUCGAAAUAGGGACACACGGUCGUGUCCCUGCCCGUGUCCAUGCCCGUGUAACUCUUUGAGUUGGGUCACAUGGCCAAGCCACACGUCUGUGUGCUAGGUCAUGUAACACUUGAAAUAGCCUCACAGGCCUGUGUGCCAGGCCGUGUGCUAGGCCGUGUAAUUGCCUGACUUGUAACCUUUAAAACCUACAGGGGGCACACAGCUGUGUCGCAUGGUUUUGUGUCACACAUGGUUGAGACACACGCCCGUGUCUUAGGCCGUAUGAACAAGAAAUUAGCCAAAAUCAAGCCAUUUCUUUCACCCAUUCCAACAAGUACCUACAAGCCAUAUACACAUAUGAUCAAGGCACCAAAAAUCCUACCAAAACAUGCUUAAUUUAACCAAUUCAAAUUAUCUAAAAUCCAUUUAACCAAUAUGGCUUACAAGGCACGCCAAUCAAAAUCAAACAAACUUACCAAAACAUAUGCAUAAUUAACCUUACUUCCAACAUACAUUUCUAGUUCCAUAUCAUCUUAAAACAUACGAUAAUUAAGACCAUUUCUAGCAUAGCAACUUAAUUCACCAACAAGCCAAAACAAACCACAAGUGUAUACUUUUAUAUCUUUCUAAUUGUACCAAAAAGAUACCUAUUUACAAUCUUAGUAAAAUACUUAACAACUUAGUUUAGUAUUUUGUCAAAAAUGUACCAUAACAACCUCUAUAGCCAUAUAUACAUGCCACAACCCUAAGGAGCACAAGAACUACCAACAUCGGUGGAUAGUGUGAGCCGAAGAUUCGAUCUAUACAAAAGUCAACAAUAACAAUUUACAAAAAAAUACACGAAAACGUAUAAGCUUAUAGAGCUUAAUAAGAACAUAGUAAAUCUUUUAACUUUAACAAAAAUUGAAUGCAACUCAUAUUUUACUUGAUUUGAAGUUAUCAAAAUGUAAGCAAGGGCACGUAUGUGAAAUUUAAGGGUAUCAAAGUACAAACAGGGGGCACGCAUGUGCAAUUUAUGGGCACCGAUGUAACACCCCAAACCCAGCCUGGACAUGGUAGUGUGUUUGAAAACCGAAGCUCGUGUUGAAAACAAACUAUAACUUUGCUUAAAAAAUUUUCCAUUUAGAGCUCGUUGUUAUCUUUUGUUAAUCCUAAAAAAGUGUUUUUUAUUCAAUCGUUAGUUUGCAAAUCAUUAUACGUUGCGGAAGCUUUUUAAAAUAGUUUGUGUCAUUGUGGGUAUUUUGCUAAAACACAUGCAUUUCUUUUUAAAAACCCGUGUUUUAUCUACCUCUAGCAGAUGUAAAACAUAAAGCUGUGUUAAAUCCAAAUUUAAAACAAAAAUCUAUAGCAGCCAUUAUUACAGAUAAAAAAACCCCAAAUAAAUCUUUAAAAAUAAAUAUAAUUAGGUACGAAAUAGUAAAAAGGAGUCGUGUGGCCACCGCUGAGUCCUCCACCGCACCGAUCUACUUAUGACUGGGGAUUACCUGUACAGAUUAACAGAAGGGGGUGAGUUUUCAAAACUCAAUGUGUAACCCCUCUAUAAACAAGCAGACAGAAAGCAAUCAUAAUAUAGGCCUAAGCCCAUUUCAACAACAGUUUCAGUUUCAGUUAGGGCCUUAGCCCAUUACAAUACAGUAGCAGUCAUGUGUUUGGGCCUCGGCCCAUUACAAUAUCCAUAUUCAAUACAGUAAUAGAUAUGCAAUAUCAAAUCCUACCCAAUCAGCCUCUAUAUUCCAACUUCGUCCAACCCUACACUCCAUGUGGGGAUAUAAUCAACUCACCCAUCCCUACACUCCAAAAAGUAUCGAAUGUGGCACUAGACAGUGGUUUGCAGCUGAACUGCCAGUAAAUUAAGCUUGAGGCCUUUCAGUGCACUUCCUUCGAACAAUAUAAACUCCCACCCCAAUGCAAUGCAAUAUAUAUGACAUGCUAAAACAUAAUAUCAUGCAUAAAGUCGUGGCAUACAGUACCAAACCAGUGGGACAUCAUCAUGCUUAUUAACAUGCAUAAUCGUAUCUGUCAUACAGUCAUUUCAAUCAAUUAGGGGUCUAGGUAAGCUUACUAACCCUACGGUAGGUCCACAGUUGACUCGGGCGACCCAUGCAACCUUAGCCAUCAAACAGUGAAAAUAGGCCCACAAGCCCAUGACAUUUGCCCGUGUGGGCCCACACACCCAUGUGGCCCACACAACCCAAAAAAGGCCUUGGCCGUGUGGAUCACACAGCCUAGCCCAAUAAUCUCACACGCCCAUGUGGUUCACCCGUGUGGGCCUACACGCUUGUGUGGCCCACACAGCCCAAUUCGGUCCAACUCGUGUAUCGCACACGACCAACCUCGUCGAUCACAUGCCUGUGUUUAGUCACACGGCCUAUCGCAUGGGCGACCACACGCCCGUGUGGUGUCGACAGUCCCACUUUUUGGCUUUUCGCCAAUUACUGAUUUUCAAUGUUGUGUUUACACACCUUUUUUCAUUUGAAGUUAACCCGCACUCCGAGUACUCCAAAACCUAGAUUCAAUCAAAACAUCAUUCAAUCAACUACUUAACUCGUUAUUCAAUCAAGGCCUAACGAAGUUAAAAAUCGAUCAACAAUCGAAACCCCCUUACCGAAGUCAACCAGAAUUGCACCCUCAAUUCCUUAAAGAUACACCAACCAACCCUUGGUCUCCACCUAAAACGAGAGUCACAAACCUUCUCGUUAAGCCUUUAAUCGAAUUACACUACAAAAUUCAAUUACAUUAUACUUACCGAUCAUACACAACCCUUCAUUCAGUAUCUUAUAAAACGAGACAAUAAAACACCUAAAUCACUUACCCAACUGACGAAAGAACAUAGUGCAAUUUGGCAACGCAAGAGAGAACGAAUCGAAAAGGGGAAUCCAAGACUGAAAAGAGGAAAAAUAGAGGGGGUGACAGUAAGAGGAGGAAAAGGAAAACGAUGAGAAGGGGAGUGCAAAGCCGAAAGGGGACAGAAGGCAAAGCAGAACUCACCUAGCAAUAUUCGGCCAAGAAGAGGAGCAAGAUGACGCACGGUCGGCUUGAGGGGAAGGGAAACUAGGUCAAAAAUUUGGGAACAGAAAAGGGGAACCGAAUUUUUUUAAAAAAAAGGGCAGCAAGUGGGGAUAUUUCGGCUAAAAACAAAAAAUAGGUAGAAAAGAUGGAGAGUAGAAAAUCGACAGAACACAAAAAGAAAGGAGGAAGAAAACUGUUCAGCCAAAAAUUUUAUUCUGGCCGAAAUUCCUCAAGAUAAUGCCCAUAUCCCCCAAAACAAAAUCCCUAAAAUCUCCCCCCCCCAAACCGUCCGCCACUUCCCUACUACACCUCAAAUUCUCAGCAUUUGACUACAAUCCAAACUCCUUCACGACACAAAUAACAAAAAUAAUACUCAUGCCCAGACUUGAACACAAGACCUUUAGCACACUAACUCACCACUUAACCCCCAAACCAGCAGACCCAUUCUGUCAUAUUUUACCAACAUUUAUUUAUAAGCCAACUAGUUAGAGAUAAAGGUUUAUUCAUUUAAAAACCAAAAAUUUGCCCAAGCUAAAGCUUGAACUUAAGACCUCACACACACACCCAGAACACUUAACCACUGAAGUAGACAGAUAUUUGUAUCACAAACAUACAAAAAUAAAUAUACAAGGGAUUGUUGGGGUGUUACAACCAAAGUACAAAUAAGGGAACGUAUGUGUAAUUCAGGGGUACCAAAGUACAAACAGGGGCACGUAUGUGUAAUUUUGGGGUACCGAAGUACAAAUAGGGGAACAUAUGUGCAAUUCAGGGGUACCGAAGUACAAAGGGGCAUGUAUGUGAAAUUCAGGAAAUAAUUAAGUAUAAGCAAUUAAUUACAUAACUAUAUUGAAAACAUACAAGUAGAAAUUCAAGUACGUAUACAAAUACUAUGGCCUUCCAUUGACAACUAGAGCGUAAAAGUACGGUCAAGCUAAUUCGUGAUUUUUAUCUUUCCUCGGUUUAGAUCCUGUUGAGAUUUAUCUUGAUCUAAAUAAAUAAUUAUAUUCAAUUAAGUGUUUCAAUCAAUCUCAAACAUUCAAUUCAAUCCAUAAUCCAUAUUCAUAAAUAAUUACAAUUUUGCCCCUAACAUUUUAACUUUUUUACAAUUUAGUCCUUAAACUCAUAAAUUGAAAUCUAAGUAUUCUCAUCCCUAACUCAUGCUAAAAGAAUUUAUUAUGAACCCAUAUCAACUCAUACAAAUCAUCAUUUCACAAUUUAACCAUGAUAUUUUACUACUUUUACAAAUAAGUCUCUAAAUGAUUUUUUUUUAUCAAAAAUCACUUUACCAAACUUGUUUAUUUAUCUACAAGGACUCAUAAUAUUUUUUUAAACUUUAAGAAUCAUACAAAAAAUUCAUGGAAAACCCUAAAUCUUUAACAAUUUUGUAAAUUAGUCCUCGGGCUAACUAGAUUAAGCUACAACGAUCCCAAAAACAUAAAAACCAUUAAAAACGGGGCUUGAACACUCACCACGCACACAACCCUAGCUCAACCGAAAGUUCCCUCUUCUCCAAUUGCCAAAAUCAGUUUUGGUUCAUCAAAUAAAGAAGAUGGACAUUUUGUUUUAAUUAAUUUAACCUUUAUUUACUAAUUUACCUUUUUACCCUUUAAAAACUUUAAUAAUUUCAAUAAAACCAUGUUAUGGAUGUCCAACAUUUAAACCCACUCACAUUUAAAUUUCGUAGCAAUUAAACUCCUUUAACUUAUAGAACUCUAUUUUUGUACCUUUUACGAUUUAGUCCUUUUUACUAAAUUAAGCAUGCAAAUGUCCAAAUUUCUUAACGAAUUUUUUAUACAACACUACUAACAUACUGUAGACAUUAAAAUAAUAAUAAGAUAAAAAUUCUCUCAUCAAAUUUGUGGUUCUAAAACCACUAUUUUUAUUUUACUAAAAACGGGUUGUUACAAUAUUCAUCCCAACCCAAUGCAAAAUGACAUGUUAUAAUUAAAAAAUAGCAGAAACAAGGCAUGAUCAGAGCAUGAAAACAGUGGCAAAAAUAGUAGGCAUGAUUUAAACAUGCGAUCAGAGUAAGAACAAUGGCAUAAAUUCCACGCAAUCGGUAAAAUAGUAUAGCAAGCGUAUUUGAUGACACUUUUAGAAUUAUCAGUAUUAGAAUUCACAUUUUUAAUAUGACUAAAUUUUAGUUAUAGUGUGCAAGGUUUAUCAUGACAUCAAUCUCAAUAAUAUAUUUGCAACAUGGUUCAAACACAUAUUAUACGAAUAUCAUCAAAUCAUAAUACAACACCCAUACAUAUUUAUGACAUCAUGGAUUUAACAGGUUAGAGUCAUUUACUUAAAAACAAUCCUAUUGAAGGAUUUUAUCAAUCACCAUGAAUACUUAGCGUAUUCAAAUAACCACGUUUUGAAGUAGAUAAUAAAUAUUAAUCAUAAUUAAACAAUGAUUAAGAAAUAAUCAUAUAUAUUUUUAUUUUAUUAAAUCCACGCCUAAAAAUAAGCCUUGUCACUAAAUCUACACCUCAAACUCCAACGAUAACGAAUCUAAACAGAUCUCGUUUGAUCUGAUCAAGUAAUAAUAGUAUGAUACCAAUAGGACAUUCGUUAGUUUUAGCCAUAAACCAAAAUAUAAUUCUCUUAUGAAUUCAAAUAAGAAACUCACCCCAAUAUCUUUUUGAAAAGAGAUCCAAACGUUUUUCAGAUCCAAACGUUUUUCUUACGCUAAAGUAAAUCUAAAUGAUCUGGAUUAGACUUGUGAAGAAACGUGUAACACAAAUAUUAGACCAUAUAUUCAGAUCACAUAAGAAAAGAAAGGAUUUAGAUUAGAUUUACUAAUCGUUAAGCUAAACUGAUCAAAUUGAGAAGAUUAACGAUUCACUAGAAUUUUUGGUUUGAUAGAGGAGUAGUGGCUAAGGAAAAACAAAAAAAUGAAUAAAGUGAGUAUGCAUAUUAUUUAAUAAUUUAAGAAAAAGAAGAAGAAGAGAUGCUAAAAUUCAGUUAUGACCAAAUAGAUGAAAAGAGAAUAAAUAAGAAGAAAAUUGGUGGGCGUCGGUGGCGCGUUAGCAAAGACAGUGGAAUAGGUCCGACGGUGGCAAGAAGAGAGUGGGAGAAGAGGGAUGAUGGUGCAGUGGUGGUGUUUAGGUUGUGUGAUGUUGGCUAAAGGUGGUGAGUGGUGGCAAAAUCAAAUGUAAGUGGCGACUCAAUGUUGUGCAAGAGAAGGAGGAUGAGAGAAAAAGAAAGGGUAGAAAGGAAACAAAGAAAUGAAACAAAAUUAUUUUGUUUCUCUAGUUGCAAAGGACGAAUAAAGGGUUUGAAGGGGAGAAAAAUAGGAAGAAGGUGAAAAGAGGGGAAGAAAAAGAAAGAAGAAGGAACAUGUGGAGUGCAAAAGGAGAAAGAAGAGAAAUAAGAGUAAAAUAUGGGAGGAAAGAAUCCCGCUUGCAAAGAAACUAGAACGAAGGACAAUAGGGAGGUUUGAACAAAAAUUUAAAUGCAAAUUUUUUUUUAAAAAAAUAAGAAGAAGGAGAGGGAAAUUGAACUUAGAUCACCUGAAAAAUUUAGCUUGCUCUUAACCACUAGGCUAGAACUCUCACUUGUUUAAGAAUUAACGAUAACUUAAUUUAGAUGAGGUGUGACAUAACCUUUUUUAAUAUUUAUAUUAUAGAAAUAUUAUAUUACUAUAGAUUUAAUUUUUUUGUGCUACAAAUUACAUAAUAUAUAAAAAAAUAACAUAACAUAAAAUAUUACGAACUUAAAAGCGAGUCAGACUGGGCUGAUUCGAGCCUUGAAUGUUCAAGCCCAAGCCCGACCAAUAUUUUAAACAGGCCUAAUUUUUUUGUCAAAACCCAUUUUUCGGGCUUACUAUUUUUGUUCAAAUCCUCUCAAAUUUUAAGCCAGCCUUCAGGCUUGGGCAGAUAGCCUGUCCCAUUAACAAAUCUAGAGCUUUGAAAUUUAAGCAUACUUAGGGCUCGUGCAUUUACGUGUGGUUAGUAUCAAAACAGUACUGACGAUGAGAUUAGAUUCUAUAAUGAUGCUAUAACGUGAGACAAGACAGAAAAAACUAAACGUAUCGCACGAGAACUAAACGUCCAUCCAAAGGGAAAACUGAGUGUGGGUUUGGAUGGACGGUGCGGUGCGUUUAGCUUACUAUUUUUCUCACGCUAUAAUAUCUAAUUUCACCACCAAUGCUAUUUUUACACUAAGCGCAAAGUAAAUGCACCGUCCAUCCUAAUUAUCCCCUAAUUAAAAUUCCCUCCUGAUUUUCACCUAAAAACAAUUUUUGAAAUUGCGAUUCUCUUCCCUUUGGCAUCCCAAAAUCUAAACUCUAACCUUUUCCAACAUCCUCCAUCAGUACUUCCUUGAUGCUCUCCAGUUUUCGCUUCUCAAAUCCUUCAAAACCCACCAAGAAACCUAGCACCUCCAUGCAUUUUCCCUCAAAAUUGGCAUUUUCUCUCACCCCUACCCUCUUCUUGUCUCCUUUCUCUCUAUGCCGACCACAACAUUAGCAACCUCCACUAUGCUUGCUCCGCUUUCGAUCGAAUCCAAUACCCCUUGUUGAUUCUCUAGAAUAUCAUCCUCAAAUGCUACAUACAAAGGGUUAACAAGGGUUAUAAUGUAGGGGUGUAAGGUAGGCUGAAACAAAAGUAAAGAUCAGUUUAAAUGUGGCAUUUUAAGGAUGGGUAAAUAGGAAUAGUAUGAAACUCACUUGAUCGAGACUUACAAAGAAAGAGUAACAAGUAUUUCAACACUUCACUUUUUUUUAUACUCGAUUUUUUUUUUACUUCAUAUACUUUUUUUAAUUCAAAUACAAUUGAACAAUACAAAAGAACUUUGAAUACAACUUAUUUUUUUUAAUUCGAAAUUUUUUUUACAAACCUAUUUCGAGAUGAAUACGAACGUCGGUGCUCCUCAUUUUAAUAGCUCUGAUACCAAAUGAUAUGAACUGACUCAAUAAUGUUGAUUUGAAUCACUUUAAUUGCCUGACCAUCUACGAGAAGAGUCGUUUGUUUUGUAAAAUGAUGGAUUUUGGUUAACUUAUAAACGAAAGUUGGCAAAGGGGUUCAAAUGAUAGGCUAGGUUUGAUAUUUGAUAGGCUCGGUUUAACAAAGAAAUAAAGUAAAUAGUUGAUAGAUAUGAUGGAAUGGAUAAGUGAACUCAAGCUUCAAGAUCGAUUUAAUACUAUAAUGAGUAUUGCCCCGGAACUUAUAUCGCUUAAGGUGGGUUAAUGAAAGAUAGAAGAUGGACCUUGAACCGUUACCUAAAGAGGUAGGAACCAAAGGUAUAAUUUGAUGCAUGAGCACCACACCAAGGUUGGUGAUAAGUUCAAAGAGUUCGGGUUGACGCCACUAGCAAGCUAGAUAAGUCCAUUCGAGACUCAAACGAAAUAGAGAGGAAGAAACCUCACAGGAACAAAUGUUAAUUCAAUAAUUUGGCAAAAAGUUCCUUCAAAUGUUUACAAGAAAGCUAUUUAUAGACACAAAGAUAACUACUCAAAUUCAGAAUCUAUGUGUUCACACAAUAAUAAAAAUGUUCACACUAAAGCAUUAAAAUUCGAUUCAUGCUUGAAGAGGGUGCAUGAAUUGGCCGAACCAUCAUGUUGCUUCACUUGAUGCAUUCAUGCAUACUUAGCCUUGAAGAAUAGAAAUAAUUCGAUGAAUAUGCAGCCCUUUAAUGCUUCUACAUCUCCCAUGGCUGAGUGAAGCUUUAAUGUGCCUUGAAUACUUGAUGAUCAUCUUAAAUAUGCAUGAAACAUGCAUGAAAACUUCCCAAUGCAUGUUCCUCCAUAAAUAUGGUCCAUGAAUCUUCAAAUGGAUGAACAUUCAGCAGCUCCCUUGUAACACCCCCGAACCCGAGACCGUCGCCGGAGUCGAACAUGAGGUGUUAACAGACUUCAAACCACUUAUUAAAAUUUUUCCAGACAAGCUGCCAAUCUGCGUACUAGUCACUUUAAAAAUCAUAUCUUGAGCUCUGGAACUCGAAAUCCAGUUCCGUGAAUUUUCCCUGAAACUAGACUCAUAUGCCCUUCUACAUAUUAUUUUUCUAGAAUUUUUGGUCGGGCAAAUUAGUACAGUUUAUUAGUAAAAGUCUCCCAUGUUACUGGGGUCGACUACACUGACCUUUGCGCAUUACGACCUGGAUAUCUCCCUGUACAGAGCUUCAAUACUGAUGCCGUUUGUUUCUAUAGAAACUAGACUCAGAGAGGAAUCCAUAUAUAUAUGGAUUGACUCCUAAUUGUCUCUGGUUAAUUUGUAAUGAAUUUCCAAAAUCGGAACAGGAAAUCCAGAAACCGUUCUGGCCCUGUCUCACGAGAACCUGAAUAUCUCUUAAUAUACUGUUCAUAUGAUUGUUUCGUUACUUUCAUAUGAAAAUAGAUUCAUCAAGGUUCGAUUACAUAAUUUAUUCACUAUUUAAUUCCAUUCCUACAAAUUUUUGUGAUUUUUCAAAUCCACACCACUGCUGCUAUCAGCAUCUGUUUUCAAGGUAAACUUUACCUAUUUCGUGGUUACCACGGACCAACUAGGGUUUUGUCAUACAUAGGUCCGCAUAUGAUCAUAUUUAGCCAUUCCAAUGGCUGAUCAUUUGCUCAACACUUCCAUUCCAAACCAUAGUCACAUCAUGAAACCAUAUAUACAUACAUAAACACAAAUGGUCUAAUGCCAUACUCCACUUCUACAAGCCAUUUUCGCAUGGCUGUACACACAUACAUCACAAAAAGUACUUGAACAACAACAAUGGGUAGUCCUAUACAUGCCAUAUCCAGAGUUCAACUAAAAGAGUACCAAAAGGGCUUUGAUAGUGUGGAUGACUUCGACUUCGAUGAUCCCGAAUCCGAUAUCUAACGAACAAAAUCUAUAAAACAGAGAGCCAAAGCAACGGGGUAAGCAUUUUAAAGCUUAGUAAGUUUCAAGUAAUGAAAUCAGCUUUGACUAAAGUAUUACAUUCACAUAGCUAAAUGAACCACUUUAUUAAUACACAUUCUCAUAAUCAUGCUUACUUCACACUUCAUCAACAUAUAUACACACACAAGGUAUCAACCCAUCUAAAAGCCCAAAAGUUCGUUAGUCGAUUGAAUGAAUACUAUUUAAAACGAAUCGACUUUCCGAAGCACAUGCAAACAUACCUUAUCGUUUGGGUUUGUCGAGCGUAUUAAUUGAAUUUAUUACAGCACAAAACGCUCACAUUCAUACCCAAGUUUCUUCGGAAUUUAGCCGGGUAUUACCACAAGCACAAUUGCCUUCGGGUCUUAACCCGGGCAUAGCAACUCGCACGAAUGCCUUCGUGUCUUAGCCCGGAUAUAUCAACUCGCACAAAUGCCUUCGGGUCUUAGCCCGGAUCAAAUCACUAGCACAAAUGCCUUCGGGACUUAGCCCGGAUCAAAUCACUAGCACAAAUGCCUUCGGGACUUAGCCCGGAUCUCAUUCAAAUGCUCAUGCACACAUAAAUCAACAGUCUUGGCACAUCCAUAUUUCAUUUUCGUUACUAAGGCUCAAACACAAAACAUUUAUUAAACCUUUCCAAUUUCGGCUCAAUAGCCACACACAAAGAGCAUGAUUUCAAUUGGCUUUAUAACAUAGUCUCUAUGCACAUUCGGCUAUCCGUCAUAGUAUGACUAAUCAUUUCAAUAUAAUUCAAGUAGGGUCAUUACUCGAAGACUUACCUCGGAUAUUUUAAAUAGUUGUGGAUAGACUACUCGAUCGCUUUUUCUUUUCCUUUAUCAGAUUUUGACCCUCUUGGCUCUUGAGCUUGAUUCAAUAAAUAGAUUUUAUUAAAUAACUUAUCAAUUUAGCGAUUCGAUUUAAUACAUGUAUACCAUACAAUUAAGUACAAAUGAUGUUAUUAACUAGAUAUUAAACAUCAUACAUAUGCUCUACUCAAGUACUAAAGAACAUAAUACUAGCUUAAUACCAUGCAUAAUCGAAUUUAUUUAGCAUCAUUUAGUUUUAUAAAAAUACACAUAUCAUCCCAACUCGACACAAGAGUCAAAUUCAUCACUCAAACAUUCACACCAAUUUAUUUUAAUAUUUUGGCCGAAACCCUCAAUUGGCUAACAUAGCCUUAAUAUUUCAAUAUAAACACGUAUACAUCAAAGGCAAUUUAAAACACUUAACCCUUAUACUCAAUAAUGAAACCAAACCGUAUACCUAAUUUUUAAACACAUCACCUCCAAAUGCAUGUAUUAACUAACAUAUAUCCAAUCCACAUGCCAAGUUACCAUGAAUAAAUUAAACUUAUAUAUAUAUAACAUAGCUAAAUAUUCCUUAACAUAAAGGCAUUUAGUGACAUUUAAAAAAAAUAUAAUAACCAUUUCCAUAAGUAUAUUUUCAUGCAAAGACCGUACCUAAAUCACCAACAUUUUAACUCCCAACUACUUAGACUUAACCUUUCAUACCCUUAUAUCUAAUGUCAUAAGAAUAGCCGAAUGUCCAAAUUAACCAAGCUUAAAGAUUUAACCUUCAACACUUUAAUAUUCCACAACCUAUUCUUCAAGGCUUCAAAUAUAAAGUAAUUAACAUUUAUACUCUUAUGCCGAAUUAGCUAACACUUAUAAUCCAUAGCCGAAUGUCAUUAAACCUAAACCACCAUGAAAAUUUUACUUAUCACCUCAUACCUUAUUAUCAAAUUGAACUAAUUAUGCUUAUAAAAAUAAUAUCAAAACCGAAACCUUUUAAUAAUUAAGCCUCUAAUUAUUUAUUUCAAUUACCCAAACGAAAUUUUCUCACAUUUAACACUUAUAUACCCAUCAAUUGUUGAAGACAAACAAAAUCUCAUUUCCUCCCUUGACAACCACAACCGAAAGCUCAAACCAACAUCUAAAAUUCCAAGUUUUCAAAUGGGCUAAUAUGGAACUAGCUAAUUGACUUAAACUAAGCUUAAAAUUUCAAAAAACUAGCAAAAUUUUUACUAACCUUCUCAAGCUUCAAGUGACCGAAUGUUUUUGCCCCAAUUCUUUCUUUCAAUUCGGCCAAGAAGACAAAGAUGAAGCUUUGUCUUCAUUACUUUUCUUUUUAUUCUUUCUUUAAUUUAUUUCCUUUCUUUUGCAUAAAAUAAUGGCCAUUUAAUUAAGAUUUAGUACAUAUUAUAUAUAUAUGACCAUCAUGGCCGGCCGCCACUUAAAAUAAAAGGGGUAUUUGACAUGCAAGUACAAUUAUUUGCAACAUGCAUAAAUGGGCCAUUUUACAUUAGCCUAGCACAUUUCUAAAUUUUCUCACAUAAGUCCUAUUUAAUAAAAUUCACUUACAAUUUACAAAAUUCAACCAUGAAAUUUUCACACAUGCAUAUAUACAUAUAAUAAACAUCAAAUAUGACGGUCAAUUAUUUUUGUGACUCGGUUUAGUGGUCCCGAAACCACUUUCCGACUAGGGUCAAUUUAGGGCUGUCACAUCCCUCUUGCAUGAAUGUCCCAAAUACAUGUGCUCUUUUAAAUGUCAUCCAUUGAACCUCAAUUAUGCAUGCACCCUUCCAUACUUUGCACUAGGCCCUACAUGAAUCUUGUAUUAAAUACAUCUUCACAUUCGGCUGAACCUAGUUCAUAUCAAGACAAAUUAAUUAAAAUACUAAGAUAAAUUAAAAAUAAUUAAUUAUGGACUAGCUAGUAUAUUAAGUUCGGCUAGCUCAAACAUGUGAAAAUAAUUAAUGAACUCAUUUGAGCUAGGGAAUUCAGUCAUGAGCUGUAUCAAAUUAAAUAAAAUAAAACUAAUACUUCGCUUAUAAAAGAAAAGAGCUGAAACUAAGCUAGGUUGAGCUCAAAUGAGCUUAAAUGAGCUCAAGUGAACUGAUUCAAGCUGAAUGGAGCUUGGGGAGCUGAAGAUGAGCUAACAUCAGCUUGCACUAUGGUGCAAGGAGUCUUUAAGGUGCUAGCCCGACCUUCUCCAUUGACAUCGAGCUUGUUCUCUUCCCAAAAUUGAGUGAUUAAAGCUGAAACAGCUUCUUGGAAUUGCCUAGCUCGAGCUCGAGUCAUUGGGCCUUUAGGGACCUCAAUAGGUGCUUGGCUCAAAGUCCUCGAGCUCCCAACCGUGCUUACAUCAUCAUGCAUAACUUAUACCUUGUCAUUAGAACUUAUCAUUUGAACCAUAAUUUUCAUGCAUCCCAAAUAUACAUAUAUCUAACUUAUACAUACUUGACUAUAACUUAUCCAUAUAUAUAAUUUAAUUUCAUACCAAGUUAUACCACAAUUGACCACAUGCCAAAAUCACAUUCAAACAUACCAAUUUGGUUAUUCAAAACACAACUUCAAAUGACCAUUUCCACUCCAACCAUCAAGGACAUCUAAAUGACACAAAUCUAACCAUAUUUAGAUGGUUCCAACAAUCAACAUGUAUACAAACCAUAUUUCAAUCAUGCACAUCUAUUCAAAAAGCCUUACCAAAGCAUACUAUAUCUUGGCCAUGUUGAGGUUAAUUCAUCAUAUAUCACUUUGGUCAUUCAAACAUGCUUUAACACAUAUCAAUAAGGCACCAAAUGUACCAAGGCUUCAUCACCCAAAAUGACCUAUACAUGCCAAACUCAUCAACUAACAUUCGACUAAUCAUCAACCACAAGUUCACCUAUACAUGCCAUUAUAACCUUAACCAAGACAUCAAAAUCUACCGAUAUAAUCGAUGGAUAGUGUGAUGGAUCUCCGACUAGUUUCCAACCCGAUCGAGCUUUUGAUAAUUUGAAAAGUAAAGGAAAAACAACUACAUAAGCAAUGAAUGCUUAGUACGCUCGUAUAACUUUAAUCAUAUCAAUCCAUUUCAAAUAUGAAAUUUAUACAUAUCAAGAAUAAUCCUAUACCAAUACCACAAGAUUUAUGAAACCAUAAUCAACAACUCACACAGUGAAUAAAACCACAACAUCACAUAUACAUAUCAUCCCUAGCAUAGUAGGAUUUUUUAAAACUUUAAACCCUUUCAAAUUUUAUUAUUUUCAUUUACAUUUCAUUACUUUCCAUUACAUUUACUUUCUUUAGCUUAAACAACAACAUUAGUUUAACUCAUCAAUCCAUUUUUCAUCAUUUUACACUUCAAGUAUGAACUUACUUUUUCAUUACCUUUCCACACCCGUUUCAUAUGCAUAGCACACAAGACAUAAGCAUAUCAUCAACCAUAGCCACAAGCUAGUGCAUUUAAACAUAGCUCUUUUGGAAUUAACCACAUGAUAAACCAUUUCAUAAGAAAUUACAUAAUUUAAACCUUACCACUCUUUCAUGAACACAAGCAUAUUUCUAUUUGGGCACUUACAAUUUCAAUGCAUAACUUCUAAGUAAACAUAAUAAAAUCCAACCAAUAGCUUGACACAUGCCUAAGCAUCAAACAACAACACAUGUUAGCAUACUUGAACAUAUUUCACAUAAAUUCAACAUGGAUAACCAUUAUACUUGAAUACGAUUCAAUUUGGAUAUAACAUCCUUCAAAACAUAACAUGUUUUCCAUAUAUCUCAUCAUUUCAAUGUAUUUCAUGUAUACCUGUAUUUUCUCAUAUUGAACAUUUACAGUUCCCUGUCCAAUUCGUGUCCGUUGAACCGAAUAGAAUAUCAUUGGAUACUCGGGAUAGCUUACACAAAGUGGGCUAACUCAUAUAAUCGUAAUGCGUCAAUUCAUGUACAUAUAUGCUCACAUGAGCUGUGAAUAAGUAUGCUCACAUGAGCUAAGAAAAUAGGCCUACUCACACGAGCUGUGGGUCGGAACGUAGCUAUACGAUGCUACUCAUACGAGCUGUGGAGUAUGCGCAACACAUGCCAGACCUGAACCAACAGUAGGACAUUCAAGACCAGCACCUGAAUCAUGUAAACCCUAAUGACAUGUCAUUUGUAUCCUACGAAUUCCUAAGGUUUAAAUGGGGCUCAGUAGUCGUCGUACGCCGUUGAAUUUCUAUCGUUUCAUGACAUAAUAAUUUGCAUAAUAUCAUCUAUAUAUAUUAAUUCAUGUACAAUACAUUAAACAGUUAAUUUAACUCACAUUUAAGUGUUUAUAUUUCAUACGAACUUACCUGGCUAAAUUGCAGAAAUGUCAAAGUAUAAGGGCAUUUUGGUAAUUUUUUAUUCUCCUCUUAAUUUUCCACUUGAUCUUGAUCCAAAUUAAUAAUUUCAUUCAAUCUAUCAAUUUAGAUAGUAAAACAAUGUAUUUUAUGCACUUUAUUCAUUUUUUACAUUUUUACAAAAUUACCCCUAAAGUUUUACUUUUAUUCAAUUUAGUCCCUGAGCCUAAAACAUGCAAAUUAACCAUUUUUACCCAAAAUUUAGCCUAUCAAAAUUCUUAUGGCAUCCAAACAGCUCAUUCAUGCAACAAUUUCACAUCAAAUCCUUGUACUUCUACUAUUUUAACAAUUUAGUCCCUAAUAAAAAAAUUCAUCAAAAAUCACUUAAUAAAAUACUUUUAAAUAACAACUAAUAUUUCAAAUUCAUCAUUUAACGUCUAAAAUCACUAGGUUCAUCAAUGGAAACAUUCAAAAUCUUUAACAAUUUCAAAAUCGAAGGUACGGGCUAGCUGGACCUAGUUGCAAUGAUUUCAAAAACAUAAAAAUUAAAAGAAAUGGGGCUAAAACGGACUUACAUGCAUCAUCCAAAGCAAGACCGAAGCUUGAAGCUUCUCCCAUUCUUUUUCCAUGGAAACCUUCGGUGGUGAAAAACAAAUGGGGAAGAAAACAUUUUGUUUUCUUUAUUUUAGUAACAUUUAAUUUUAUUCUAUUAAAUAAAUAACAUAUAAAACAUUAUAAUUAAAAGAAAUUAAGCAUCCAAACUCCCUACCAUAUUUAGGAUGGCUAUUUUACUCAAUAAGGCCUUCCAAUUAUAAUUCUUUCAGCAAUUAACACCUUUAAACUAAUAGCAAUUGACUUUUUCAACUUUUACAAUUUAGCCCUUUUUGUUUAAUUAACUAUCGAAACGUUAAAAUUUUUUAACGAAACCUUAAUAGCACCUUAAUGACACUCUGUAAAUAUUUAUAAAAAUAUUUAUGACUCGGUUUAUAGAAACAAGGUCCCGAUACAUUAUUUUCUAAAACCAUUUGACCCUAAGGUCUUACCACUUGAACUUAAUAAAUCGCUUAAAUAACAUAAAUUAUCAAAUCAAAAACCUUUUUAAAAAUCACAUUUGACUCGUAAAUAUUAAAAAAUAACAUUUACGAACUUACUCGCCAGAUUUGGUGGCCCCGAAACCACUGUUUCUGACACCACUGAAAAACGGGUUGUUAUAGUACCCUAUAGGCGACACCGACCUGUUGUUUCUGCCCUCCUCUACUUCUCCGUGCACAAUGGGAUGAGACCUUUAAGGGUCUUGUGAAAAAUAUUUUUCAGGGACCUUAUAAUGGUCCCCUAAUGUGAAAAAAAAACAAAAUAGAAGAAGAAGAAGAUUUAGAGAAGAGAAUGGGAAGGGAAAAAAUAAAGAAAAAUGAGAGUAGAAGAAUAGAUAAGAGAAGAGAAUAAGAAGGGGAAAAAAGAAUAAAAGAGAAGGAAAGAAGAGAAUGAGAAGGGAAAAAAAAGAGAAAAGGAGAAAAGGAAGGAAGAAAGGGAAAGACAUUUGGGCUUUAAGGAGUUAAGUUUAGGGUUUGAAAAAAAAAGACUAGUGGGUUUUGUUUAAAGUUUGGAAAAAAGGAUUAAAGGGUUUUGUUUGGGGUUAUAUGGGUUUAUGAUUAAAAAGAAUUCAAAAGAGGUAUUUUUUUUAGUAUCUAUACAUUAUUUGUUAGUUUAGUAAUUUUUUUUUAUUUAUAGGUUAUAAAUGUUAAAUUUUUUUUGUUUAACCAUGUUAUUUUAGAAAUGUUUUUGAUUAAUUUAGAUUCUGAUUAAUUUUUUUAUUUUUGUAAGGUAUUAUUUCGGUAAGAAAUAAAGGUUUUUUAUAGGUAUUAUUUUGGUAAGGUAUGUUUCUAUUUUAUUUUUUGAUUUGUAUGGUUUUUUUAUGCUUUGUAUUAGAUUCAAAUAACAACAUUAAUCCCAUUAGGUUUAUUAUGUUGAGAUCAUUUCUACUGUUUCAACAUAAAUUUUUUGUUGUUUUAUAUAGGUAAAAGAUGAUACCAUUGAGUUGAAAUUUAUGAGAUAUUUUUUCUGUUCUUUAUUAACUUAAGUAGUAUAAAAAUGUUUAUUAUAUACUGAAAUAAUAUGGCAAAAAAUGUGAUGUGCACCAAACUCUUUAGCAUUUUUGUAAUUAUAUUAUUAGUGUACUAUAUUUAUUGUAUAAUAUUAAUGUGUUUUGAUAAUUAUUUAAGAUGUGAUAAUUAUUUUUUGUUAGGGUGUCUUAUUUCUGUAUUUUAAUAUUUCUUCUCCUAUUAUUGGGAUAAAAAGGCUCAAAUAGAAACUAAUUACCUACCGAAAUGUGUUUUUAACAAAAAACUAAUUACACUCUUUUUUUUAGGUUGCAAAUAUCAAAAUGGGUUCUUUGAUUAAAGAUGAUAAUCGCAUUUCAAAAAUGGUUAAUAUGAUGGUAAUAAAAUUGUUUUUUCUUACCUUAUAAAAUGUUCCACGUCAUUUACGAAUUUAAACUAGGUUAUAUUAACUAUUUCUGUAAUUUAAUAGUGUUAGGGCCUAUACCGCACAUUGAGGGGUCGUACGAAUGAUUUAGGAUAUCUGCUGGAUGAACGUGUAAUUCCAUACUUGGAGUUAGCCAGAUUCGGAUCAACAACAUUGAUCCGAACAUUUGAUUUACGGUACAACUUAAUAUCCGCUUUGGUCGAGCGAUGGCGUCUAGGGACCCACACUUUUCAUUUGCUGUGUGGGGAGUGCGCCAUCACUUUAGAGGAUAUUACACUGCAACUCGAGUUCCCAAACGAUGGGAAAGCGGUAACGGGCAUAAGUGCGAUCCUAGAGCCGUCCACCCUUUGCUAUAACCUACUGGGAGUCUCGCCCGGUGAUGUUAGGUCGAAAUUUUUGGGUUUGAGGUUUUCAUGGCUGAAGGCCAAUUUUGAGAAUAUACCGAUUAAUUCCACUGAUCGGGAGGUAAUGUGCGUCACUUGAGCGUACAUUAUGCACAUUAUAGGGGGUGUACUCAUGCCGGAUGCAGAUAGCAAUAAGGUCCAUUUGAUGUACUUGCCCCUGUUAAUUGGUUUGCAUAACGUCACUUCAGAUGGAUCUUUCUUUCGAUUUGCAGCCCUUGUUACAAUACAUACAGUGGUACUCCGAGAAGGGGAAAUCGUAUUUAUUUGGUGGGAAAUCAAUUCUAGUUCUUCUACACAUACCAUAACUUGGGCAACCCGCCCAUCCCCUUUCACAUCCGACUCCUGCACUCGAGCUAGAGCCCUAGUCUAAACCUGAGCCUACGCCCAAACCCGAGCGGUCUCAUACAUAGCCUGGAGAUAGUUCUUUUCAUUCGGACCUAGGGUUCGAUGACUAUUCCUCGGGCUCAUCAGGCCACGAUAUCAUUCAGGGUUUCUCGGAUCCAAUUCUGAUAUACCUAAUUCGAUAUCAUCAAUGACGUUUGAUAUCUUCAACCCUUACCACCGUAAUACCCUGCUCCUCCCAGAUAAACAUUUGGGGCAUACGCCCCUAGGUUUCAGUGAGGACCACAUUGAUAACCGCGAGCACCCUCAAUGUGAACACCAACCACCACAACAAUUUACCCCUAGGACCACACCAUCAAACCAUCAAUUUUUGGGGUUUCUAUCAUUUCAAUGAUCAUGUUUGUAUGUAUAUAAUUGUUGUAAAAUUUGUAGUAAAAUUUAGGCAUUUAAACUCAAUUUUUACUUAACCUUUAAGUUUUUGGUACUAAAUUUAAAUGAGAUGGUGCCUAAGGUAUAAACUAUCGAUUUAUAUACAUGCAAAAAUAUAAAUGCAAAAAUAUAUAUUUGGUAAUAUAAAUGAAAAAUACAAACUUUAUAAUAUAAAUGCAAAAUUACAAACUUUGUAAUAUAAAUUAGAUGCAUUGGAGUACAUUUGUAACACCCUUUAGCCGUAUUCGACACCAGAAUAGGGUACGAGGCAUUACCAGAACACAUACACUUGUAAAUGUAUUUAACCGAGUUAUAAAACUUCAUCUAAAUUAAAACUUUCAAAUUUUAUAAUUCUUCAUAAUAUAUCCUCAAAAUAUUAUAUUCAUAAUAAAUAGGACCUAUGAGACCCGAUACAUAUUCAUGCAAUUCACAAGUCUUAAUAAUUCAAUGCUUCAUUUCCAUUUCAUUCAAUUCUCAAAUUUCUCAUGUUGACAAUUCAAAUCAUUAAUUUCAAUACUAAUACGUAUUUAUCAUUUAACUCAACGUUCAUUGAUUAUACCAUUCAUUAACACAUUUAUGAAAUUCUAAAUUUUUGCAAUGAAAAUAUCACUUAUCUUAUAAAAAACAUCAAUUCAACUCAUCAUCCUAGUAUAAAUUCACUACCACUUAUCCAUUUACUAUAAUUCUUUUGGGUUCAUUUGUCACUUACCAUUCUGAAUCAAAUUAGGGAACGGUUACGGAAAAUUGAGUACUUCACUUCCACCUUGCCAUAGUAUAACUAUGAUCUUACGUAUGAUCACUUAUCACUUGUCCCUGAUCAGAUAAGUGUAGCUAAGCUACCACUUAUCACUUGCCACUUGUCACUGAUCAGAUAGGUGUAGCUAAAGCUACCACUUAUCACUUGUCACUUGUCACUGAUCAGAUAAGUGUAGCUAAAGCUAACACUUAUCACUUGUCACUUGUCACUGAUCAGAUAAGUGUAGCUGAAGCUAUCACUUAUCACUUGCCACUUGUCACUGAUCAGAUAAGUGUAGCUGAAGCUACUACUUAUCACUUGUCACUGAUCAGAAGUACUCAAAUCCGACGUUCCGCUCAAUUUGAUCAUUUAUUCAGUUUUCGUAUUGUUAUUUUAUUCUCAAUUCAUUAAAAAAUAUAUCUCAUCAUACAUUAUAUAAUUCAUGAAAUUAACAUGUAAUCAUUAAAUUUCAGCCAUAUGAACUUACUAUUUCAUUAACUUUCCACACUCGUUUCCUAUGCACAUCACACAAGGUAUAAGCAUAUCAUUCAACCAUAGUUGCAAGCAAGUGUAUUUAAACAUAACUCUUUUUGGAACUAACCACAUGAUAAACCAUUUCACUAGAGAUUACAUGAUCACAACUAAAUAUGUUACCAUUUCGACCACUACUUGGCCAAAGCCUAAGCAUGUACGCCAAAUAUGUUAGUCAAAUACACAUAUAGCAUAAACAUUAUAAGCAUGGAUGAGCACAACAUUUAUUCAUGUAUCACACUUACCAACAUGUGUUAAUUCAUAAAUCAUUCAUGACAUUACUUCAUGUCAAAUCAUAUACCGAAUAUACCAUACACACAUUCUAUGAAACUUUAUUUUCACACAUGAGCUUAGACCAUGACCAAUAAUGUACAAAUAUAAGCAUCAUUUCUAUUUCAUCGUUUAUCAAUUAUAAUCAAGCAUAUGACCAAUUAUACACAAAUCAUUCAUAUAUUUCCCAAUUUUCCUCCUCCUCCUCUCCAUUCCACAUCCUUAAUGUGUAUAACAAAUUUAAACAACAUUAUCCAUACUAUCACUAUUUUUCCUGUAUGUAAAUUCAAGUUAUCUGUCUAAGUUAGAGUCACUAAUUUAUUUAUAUCUCGAGAUAAAGAGCUCCAAAUUAAGAUCAGUUAAUUUUCCAUAAAACUAGACUCAUAUAUCUUCAAAGCAUAAAAUUUUAAAAAUUUUUGGUUCAGCCAAUAAGUACAGUUUAUUCUUUAAAGUUUUCCCUGUUUCACUAUUUGAUAGUUCUGACCCCUCUUCACUAAAAAUUAAUUAUCUCUUUAUAUAGAAUUUAGACGAUGUCCUCGUUUGUUUCUAUUGAAAAUAGACUCAUUAAGGAUUUUAAAUAUAUAAAUUAUAACCCAUAAUUAUUUUUAUACAAUUUUUAAUGAUUUUUCCAAAUCAGAAUAGGGGAACCAAAUUCAUUCUGACCUUAUCUAACAAAAUUCAUUAUAUCUCAUGAUUUAGAAUUCCAUUACUUACACCGUUUCUUCUAUGAGAAACUAUACUAAAUAAGAUUUAAUUUCAUAUUUUUUUCAUCCUCUAAUUCAAUUUCCAUGAUUUAUGAUGAUUUUUCAAAGUUAACCUACUGCUGCUAUCCAAAACUAUUUUAGUGCAAGAUGUUGAUAAUCAAAUUUAUAACACCAUCCUUUCCUUUCUCUACAAUAUUUUUAUCAAUUCCUCUUGUUUCCCUUCACUAACAUAUCAAGAACAUAGAACCUUAUAUAAUAAAGAACCUUAUAUAAUAAAACCCUACAUUAACAUCAAUUUCAUACUUUUUCAAUAAUAUCAAACUUAAAAAUAUAUUGAAACCUUGAUGUUCUUACCUUGCUCUAUUGAUUUCAAUCUUUAACUUGAUUUUCUCUCUCCUCCAGCUUCUAUUUCUCGAAUCUAACUUGAUAUUAUAGCUUCCCAUAGUCUCUUUAACAUUUUUCUCUCUUGGUAGCUAUGGAAAUUCUUUUAAUUUCUAGGUGAAAAUGGUAAAUUUUUGGUGAAAUGACCAAUUUGUAAAGAAAGCAAAACUUUCUUUCUUCCCUUCUCUUAUAACGUGAAAUGCAUGGGAAAGGAAGAUGAUUCUUCAUCUUUUCUUCCACAUAUAUAUAUACUAAAUAAAAUAAUAAUAAAAUGAUAAAAUGUCAUUUAAAAAUCAAAUUAAAAUAUUAAUAAACUAAUAUUUAUUUAUUUAUUUAUUUAAUCUAAAAUAUCUCUAACAUCAUCAUUAUUUUCUAGAUUUCUCUUUCUUCUAAUUGACCAUUUUGCCCUUUAGAUCUUUUAAAAUCCCAUCCUUAAGUCAUCACUUAAUUUGGUAAAAUUAUGAUUUAGCCCCUCAUAAUUCUUCAUCUAUUCAAUUUGGUCCCAAUUUAUCCAUUUUCCUUAGUUUCUAGAUUAUUCCACCCUUAAAAUAUUUACACUAUUGGUCCUUCAACUUUUUCAUAUUUACACUUUAACCCUUCAAAUUUUGAGUAUUUACUCUUGGAUAACAAAACUUUUCUCACUUUUGCAAUUUAAUCAUUUCUUUAAUUAAUAUGUCAGAAUAUACUUCCCAAUGUUGUCAUAACUUAAAAUUUUCCUUUUUGUCACUUUACUUCCUUACUAUAUCAAAGAUAAUAUCUUACUGUAAAAAUUUUCGGGGUAUUACAACAUUGGCUCAAUUUCCACUUGAUUGCGAUGAUUGACCAAUAUGGUAGGUUCGUUGCAGGCAUGUACUCCGAUUAUGCCCAGCUAAUCUACACACACCAAAAAGCUUCCUAUCAGUUUUCUCCCUAAUGUCCAUUUCAUUAUGAAUUCUAGUUGAUUGCGGACGACCUUUUGGAUUCCUACGUAACCUCUUGUCCAAGACAAGCUCAAAAGUCCUCGUAGGCACCUCAUAUAUAGACAGAUCAGGCAAGAUGGGGAGCUCAUUUUCCUAAACACACAACAUGUUCUUAAGAGUAUACACCUCAGUGAUAAACUGUUCAACAUUGAGCGAGGUGCGAGCACAUACUGUCACGACAUGCACAUAGGGAUAAUAUAGUGUUUGGAACCUUCCGUAAUCACACUGUCAGCUUCAGAGAUCAACUUCGUAGGACCUGGAUGGGAUAUCGGGCUGACGACCGAUGCUUUCUGUAACUCAAAAUGUUUCAAACUGUUGUGAAUAUAUUUCCACAUUCAUCGACCUCGCCUUACAACGGUUCACAUCCAUUGCAUCCCUGGCAUCUUCGACAAACACGUGUCCCGCAUUAAUCUGGUUGACUUGUUUUAGCCCCAUUCUUGGCAUCAAGGUGGCCAACCUAUAGAACGUACUCGAGAACACAGAUAAAAUCAAAAGAUGUCGUGUGUUCUUCAAUAUGGAGUUAACUGCCUCUGCCAGGUUGGUGGUCAAAUGACCAUAUCGAAACCCGUCAUUGAAACUUUGAGCCCAUUGCUACGGCUUCAUGGUACCCAACCACUAUCGGAAAAGAGUGUUCGUUUCACCUUGCAUGUCACCCUCAAGUGUCACCAUCCUUUACCGAAAAAGGUGUGGUUCUGGAUCGUACGCUGUGUAUGUAUUAAGAAAAGACAAGUUACAGUCUCGAAUUGUUCUAGUAUUGAUAAUAUUAAAACAUAUAUUGAAACUAUAUUUUACCUAUUUUCACAACUUGUCUCCGCAAGUUUGCAUUCUUGUACUACUGGUGAAAGUUAGCUGCUAUGUGCUGCAUACAAUAAACUGAUCUCCAUGGUACUCCAGAACACCUAAUGGCGACAAUUAUUCCCUUCCCUCUAUGAAAAAUUAUGCAAAUAUUAUUGUCACUAAUAACAUACCUUAGUAGGUUCGUAAGGAAGAAUUCUCAUGAUUCCAUGUUCUCUUUGUCUACAAUGGAAAAUGCUAUCAAGUGCACAUUUUUGUUCCCAUCUUAAGCAAUCGCAAUAAGUAGGAUCUGCGUAUAUUUACCAUAUGGUUAGGCCUUAUCUACCUGCACAAGCAGUUUGCAGUAGGGAAAUGAUCGCACGCAUGGAUCAAACAUCCAAAACAUCCGAUGGAAAAUUCUUCUUCUCGGUUGUAGUUGGUCAUUUGGAUCAUAAUAAGGUCAUGUCUCCAACUCAAUGACAGUCCCCGGACGUACUCUCGUAUAGCGGCUACCCACCCCCGUAGCUCAUUUUACGACGCAUCCCAGUCUCCGUACAACUACUCUAUUUCCAUUUGUUUAGCUAUCCAUGCUUUCCAAUAUGAUACUCGAUACUGGAAUCGUGCUUGCAUUUUUCCAAUCAAUACCGAAACUUUAAUGGUUGGCAUGUCCUUCACCAUUGGCAUGAUGCGUGUGCAAAUAGUUUUGGAAUCAAGUUUUCGAUGGUCUUUUGUCAUACAUGUUGAAAGGCAUGUGUGAUGCCAAACAAAUUUUAAUAUUUCUUCUCCUAUUAUUGGGAUAAAAACUCCCAAAUAGAAAUUAAUUACUUAUCGACACGUGUUUUUUGCAACAAACUAAUUGAACUCAAUUUUUUUUAGGUUAUUUGAUUAAAAAUGAUAAUCACAUAUCAAAAACGGUUAAUAUGAUGAUAAUAAAAUUGUUAUUUCUUACCUUAUAAAAAGUUACACAUCAUUUACGGAUUUAAACUAGGUUAUAUUAACCAUUUUUGUAAUUUAAUAUUGCCAGGGCCCAUACUGUGCAUUGAGGGGUCGUGUGAAUGGUUUAGGAUAUCCGCUGGAUGAACGACUAAUUCCAUACUUUGAGUUAGCCAGAUUCAGAUUAGCGGUAUUAAUCCAAAGUUUGAUUUUUCGUACGACUUAAUAUUCGCUUUGGUCAAGAAAUGGCGCCCGGAAACCCACAUUUUACAUUUGCUGUGUGAGGAGUGCACCAUCACUCUGGAGGAUGUUGUACUACAACUCGGGCUCUCAUUCAAUGGGAGUGCAAUAACGAGCAUAAGUGCGAUCUCUGAGCCGGUCACCCUUUGUUGUAACCUACUGGGAGUCUCGCUCGAUGACGUUGAGUUGAAAUUUUUGGGUUUGAAGUUUUCAUCGCUAAAGGCCAAUUUUAAACAUUUACCGAUUAAUGCCACUGAGCGGGAGGUGAUGUGUGCCGCUUAAGCGUACAUUAAGCACAUUAUAGGGGGUGUACUCCUGCCAGAUGCAAACAACAACAGGGUCCAUUUGAUGUACUUGCCUUGUUAAUUGAUUUGCAUAACGCCUAUUCGUAUAGUUGGGGUUUCACGGUACUAGCUAUGUUAUAUCGCGAGCUUUCUUGAACGAAAAAUCCUUUUGAUGUGGACAUAAAUGGAUGCCUCAUAUUUCUGCAGUCUUAGGCCCUUUACCGGCUGUCAUUCUUGGCAUCGGUUAGUCAUGAAUCAUAUGUCUUUCCACGUGUGAAUAGGUGACAAAAAUUUGACCCAUUAUAGCAAUUAUUUGACAUUUCAUUUUUAAUGAUAUUAUUCUAACAAGUUUUUGUUUUCGUAGAUGGAGUACUAAUUAAGGUAUCGAGAGGUUAUGUACGGUUCUGAUAAACCAUCUGAUGAUUGAAACACAUGCUGGGGAAGGGUUAAGCUAUUCCAAUAUUUAAGACAUGUAAUUACUUUAUCUGUCUUAUUCGAACCGUGUUAAUAUAGCCAUGUUAUUAAUUAUGCAGUUCAUCUAGAUGCACUAUUCCUUCCAUCAAAUUGCGACUAUGAUUCCCUUGUCUACCCACAUCCACUCACACCUGUGGUGCAUUAACGCACCCAUUAUCAAUGUCCAGACAGUGGAGUCGUAUAACAAGGAUUGAGUACUCUGAUAGUUUGGAUGCAUACAAUAUAUCCCGGCACCACUAGUGCAAUUGGAGAAGAUCCACGGGAGUAACAGGAGGGGAAAACAAGGAAAUAAUUGGACAAUAGUGCAUAAACAAUAUAUUGCAAUGUGGAACAACCGGAUGGGGUGGAGACCUCAGAUGGAUCUUUCUUUCGAUUUGCAGCCCUCGUUAUAGUACAAACAGUGGUACUCCGAGAAGGGGAAACUAUAUUUUUUUGUGGGCAAUCGAUUGUAGUCCCCUCGUACAUGCCAUGACUUGGGUAACCCGCCCAUCCCCUUCCAUAUCCGCCUCCUGCACUCGAGCCAGAGCCCUUACUCAAACCUGAGCUGACGCCCGAACCCGAGUAGUCUCAUACACAGUUUGGGGAUAGUUCUUAUCAUCCGAACUUGGGGUCAAUGACUAUUUCUCAGGCUCGUUAGGCCACAGAUAUCAUUCAGAGUUUCCUAGAUCUAGUUUUGAUAUACUUGAUUCGAUAUCAUCGAUGAUGUUUGAUAUCUUCAGCCCAUUACCACCGCAGUACUCUACUCCUCUCAGGCAAACAUUUGGGGCAUACAAUUUUUCCACUAUGUUUAGCACACCACCAGGUUCGAGUGAGGACCACGUUGAUCACUGUAAGCACCCGCAAUGUAAACGCUAACCACUACAACAAUUUACCCCUAGGACCACACCAUCAAACCAUCAAUUUUAGGGGUUUUUUUCAUUUCAAUGGUCAAGUUUGUAUGUAUUUAAUUGUAGUAAAAUUUGAGCAUUUAAACUCAUUUUUUACUUAACUUUCAGGUUUUCUGGUACUAAAUUUAAAUGAAAUGGUGUUUAAGGUAUUAAUUAUCGACUUAUAAACAUGAAAAAAAUACAAACUUUGUAAUAUAAAUGCAAUUGAAAUAUAAAUGCAAAAAUAAAAAUGUUGUAAUAUAAAUUAGAUUCAUUAUAGUACAUUGGCUCAAUUUCCACAUGAUCGCGACGAUUGACCAAUAUGGUAGGUUCGUUACGGGCAUUACUCUGAUUAUGCCCAACUAAUCUGCACACGCCACAAAGCUUCCCAUCGGUUUUCUCCCUAAUGUCCAUUUCAUUAUGGAUUCUAGUUGAUUACGAAGUCAUACGCAACUUUUUAUUUGGGACAAGCUCAAAAGUCGUCGUAGACACCUCCCAUGUAAACAGAUCAGGUAGGACGAGGAACUCAUUUUCCCAAACACGCAACAUGUAAUAACCCAAAAUUCAUGGGCAUCGGAAAAGCAUAAUAUUGGGCCUCCGUCUUAGUAAAUUGAGUUUGAAAAUAAUUAUUAGAAAUAUUUACGAGGCUAGUUGUGUGUUUAAUUAGAUUUUUAUUUAGUGAAUAUAGCUUAAUUAGGAGUAAUUAGCAAAAAGGAUUAAAUUGCAAUAGAAGUGAAAGUUUAAUUAUAGAUUAAAAGAAAAUAAUAGGGACUAAAUAGGAAAUUAUGCCAAUUGCCAAAUUUGAGGCGGCAUAAGCAUAAUAUCUAAUAUUUUUAUGUGUUAAAAUAUGUUAUUAAAUUAUUUUUAUUAUAUUAUAAAACAAAUAAGAUAGUGACAAAUGUAUGGUAAUAAUUUACACAUGUGUCAUGAUAAUGAUUGUAUAAAUACACUUGUAUUAAAAUUUUGUAAUUACUUAUUAUAUAAGAAAAUAUUAUUAUAUUAUAUUAUUAAAAUAUUACAUUUAUUAAAUAAUAAACAAAAAAUAAAACAAAAUAAAGUAAAAGAAAGAAACAGAAUAGCAUUCGAAAAUAGAACAGAGAAAGAAGAAAAAGAAAGAAAAAGGGAAAAUAGGGUUUUUAAAGCUUGGAAUUUAAUUUGGUAAGUCAAAUAAGCCAUGUUACUUAAUUUUGAUGUUUUAGAAGUUUUAAAACAAGGUUUGAUGGAAUUAAGUUGAUAUUUUGUAAGUUCAUAGGUUUUCAAGUACAGUUUAUGUUGAACAAAAGAGAUGAAUUAGGGAUUUAAUUGAAUGAAUUUCAAGUUAGAAUUGAUAAAAGGAUUAAAUUGUGAAAGAAAUUAUAAUUUUUAUGUUGUAGGGAUUAAAUUGAGAGAAAUUCAAAAUUAGGGAAAUAUGCUAAAAUUUUAAUAGUUAAAUUUGAGUUAGGAUGGAAUUUGAAUAAAAAUAAAGUGUGAAUUGAAUUAGAAAAGUAAGAAAACUUAGUUAGGAUUAAAUUGAGAACAAGGUAGGAAUUGAUUAGAAAUUUAAUUAAUUAUUAUAAUUAGUGCUGUAAUUAAUAGUAUAAAUUAUUAUUAUUUUCGUAGCUAACAAAGAACCCGAGCCAUCAGCAUCAAAAGGAAAGGAGAAAGCUAUCGAGGACUAAAACGUGAGAUUUACGGUUUGUAUUACUAUAAUUCAAGUUAUUUGUUAUUAAUUGUUAAAUUUAAAUUUAUGUGUUUGGUAAAUGAAAUGUGAGGUAAGUAUUAUUAUUAUUAUUAUUAUUAUUGUUAUUAUUAUUAUUAUUAUUAAGAUGAGUGGGAAUUAAAUUGAAUAGUUGAUAUGAAUUAAUAUUUGAAUUGUUUGUUGAUUGAAAGCGAGAAGUGAAUUUGAAUCGAAUUGUGACUGAUAUUAAAUUGAAUGAAAAUGUAUUGAGUUGUGAAAAUGUGUGAAUUUUUGGAUUAAUUAUUGAUUGAAAGGUGGAAAAAUGAUUGAACUGAAAAUGUGAGAAAUUGUGAUUGAAUUGGGGUUAUAUGUGAUUUAAAUACCCUAUUAACUAGUCGGGCUGAGUCAGAUAUAGUUGGCAUGCCAUAGGAUUGGAAGAGUUCAGGGAUACUUCGACCUCGAGUCGAUGAGACACUUGGUGUCACUAUAUUUCUUUGGAUAGAUUCGAUGAGGUACUGGGUACCAACUUUCUUCGGCUUUGCCGAUGAGACACUGGGUGUCAACUAUUGCUUCGAACUAUCCGAUGAGGCACUGGGUGCCAUAAUGGAGUGUUUGGUUGGAUCCGUGUAUCCGCCAAAGUCCGAGUUUUGUUAAUAGGGUAAAUAAUGAAAAGAUAAACUGAAUGAGUGGAUCAAUCGAGCUAUUGAAAUGAAAUGAAAAGUUGAAUGGUGAAUUGAAAUGUGAUAUGAGAUUUAAAAAUGAACCUAAGGUUCAUGAUAUGUCCAAAUUCAAAUUGUGGAUAUAUGAUAUUGAUUGAUGGAUUGCUAUUGUUGAGAUAAUGAAUUAAAAUUUGUAUAUACGAUUUAUGUAUUAUAUGUUUAUUAUUGUUAUAAUUUGAAUUAUGGUAAUAUCACUGAGUAUGAAAUACUCAGCGUACGGUUGCUUCCAUGCACAGGUUGAUAGAAGUAAAAAAAUUUCGGUUCAGCAUCUAGAUCAAUCCCGACUUCAGCAUAACUUUGGUGAUGUAUACUUUCUUUUAGUAAUGUGGCAUGUUGGAUAUGUAUAAAGGUUAUUAUGUUUUAAUAUAAAUGGUUAAAAAUAUUAGUAUUAAAAGUUUAUGAAUUAUAAUGAAAGAAGUUUAUCUAUUUUUAUUUAAUUAGUACAUUGUUAAAUUUAAAUUGAUAUUAUAUUAAUUGAGUUUGAUUAGAAGGAAUUUAGAAUAGAAAAUGAGAAUGUGACAUGAAUUGGUUGAUUUGAUUAUAUUUGAAAAUGAUAUGAUUUUAAAUUGCAGGGGGUUUUAUGUAAAAAUAAGUAGAAAUGCUGCCGAAAUUUAUAAAAAAAUGAUGUCAAUUGGUAAACAAACAUAUAAAUUUAUGAUUUAUUUUAAUAUGUUGGUUAAUUAUUUAAGAACUAUUUGUAAAUCGUUUGAAAUGUCCGGUAAUGCCUCGUAACCCUGUUUCGGCGACGGUUUGGGGUUAGGGGGUGUUACACAACAUGUGCUCAAGAGUAUACACAUCAGUGAUAAAUAGUUCAACAUUGAGCGAGGCGUGAGCACAGACUGUCACGACAUGCACACAGGGAUAAUGAAGUGUUUGGAACCUUUCGCAAUUGCAUUGUCUGUUUCAGAUAUCAACUCCGUAGGACCUAGAUGGGAUACCAGGUCCAUGACCGAUGGUCUCUGUAACUCAAAGUGUUUCAAACUGUUAUGAAUAUAUUUCUACAUUCAUCGACCUCGCCCUCCAAUUGUUCGCAUCCAUUUCAUCCCUGACAUCUUCGACAAACACGUGUCCCGCAUUAAUCUGGUUGACUUGUUUUAGCCCCAUUCUUGGCAUCAAGGUAGUCAACCUGUAGAACGUAGCCAAGAACAUAGAUAAAAUCGGAAGAUGUUGUGUGUUCUUUAACACAGAGUUAACCGCCUCUACCAGGUUGGUGUUCAUAUGACUAUAUUGAAAUCCGUCAUUGAAAAUUUAAGCUCAUUGCCACAGUUUCAUGGUACUCAACCACUAUCGGAAAGGAGUGUUUGUUUCACUUUACAUGUCACCCUCAAGUCUGGCCAUCCUUUAUAAAAAAAUGUGUGGUUCUAACUCGUACGUUGUGUAUGUAUUAAGAAAAGACAAGUUACAGUCUCGAAUUAAUUUUUUCUAGUAUUGAUAAUAUUAAAACAUAUAUUGAAACUAAAUUUAUCCAUUUUCACAACUUGUCUCCGCAAGUUUGCAUUCUUGUACUCUUGGUGAAAGUUAGCCGCAAUGUGCCGUAUACAAUAAACUGAUCUCCAUAGUACACCAGAAUGCUUAAUGGUGACAAUUAUUCCCUUCCCUCUAUCAGAAAUGAUACAAAUGUUAUUGUCACUAAUAACAUACCUUAGCAGGUUUGUGAGGAAGGAUUAUCAUGAUUCCAUGUUCUCUUUGUCCACAAUGACAAAUGUUAUCGGGUGUACGUUCUUGUUCCCGUCUUGAGCAAUUGCAAUAAGUAGGAUUUGCGUAUAUUUCUCGUAUGGUUAGGUCCCAUCUACCUACACAAGCAGUUUGCAGUGGGGAAACGACCGCACGUAUGGAUCAAACGUCCAAAACAUCCGAUGGAAAAUUCUUCUUUCCGGUUGUAGUUGGUCAUCCAGGCUGUAAUAAGGUCAUGUCUCCAACUCCCCGGCACAUACUCCUACAUAGCGGCUACCCACCCCUAUUACUCAUUGUACGACGCAUCACAAUCUCUAUACAACUGCUCCAUUGCCAUUUAUUUAGCUAUUCAUGCUUUCCAGUAUGAUACUCGAUACUAAAAUCAUGCUUGUAUUUUGCCAAUCAGUACCGAAACUUUAAUGGUUAGCAUGUCCUUCACCAUUGGCAUGAUGCAUAUGCAAAUAGUUUUGGAAUAAAUUUUUCAAUGGUCUUUUGUCAUAAAUGUUGAAAUACGUGUGUGAGGCCCAACAAAUUUUAGCAUCUCCCACAUCUGCGAGUUCUUGGUAAAUGUGGCUCAUACCCACUAAUUGCAGCCUUCUGUCGACCUCCAAUAGUUUCAAUAUACAAUGUCGGUUUAGACAUGACGACUUUGUAGUCUAUUCAUAUAUUCAUGCUAUACCGCUUAAUGGCAAAUACGCACUCUUCCUUGGUUUCAAAUUUUUGACCCAUGAAAAAUCCUUAGGUUCGGAAUCUACGACCAACCGAUGAGCAGGUAGUAUAUCAGGAUACUCCAAAAACUUGACUAGAUGCGUAGCAUCGAGGUCUAUUAGCGACAUGUGUGCCCCAGGAUCAUUGCAUAUCACAAUGUGUCGAACCAGGUUUUUGACUGAAGACUCAUUAACAUUUCCAUCAUCAUUCGCGCCUUCGUCGUGGAUAUCAUCUGAGACCUCGUACACAUCGAGAUCACUAUCACCAUCGACCUCAUGAUCAGAAGGAUCACUACUAUUAGUUCCAUCAUCAGCAUCAGUCUCAAGUGCAACAUUAAGAUCGAUGUCGAACCCGCGUACAAUCGAUUGACAAUCAACAUAGGAUAUCGAAACCACCAUACACAGAUCUUGAACUCUAUGUUCGUCACAUAAUGGAGUGGGAUCUUCAGCUUGCUCCACAUCAGCUAACUCAGCAAAUAACUGAAUCAGUGCAUUUUGGUGGCUCUAAUUCCCACAAUAAAGAGGGACCAUUGCCUCCACGUCUUCAUCGUUUACAAGUUCCAUCUCGGUGAAUUUGAUGGGAUCUGUCAAAACUAGAAACUUUUAGAGAAGUUUCGAAAUCUUUCUCCCAUAACGUCUAACAAUUUUUGCACUAAUCAUUUCAUUCAUAUCAUAAACCAAGACAUUUCUAUUAAAUCUCAUUGCUAUUUGUUAGUGACAUUCAAAUAUACGUCCAACUGUUGUUGUCAAAAUUACUCCAUCAAAAUAAACACAUACAAAAAAUUGAUUAUCUAUCUUCAAUAUUAGAUCUGUUAAAAAAGAAAUAAAAAUUCUCAAUACAAUUUCAAGCAAAAUAAUUACUGUAAUAUAAAAUAUGAAUUUCAUAUCUACUAACCUAGUGAAUUCUUCUUUGUUUGUUUACUAUUCUUCUACAAAUUUUUUAUUGCUGUUAUUUGAAUUCUCAAAACUUUUUUCCCAAACACUGCUUAAAUAAUGGUUGAGAACAGGUGAUACCCACAAGAUUGGCACCACUGGUGCCACCUAUAACAUUGGAACCAAUAUUUUGGUGUCACCUUUCCCAUGGGCACCACCACCAAAACUUGUCCCAAGCCCGUAGUUAACAAUGUAUUGGAACCGUAUGGGAAAAAUACUUUGGUGUCGUCUAUCAACAAGGCUACACCAUUAAAAAUUUAUUUUUUUUAGCUGAAAGUGAUGGGUGUCAAAAUAUAGGGGUGGUGCUGCCUAUGCACCACCCUCCAGCACCCCUGGUAUACCAUUUCCGUAAAUAAUUUAGAUGGUAUACCAUUUUGGAACUUUUAAUUUUUUUUAUAUUAUUUAAGAAAAAAACCCAUUUUUGAGCAUAAUCAAUGCAAUAUCUUUCUAUGGUCGCCUAGAAGUACACAACCCUCAUGAUUUGUCUAGCCAUCAUAUGUUCAUUUGCGGGUGCAUCAUAUACCCUAUCAUGUACUUCUUCUAAUAUUCUUUAAGCUUCCUUAAAAUCUACACAUCUCAAUAGGAUAUGAUCUCGAUUUUUUUUUAUAUAACACCUCACCAUCUAAGAAGAAACUGAUAGAUAGUCUUUUGAUAAUUUGCUUAUCAUUUUCAUAAGCAUGUUUAGGGAAUUUCUGAAAUUUCAAGUAUUUCACAAUAUAAUAAUACUAUGGUCGUUCAUCUACUUCUUCUUCAAUGUCAAGGCAAUGAUCAAACAUUCUUUUAAUUUCCAAUUUGGAUGGUCACAGCUUUACUUCAUAGUUCAAUUUAUGUGCUCUUUCUUACUUAUCUCAUUUUGCUGUCGUGCACCGCAUCGCAUUAAUCUCCCGAACACCAAUAAUUAUAAGAUCAAGACCUUCCUCACUUAGAAAGGAUUAAAAUUGGUGGCUUAGAUAAGUAUUUGUUAACUUUCUUCGGCCCACUCACCACUAUCAUCCUUUCCAAGUAAUUUAAAUAAUGGAUCACAUUUCAACGUUAAGUGUGGAUGAAAUGAGAGAUAUAAUUUAAAAGUUAAAAAAAAAAAAAAAACCCUGCUCAUUAACAAAAUAAAAUUUUAAAAUCUUACUGUAGUACUAUGGGGUACCUAUUUAAGCAUAUUUAGUUGAACCCUCCGCCAGCCAAAAUUCCCUCCAAAAUUUCACCUAGAAUGAAUUUGUGAAAUUGCGAUUCUCUUCCCUUGGCAUCCCAGAAUGCAAACUCUAACCCUUUCCAAUAUCCUCCACCAGCACUUCCCUGAUGCUCUCCAUUUUUCGCUUCUCAAAUCCUCCAAAACCCACCAAGAAACCCAACAGCUCCACGCAUUUUCCCUCAAAACCGGCGUUUUCUCUCACCCCUCACUCUCUUCUCGUCUCCUUUCUCUCUAUGCCGACCCCAACAUCAACAACCUCCGCUACGCUCGCUCCGUUUUCGAUCGAAUCCAACACCCCUCGUUGGUUCUCUGGAAUAUCAUCCUCAAAUGCUACAUACAAAACCAACAAUCCCAUGAAGCUAUCUCCCUGUUCGUCCUUUGCUUGGUCAUUUUCCGCCUGAUGAAUUCACGUUUCCUUGCGUGAUUAAGGCAUGUGCUAAGUUAACUGCUUUGAAAGAAGGCAAACAAAUACAUGGGUUGGUUUUGAAGCUUGGCUUCGGAUUAGAUAAAUUUGUGCAGGCUAGUUUGGUUUAUUUGUAUUCCAAGUGCGGCAAGAUUGGUUCUGGUUACGCAGUGUUUGAUCAAAUGGAUGAGAAAGAUUUGGUUUCAUGGAAUUCUUUGCUUGAUGGGUAUGCAAGGUGUGGAGAAGUUAAGGCUGCCAUGAAGGUGUUUGAUGAAAUGCCUGAAAAGGAUUGUUUUUCAUGGACGGUUUUGAUUUAUGGGUUGGCGAAAUGUGGGGAGGUUGAGACUGCUAGAAAGAUAUUCGAGAACAUGCCAAAUAGGAAUUAGUUUCGUGGAAUACUAUGAUUAAUGGGUAUAUGAAAGCUGGAGAUACUAAUUCCGCUUGUAAAUUGUUUGAUCAAAUGCCCACAAGAAAUUUGAUCACGUGGAAUUCAAUGAUAGGGGGAUUCAAAUUGAACUUGCGCUUUUUGGAAGCUUUGGAAAUGUUUGAGAGAAUGUUGGAGGAGGAAUUUAGGCCCACUCACGCUACGUUAGUUAGUGUGAUUUCUGCUGUCUCUGGAUUAGCUAGUCUUGGCACGGGAAGAUUGAUACAUUCGUAUAUUGUUAAAAAUGGAAUCGAAUUAGAUGGGGUGGUUGGGACAGUGAUGAUCGAAAUGUAUUCCAAGUGCGGAGGCAUUGAUAGUGCGGUAACUGUUUUUCGGACAAUAAGCCACAAAAAGUUGGGGCAUUGGACUGCUAUAAUUGUAGGCUUGAGUAUUCAUGGCAUGGCUGACCAUGCUCUGAAGCUAUUUCUUGAAAUGCGAAGAAUUGGUGUGAAGCCUAAUGCUAUAACUUUUGUUGGUGUGCUUAAUGCUUGUAGUCAUGUUGGAUUGAUUAACGAUGGUCACAAAUAUUUUAAUAUGAUGAUAAAUGAAUAUGGAAUUAAACCUGCUAUAGAACAUUAUGGUUGUUUGGUGGACAUAUUAUGCUGAGCUGGUUGUCUUGAAGAAGCAAAAGAUAUCAUUGAAGAAAUGCCCAUGAGACCAAACAAAGUAAUCUGGAUGACAUUGCUUAGUGGUGCUAGGAACCAUAGAAACACAAAAAUAGGUGAAUAUGCUGCUCAACAUUUGAUUGAAUUGGCUCCAGAGACUACUGGUGGUUAUGUUGUCCUUUCCAAUAUGUAUGCUGUAGCAGGUGAGUGGGAGAAAGUUUCUGAGGUAAGAGAAAUGAUGAAGAAGAGAGGAUUAAGAAAAGAUUCCGGCUGCAGUUCAAUAGAGCAUAAAGGUGUGGUUCAUAACUUUAUUGUGGGAGAUAAAUCACAUCCGCAAACAAAAGAAAUUUAUUCCAAAUUGGCUGAGAUGAGAGAGAAAUUGAAAUUGGCAGGACAUGUUCCUGACACAAGCCAAGUGUUGUUGUAUAUCGAAGAGGAGGAAGAGAAAGAAGCAGAAUUGGAAAACCAUAGUGAGAGGUUGGCUAUUGCCUUUGGUCUCAUCAAUACUGAAGCUGGAUGUCCCAUUCGCAUCAUGAAGAACCUUCGUGUUUGUAGUGAUUGCCAUUCUGUCACUAAACUGCUUUCUAAAAUCUACAGACGUGAGAUUAUUGUGAGAGAUAAUAGCCGGUUUCAUCAUUUUAAAGAUGGAUUGUGUUCUUGCAAAGAUUUUUGGUGAUUACCUCAGAUGUUGGCUGGUAUUAUUGCCAUCUUUCAACAGGACUGAAAGGGAAGAUCCGCAUAAUAACUUUAAGGUCUUCAGGUUGUGUUUUGUCAUCACUUUUGAGGGUUUAUAGAAAUGGCUAGAUAUAUUUCUUGCGCUUUAUUUAUAUCAACUAACUGAACCAGCCACUUACUACAAAAUAAAACAUUUGCUUUAUGAUCUCAUCUCAUUUCAAGAAAGGUGCUAUUUCAGGGAAAAAGGAUAUGGAUUUAAUGAUACAACAGCUCAAAAGACUAGCAGUGAAUUACAUCAGUACACAGCAACAGAUGCUACAUAGCAAUUAAUGUUACAGCUUUCAGAGACAUAUCUAUAAUCUAAGUUCAUUUUCCGGGGACAAAGUUAGUGGCAUAAGCCCAUGCGUUGUUGGCCACCGGAUCGGCAAGGUGGUCAAAGAGGUUCUCAAUGGGACCCUUUCCUGUGACAAUAGCCUGGACAAAGAAUCCAAACAUGGAGAACAUUGCAAGGCGGCCAUUCUUGAUCUCCUUAACCUUCAAUUCUGCGAACGCGUCAGGAUCAUCAGCCAGUCCAAGUGGGUCGAAAGCACCACCUGGGUAAAUUGGGUCCAGUCCUUCACCGAGUGGUCCCCCACCAACUCUGUAUCCUUCAACAAAUCCCAUGAGCACAACUUGGCAAGCCCAGAUUGCAAGAAUGCUCUGAGCAUGGAUAAGGUUUGGGUUGCCAAGAUAGUCAAGGCCGCCCUCGGAGAAUAUUUGAGAUCCAGCUUUGAACCAAACUGCCUCUCCGAACUUAACUCCAUUCUUUGAAAGAAUUUCAGGGAAGACACAACCAAGGGCACCAAGCAUUGCCCAUCUGCAGUGGAUCACUUCAAGCUCACGGUUCUUAGCAAAUGUCUCUGGGUCAGCUGAUAACCCAGCAGUGUCCCACCCAUAGUCACCAGGGAAUUCACCUGUCAGGUAUGAUGGGAUUUGGUCUGAGAAUGGACCCAAGUACUUUGGGCGGUCAGGGCCGUACCUGUUUUUAAAACCAAACCGUAGGUAAUCAGAUCAAGAAGCAGAAAUAUAGUUCCGUUGCAUGAUUUCGCUUGUACAUGUUAUUUCUCUUUAAAUGUAUGGCUUAAAAUAAGGCAGAUUGCUGCUAGAUUGUACUGUACAAAUUGAAAUUUUUAGUCUGUUGUUUCACAAUAUUUGGGUUAACCAUCAAUGAUUAGACUAAAAAGAUCCUUAUAACAAAAUGCUACUAGUUAGUACUAGGAAGUAGUAACAAAAGUAUACCAGAUGCUGGUAGGGGCACUUUUCACAGUUCUGCGCAUGGUAACACGACCACCAUCGAAAGCUCCGACUUUGCGUAAGAGCUCAUUGGACUGCUUCAAAGCGGUCUGGCCAACGAAAGCAGAUUGUUGGAUAGCAGAGGUUGCCAUGGUGCCUAAGGCUUUAGGUUGACUUGGUUUGUUUGCCGAUGGUUA